CGUAUAGAUUAUGUACACCAGAGGAUUCACGUGUAUGAUGAAGAUGGUUGUGUCCAAAAGCAGCUUCAAAAUCUCACUUUAUCUGCAUCUCCUUUCAUGUACAGCUCAGGCUCAGAUCCCUACUAUUACAGCGAUUCUGGAAACUUCACCUUGUUUAAUUGUUCAAUUGAAGAUCAAUCCGACUAUUAUGAACGUUACAGCAGAAUCCCUUGCUUAAGUGGGUCUGGCUUCUAUGUUAAAUACGUGUAUUCUGAGUCUGAAAGAAGUGACCUGUUGAAUUGCAGAAAGACUACAGAUAUCUCUGAAGUUCCCUACGGGAUGAUGAAUGACAGGAAAAACAAAUUUGACUUUAACUGGACCAAACCGGCUUGUGGUUUAUGUGAAGUCAAAGGCCGAGGAUGUCGGCCCAAUACUGCUAACGCAUCGGGCAUAGAGUGCUAUUCCAUCCACAGGGAAGACAAAGGUACCACAUACAUAUGAGUAUUUAAGUAGCAUUGUUCUGAAAUCUGAAUUUAGUUUUUAAGUAGUAAGCCUUCUAAAGGGUCCAUGCUUCGAAAUCUACGUCGGGGUCAGUCAGCUUCAACCCUAUACAUAAUUUUUAUUAUUACUACUAAAAUAAUAAAAAUAUUUUUAUAUUAACACAUUAAUUUUUACAGUAUAUUAUAGAAUUUAAAACUUGCUGUCUAUUAAUUAGUAAUAAAAGAAUAAGCUCAUUCCGGAAAAAAAAACCCACAAACAAAAAGUAAAUGGAGAUUACAAAUAUGAGUCGUUUGGGUAUCUUCUGUUUAAUUAUUUUUGUGCUUUCUUGGCAAUUUUGGCAAUUUUAAAUUGAAAUAAAUGAAGCUUCUUCUUAAUUGGAAAUAAAAAAAUUGUCAUCAAGUGAAAAAAUCAUACUAAAUGAAAUAAAUAAUAAUGUGAAGUAAUAUAAUUCUAGAUGCAAAACUGAAAGUGCAGCUGAAAUUAUGUUGCUAAAACCCAUUUGUGUCGUAGUGCUCCUUAUAAUUUUAUAAAUUUUUAAAGGGUAACGUAAUAAUAUAAAAAAAGUUGAUGAAAUAUUUAUUAUUAUACAUUACAAUUAAUAUUUUUUUAAAGAAGUUUUGAUUUAUAAUUUUGUCUAAAAAUUCAGAUAAACCUCGUGCAAAAAUUAAAAUUUGUAUGUUUUGAGAUCUAAUUACCUUGUUUUUGCUCUCUUCUAUAAGCAAAAAUAAGUCAGGUAGAACUUUUUGAUGUAAAAUUAUUGACAUUAUGGGAUAAAUCAGGCUUCCCAAAUUAGGGUACUAAACAUCAAAACCAACUUCUUUAACUUACAGUUCCAGCAAGAAAUUGCUUGAUUCAUAUUGAAUCAAUACUUCUUUUUUACCUAUGAUUUAAUCUCAUUUAUUCAAAAUCUUAUGCACACAUCUUUGUCUCAAACUUGUAAUUAAGCAUUAAUUUUGCAGGGCCAAAAUCAAUUUUGAAUGUUUUAGAAACCUAAGGGAGACUGUAUAUAGAGUAAUGAUAUAGGAUUAUUUUACUGAUGUUGAGAAAUAUAGCAUGCUGAUCAUUUUUGAAUGUUUUCCAGGUGCAAGAAUGAAGCUAAUGAUUUCAGGUACAUGGUUGUUCCAUACAUUGAUUUUAUGUUGAGAAAAGAAAUGAUCUGAUGAAGCAUUGUAAUCUCUGACUAGGAUCAUGUUAUUUGCAGGUUUAACCAUAGGAUCACUUCUCCUUUUAUUGAGUGUCAUUGGACUCUGUUGGCUGCACCACUUGAAUAAAAAAGAGAAAGAUGGUCAACGCAAGAUCGAACAGUUUUUGGAGGAUUACAAAGCUCUUAAGCCCUCAAGAUAUUCCUAUGCUGAUAUUAAGAGGAUAACAAACCAAUUCAAGGAAAAACUUGGACAGGGUGGUUAUGGUACUGUGUUCAAAGGAACACUUUCCAAUGAUGUUUCAGUAGCUGUUAAGGUUCUGAAUAACUUCAAGGGAAAUGGUGAAGAGUUCGUUAACGAAGUUGGUUCAAUGGGAAGAAUCCACCAUGUCAAUGUUACUCGCUUAGUUGGUUUUUGUGCUGAUGGGUAUAACCGAGCCCUUGUUUAUGAGUACUUGCCAAAUGAGUCAUUAGAGAAAUUCAUAUUUGCAGCUAAGGGUGAGAAUCGUUUCCUUAGUUGGGAGAAGCUUCAUGAAAUUGCUUUAGGCAUAGCCAAAGGCAUUGAGUACCUUCACCAAGGUUGCGAGCAACGGAUCCUCCAUUUUGACAUCAAACCUCACAAUAUUUUACUGGAUCAGAACUUCACUCCUAAGAUCUCUGAUUUUGGUUUGGCUAAGUUAUGUUCCAAAGAGCAAAGUGCUGUUUCAAUGACAGCAGCAAGAGGAACCAUGGGCUAUAUUGCACCUGAAGUAUUGUCUAGGAACUUUGGAAACGUCUCAUACAAAUCAGACGUUUACAGUUUUGGAAUGCUCUUGCUUGAAAUGGUUGGAGGGAGAAAGAAUAUUGAUGUGACAUUGGCCAAUGAAAGCCAAGUGUACUUCCCGGAGUGGGUUUAUAAUCGUUUAGACAAAGGAGAAGAAUUAGGAAUUGAUAUCGAAGAUGAAGGGCAUCACAAGAUCGCAAAGAAACUUACAAUUGUUGGACUUCGGUGCAUUCAGUGGUAUCCAGUUGAUCGUCCUUCAAUGAAAUCUGUGGUUCAAAUGUUGGAAGGAGAAGCAGACAAUCUGACAAUGCCACGAAAUCCAUUUGCCUCUAAAGAUGAAAAGAAGCCUAAGAAGCCCAUUAACAGAGAGUUAGCAGCUAUUUCUGAAUAAGAAGAAAAGCAAUUUGCAGAAUGCAGCCUUACAAUCAAAAUGAGUAGAGUUUUUACUCUUAAUUUUGUUCUCUAUUAUUUUUAAAUGAUAAAUUUUAUGUAUAAUUAAUUUUUAUUAAUCUGGUAUCUACAAUAACAAGAGUUUAAAAUAUAAAAGCAUACGUGAUUCUUAAUACAUGAUUAAUUUGAUAGUGAAAAUAAUAUUGACUAAAUUAACUUUUAGACAUAUGUCCUUCAAAAUUAAUUUUAUUAUUUAUUUAUGAGAUAAAUAAAUUUCUGCGUCAAUUAUUGAUUUCAUACAUAUGAUAUUUUAAUGGAUAUUUAAUUAUUUAUGACAUAUAUGAUUUGAUCAGUUAUUUUUAAACAUGAAAUGAAGCCUAAAAAGCCCAUUAAUAGAGAACUAGUGGCUAUUUCUAAAUAAGAAUAAAAGCAAUUUGCAAACUACAACCUAAUCGAAAUGAGUAGAGUUUUUGCUUUUAAUUUUGUCUUGUGUAUAAUGUAAACGAUAAAAUUUAUAUAUAAUUAAUUUAUACUAAUUUUGUACUAUACUAGGAAUUUAGAAUACAAAAGUGUACAUAAUUUUUGAUAUAUGAUUUUAUAGCAAAAAUAAUACUGAUUAGAUUAAUUGUUGGGAUUUAGUAUACUUGGAUCUUCUUUUUCUUUUUUCUACGUAACUCUUCAAUAAGUGAGAUCUUAAUGUUUUUGUGUGAUGGGCCUAGCCAUAUCUUUAUAUAAUGAAUCCCUAAUCUCAUCCAUAAUAAGAUUUAGGGUUUCCUACACAUACUUACGCUUUUGAUCUCACAUUUGAUAUCGGAGUCUAGCCCACUUUAUUAAAUCAUAUUAUGGACUAUAAUAUUAUCACUUUAUAAAGGCCAAAAUAACUUAAUUUGGUUUUAAUAACAUACAAAAAAUAAAUAAUGUAACUCUACAUUUUGAUUUUACAAGAAAAUCUAACAAUCUCUCACUUAGUGUAAAACCCGACCCUAUAAACACAUGUCAUGACAUACAUGCACUGAGUAGCAUGUUAUUAUGCUAGGAAAGCACCUAAGAAUAGACGAAACCCGGUAUUGUACCUAACGGUACACUUGAGUUGAUUUAACCUCAAACUAAUUUAAAUAGGAAUCGUAGGAUGAAAUUUAAUAUUUUACAGUCCAGGAAUGACUAAAAAUGAUUGUUCGGAGUUCGAGGGUUCAUUUGGGGUAAAAUUGAAAAUUUUGAUGUUCAGGGGCAAAAUAGUAAUUUUUCCACCCGUGGAUAAAAUUUGAGAUUUUGAGAGAAUUUAGAUCACAUUUGACAAAUUGGAGAAUGGUAUGAGUAUAAGGGAUGAAAAUAUGUCUAUGGGCAAUUUUUUAGUUUUUGGGGUAAAAAUGUAAUUUUUGACUUUUACGGGGGCAAAAGUGUAAAUUUCAAAAAUUACUCCACCAAGACUUUGGAUAAGUCUGAGAAUUUUGUCUAAGCUAUGGAUAUGUGAGACAAGUGUAUGGUGAAAAUUUGGAAACAAAUGGAUGAAAUUUUAAAAACGGACAAAUGGGAAAAUGACACAUGGCAUUUUUUUAAUGGUUUAAUAUUAUUUUAAUGAAAAGUCAGCCCAUUUAAACCCCAUUUUAAGUGAUGGCCAGCCAUAAGGGAGAACAAGACAGAAAAUAGAGAGGAAAGGAAGAAAAAAAGAAAAACCAAAGAGAAACAAGAAAAUUCAAAGGGGAAUUCGCGUUUUUUGCUUGUUUACGCGUCUAACGGUAAGAUUUUUCGACUUUAGCUUGAUUUCUACCUUUCCUAUGCCUUUGUUUCCAUUUAGCAUGCUUGAGGAGAGAGAUCUAAAAGUGACAUCAAGGGCUGGCCGAGUUUCAAGGGGGGAGAAAUUGAAAUUUUUAGGUUUUAAUUUUUAGUUAAAUUGAUAGUUUUAGUUAGUUAAAUGUGUUUAGAAAUUAAAUUGGGCAAGAAAGCAUUAAAUUUUCACAAUACCUACCCUUGGCCGAAUCUGCAAUGAGAUACAAUGAUGAUAAUCUGAUUUUUAUUCUAANAAUACAAUGUCAUCCACAUAUAUUUGUACAACAAUUAAAUCAUGUAAGUAUCUUUUAAUAAACAAUGUAGUAUUAAUGUUGCCUCUAUCAUAACCUUUUUCAACCAGAAAUUUUGAAAGCCUCUCAUACCAAGCUCUAGGAGCUUGUUUCAAUCGAUACAAGGCUUUAUAGAGUUUGUAAACAUAGUUUGGUUUUUCAAAAUCUUCAAAACCUGGUGGCUGUUCAACAUACACUUCCUCUUGAAUGAAUCUAUUUAAAAAUGCACUUUUUACAUCCAAAUGGUACAAUUUGAAAUUCAUGAAGCAUGCAAAAGCUAACAACAACCUUAUGGAUUCAAUGCUAGCAAUGGGUGUAAAAGUUUCAUCAUAGUUUAUUCCUUCUCCUUGGUUGUAUCCUUGGGCUACUAACCUAGCUUUAUUUCUUACUACAUUUCCUUGCUCAUCUACCUUAUUUCUAAACACCCAUUUUAUGCCAACAAUAGGGUGAUUUAAAGGUCUAGGUACUAGUGACCAUACAUGAUUUCUUUUGAGUUGGUUAAGUUCCUCUUACAUGGCCAUUAUCCAACUUUCCUCAUUUUCAGCUUCUUCAAAGUUUUUAGGUUCAAUUUGUGAUAUGAAGGCUGAAAACUCACAAGUCUCUCUUGUUGCUCUCCUAGUUUUGACACCUUGAGAGAUAUCACCUAUGAUUUGCUCUUGUGGAUGCUCUCUUAUAAAUCUUCAACUUUUUGGAAGAUCACUAUGCUGAUUUUCUAUUCUUUGCAAAUCUUCUAGAGGUUGAGUUUCAUUUUUUCUUCUAAGUGAGCCUUAUUCAUUAUUCUUAUUGUUCUCUAAGCUCAUUUCUUCCAUUUGUUUUUCUAGGAUUUCGACAUCAUCAUCAUCAACAUGAAUUUCCUUUUGUAAAUCAUUUGACUCAUCAAAAACUACAUGGAUUGAUUUUUCAACAUUUAGAGUCCUUUUGUUGAAAACUCUAUAAGCCUUGGAGUUUAAUGCAUAUCCUAAAAAUAUUGCCUCAUCACUUUUUGCAUCAAACUUUCUUAGGGGCUGUUUUCCAUUGUUCAAUACAAAACAUUUACAGCCAAAACUCCUAAGGUGAGAAAUGUUUGGUUUCCUACCCUUGUAAAAUUCAUAUGGUGUCUUAGAUAUCAUGGGUCUUAUUGAGACUCUAUUAAGUAUAUAGGCUGCUGUGUUCAUAGCCUCAGCUCAAAAAUAUUUUGGUAGGUUAUUCUCACAUAACAUAGUCCUAGCCAUUUCUUUUAAGGUUUGAUUUUUCCUCUCUAGUACUCCAUUUUGCUGAGGUGUUCUAGGUGCAGAGAAAUUGUGAUCCAAUCCCUUUUCAUUGCAAAAUUUCUCAAAUUCAUCAUUUUCAAAUCUUCCUCCAUGAUCACUCCUUAUGCUAACUAUGGCUAGUCAUUUUUCAUUCUCUACUUUCCUACAAUGACUUACAAAAGCUGAUAUAACAUCAUUUUUAUGGGUAAGAAAAUAAACUCAAGUAUAUCUAGAAUAGUCAUCAACUAUUACAAAGCCAUAAGAUUUUCCUCCUAAACUAGUUGAACUUAUUAGACCAAAUAGAUCAAUGUGUAAUAAUUCAAGAGGUCUAGAUGUUGACUCAAUCUUCUUAGUCUUGAAAGAUGUUCUAACUUAUUUGCCUAGUUGGCAAGCAUCACAUAUUUUAUCAUUUUCAAGUUUAAAUCCGGCAGCCCAACAACUAAGUUCUUUCUAAUCAAUUUUGACAUAGUAUGCAAGCUUACAUGUCCUAAUUUCCUAUGCCAUAACCAGUUGUCAUUUUCAGCAUUUGCAACAAAACAUAAUUCAUUGUUUAUUUCAAGAUCCUAAAGAAAAACAACAUAUAUAUUCUUUAAUCUCUUUCCUAUAAAUGACACAUUGUUUGUACCUAUGUCUAUUACUUCACACUUAUUUGAAUCAAAACAUACUUUAAAUCCUUUGUCACAUAAUUGACUAAUACUCAAUAAAUUAUGCUUUAAGCCCUUAACUAUCAACACAUGACUAAUUUGAGUUUGGGAGUUCUUACCAACUGUGCCUAUCCCAUGGAUUCUACCUUUUGAAUCAUCACCAAAGGAUAUGGUACCUCCCUUUCUUUUGUCUAGCUGAGCAAAUAACAUUUCAUCUUCAGUCAUAUGUCUUGAGCAGCCACUAUCCAUGAACCAAGGCUGUUUUUUCUUGAGUUGAGCUCUUGAACAUGUCUCCUUUAAGUACAGCUCAACCUACAAAAUAGAAUUUUAGUUUUUCUUUAUAGGUACCCAUACUUUGAUGGGUCCUUGAGAGUUAGUUGCAAUAUAGGAUCCCUUAGGGACCUAAAUUCUUCUAACUUUCUGCAACUUACUUCUCUUAAAGCAAUCAUGUGAAACCUCGACUCUCAUAGAUGAAUACCUCGAGGUGGAACUUAUGUUUAAAGGUUUAAUUUGAGCUAAUGAUGCUAGUUUUACAUUACUUAUAAUUAUUUUAUGUUGUUAUAGGAGUAGGAUUCAAAAAUAGUUUCAAUUGGUGAAGAAAGGUGUAUAAUGGGCUAUUACUCUAUUUGCUUAUGUUAUGGUUUUUCAAGCAUAUCUCCCACUACAGAAGUCCAAAUGACAUAAUUUUUAAACUAUUGAAAAGCUAAGAGGUAGGGCUGCAACUUUGAUGUUUACCACUUUUCCCAGUUUUGAAGGGAAGGUGGUCAAAUCUUUGUUGAAGUGGAAGUACUACACCAGGAGAACAGAUUCGGACAAAACAUUUGAGCGUCGCAGUGCUGGAAAUUGAUAGCCGUGGCCCUCAUCGUAAUUUCCACAAAUAACAAGUUUAGGGGAUUUUUUAAGCUAAGACUUUUGAGGGCUACUUAAGGGACCUCUUUAAGAGGAUUUGAGACCUUUUCCAAUGUCAAAAGAGUAAAAGAUUACACAAGAAAAGGAGGAAGACAAGUGGCCUUGUUAAGGGCAUUAUUUUAAUUGCAUGAAGAUUUAGAUAAGUUUUAACUAUAAAAAUCUCAUUCUUUCAGCAGCUUCUUCACUUUUCCAACAACUUCUUCUUCUCCUUCCCCCAUCUCACGUUUCUCUCCUCUUCCAUGAAAACUUCUCUCAAGCUUCCAUCACUCUCUUAAACUAACCUCAAUUUUUAUGCUUUACACACCCUGUUGUAGGGUUUUUCAUACUUUUUUACUCCCUCGCCUUAAACAAACCCUUAAAAGUCUUUCUUCAAUACUUUCUCUCACCAGUUGAACUUUGUAGAGAGAGAAAAAGAGGUUUUAUGAUCGCUUGAGGACUCUUGGGAAGAAAUUUCAUUACAAUCCACCAAGGUGAGUGAUGGAUUAGGACUGGUUUUAAGUUGUUGAUAAAGGCUAAUAAUUAGAAUUAAGAAUUGUGUAUUACUGAAGUUGUUUAUCUAUUUCUAGUGUUGCUAAAGUAGAUAACUGAAUAACCAAUCAAAUGGUAAUGGAAGAUAAAUAGGAAGGGCUAGUGAAGCUUGAUUUGGGAAAAUAGCUUUGGAAUGGUAUUAAUGCCAAGUUGGGUUGAUUAUGAUGUUGUUGUGUAUAUAGGUUCCACCGAAACCCCACACCUCUAUUCGAAACAUUAGUCGAAGUUAGAGCCCAUUGAAACAUCAAUAAAGACUGGUGAGUGAACUUUCAUUUCAAAAUAUUUUGGGGAAAUGUUUACGUGUUUCAAUGAAUCAUUUGGGAAUUUUAUCGAUUUUUGCUUUAAAAUUACUUGGGAACAAGCCCUUGAAAAAAUGUUUGAUGUUGUGAAAUGUGAAAUGUGAAAUAUGUAAAAGGAUAGACAUCCACAUGUUUUUGUAUGAUGUUGAUAUAUAUAUAUAUAUAUAUAUAUAUAUGUAUACUAUGUCAUAAAUGGUACUGUUGUGUGACAAAUGCAACCGUGGCAUGUGCGGGGUGAGUGUGCACUUGGUGAGUGAUGACGGUGGUGAGGGAGAUGGAUGGUGAUACUAUCCGGCUAUGUGCACGAUGUGGUGGGAUGUACAUGACCUGGGUGAGAUGCACAUGAUGAAUCUUAAAAAUUUGUCAGUUAUUUGCAAAUUGAUUUUAUUGCAACGAGAAACACUCUGUUUAUACUGCCUUACUUGGAUAAUUGUUGGAAAUUUCCCUUUUUUCCAAUUUCAUGCUGAAUACGGUUCCUUCAUCAUUAAAUGGUUUAAUAACCAAGGGUUUAAAUGGAGGGAUUUUAAUAAGAACUUGAACUAAGUUGCAUUGUUUUCGAAUAAGUGCAUCAUGAUUAUCAACUUUCCUUGUUGUUGCUUGUUCCCUUCUUAUGUUCAUUCACUGAGUUUGUACUCACUAUUUUCAACUUCAUGUUUUCAGAUCAAGAGGCAGUUGGAACCUAGGUCGAGGUGUCCACAUAGUUUCGCCUUUGUUGGUAGGUAUAUUGGCAUUCAGUAGCCGUCCCUUCACCUUGGUCAUUCCGCUAGAAGUCAAGAAUCAUUUUGUUUGUGAAUACGUUCAUGUGAUGUAAAGUAUUAAGAUAUGUGUCUUAGACAAUGUACGUAUACUGUGACGGGUAAUGCCACCACUGGUUGGCAAUGGUUAACAUUAUUUGGGUAACGUGAAAUGCAGUUUUUGAUUGCUACAACAUAUUACUUAGGUACUUAUAAAUUGGAAGUAUGAAAGGUGACUUUAAGAAUAAUUGAUGGAAUGAUGAGUAGGAUUACGUAAAUAGGCUUGCUUGGGCUUAGUAGACUACGUCCAUUGAGUCCAUGCGCCGGUCACGUCUUGGAAAUCAGGUUGUGACAAUAAGAAUGAAGUUAGCAAACUUCUUUGGUGAGCUUAAGACAUGUUGAAAACUUCAGCCACGUGAUUGGAAACUACCUUGGAAACCCUUUUUAUAAAGGUCUUAAGUUGCUUAAGAGAAAAGAAAUGAGUAUGAAAUCGAAUGAUAUAGAAUUGGACUGAAAUAUUACAAACCAUGAAUGAAGUAUCAACACUUAUUGUCCAAAAUGCCUUGGGAAGCAUUCUAAAUAGAAAGUAUCAAUACCUAUAAAAGAAGUAUUAUUACCCAAUGGCCAGAAUGCCUUGGAAAUCAUUAUGUGUGGAAAGUAUCGAUACCUACAAGAGUAGUAGCAAUAACUAGUGGUCAUAAUGCCUCGGGAAACAUUUUGUGUAGAAAGUAUCAUUACCUAUAAGAGAGGCAUCAAUGCCUAGUGGUAAGAAUACAUUAGGAGCAUUCUUUGUGAAAGUAUCAAUACCUCAAAGAGAAGUAUCGAUACUCAGUGUCUUGAAUGCCUUGGGAAAAGUAUCCCACGUGAAAGGUUUCGAUAUCUGACUUACAAGUAUCGAUAUUUGAGGUAAAAAUAUAAAAAGAAGGCCUUGAUUUGGCCACCCAAUUCACACCUUUUUCUCAGUUACUUUAAAACCCUUUUUCUCCUGGUUCCAAAUCCUUUCAUAACCACCCAAACUUAACUUAUAUCAAAGCUUCUGAGUCAACUUAUAUCAAAGGUUUCCACCCUUUAAAAUGUUUUAAUCGAUCAACUUUCGAAUUAAUUUCUCUCUAAGAAAUUCUUCUUAUCUCUUAGGUGUUAGGGUUUCCAACUUGAGUCUCUUGAGGCAAGCUCACCAAUUGUUGUUGGAUUUACCACGCAAGUACAUGUAUUGUUAACAACUAAUUUAUUGAAGAGUUGAGUAUCAUUCCCAUAGAGAAUUGCAACAAAAAUCUUUUGCAAAGUACUAAAAUUAACACAAUUUAAUCUUAUAUAAAUAACCAAUUUUUAAAGUGAUUAAAAAUUAAAUAAAUUAAAAUUAAAAACAAGAAUCGCAAUUUAAAUAGAAUUAAUCAAUCAAACAAGACUUAGAAUUACAAUAUCCCCUCAACACUUCAUCUAAAUCUCUUUUACUUUCUCUUUACUUACUAAAUAAGCUUGAGUUGUUAACCUAGAAUUCUAAAAUAUUUAUAAGUCUCCGUCGAGUUUCUUAUAAAAAUAUCUCUCUUAACCAAUUCACUAUAUGUCUAUACAAAUUGCAAUGAAGAAAAACUCACUAAGAUUAUAUUCUAAUAUUGGCUACAUAUGUCAUGCAAGUGUAUGUUUACCUCACACACGAAUCAAAUCAAUCAUCUCAUGUAAUUGAUAUUGAACAUCUGCUAUUUCAUCUAAGGCUUACAUUAAACUCCCUUUCUCAGUUUUGUUUAGGUUAUCUUAUUUAUCUAAUUGGUGAUCAAAUAAUUAGACGCAUUAAGUGCAAGAUUGAAAUAAAGAACUCAAACACUAUCCAUCAUAAGCAAAGAGAGUAUUAAAAUUCAAAUUACAUGUUGGGUUCAAUUGCAAUUCUAGAUAAGAAAACUAGUUCCUCAUAGCUAUUAAAAAAAAAACAAUUUAACCAUCAACACCAAACAAAGAAAGUAUAAAAAGAACUAAAGAAGAAAAGAAAACUCAGAUUUGUUAGAUCUUCAAUCUUCAAUCUUCAAGAGUUUUUCCUUCACUUUCUUAAUUGCUUGACGACUCUUUUUGCUGAGAGAAAGCCUAGCUUAAUUGUUGUUCUCAAGUGCUUUGAAAGUGUCUUUAAAUAAGGCUCAAAAUCCUUGUCGAAAUAAACGUUCAAAUGUUGAAAAACUUGAGUUAUCGUGUCGGCACCGCAGCGCCGAGCUCUUUGCCUUGGCCCUUGUAUCCUCUUAUUCUUGGCAUCGCGACACCCAACAUUCUGUCUUGCCACAUAUGAUUUGAUGCACUACUUAGACUUGUGGUGCAUUUUUCUCCUUUUUUUAAGCUAAAUUUGGAAAAAUGUUAAACAUAAAAGUUAUAGCCCUAUCUCUUAACUUUCCAAAGGCUUAAGAAUCAUAUUAAUUAGACUUCUAGAAUGAUAUUUAUGCUCAAAAUACCAAAACAUGUGUAGAAAAAGCAUGGACCUUGUGUGCACUUUUUUUCAUUAAUUAAAGCCCUUUCAAUUGUACACCUAUAAGAACAACAAACUUAAACAAUAACUAAACUAAAGCAAAUUAUCAUAAAAUAACAUAAAAUAACUUAAAUUAAAUUGAUUUAACAAGAUUUAAUAAGAUAAAUAACUCAAACUUACUAAUUUAUGAAUUAAAUGUCAAGAACUUAGCCCAUUUAAAGCUCAAAAUGUGACAAAAUAAAUAUAAGAAAUAGAGUUAUCAUACCCCAAACUUGAGAUUUUGCUAGUCCUCGAGCAAAACAUAAAAGAAAACUUAAAGAAAACAAAAUUAUGUAAAUGAUGAAAAUAAUUUAAAUAAAGAAAACAACUAGCUAGCUAGAGAUGAAUUACGCCAAUCCAAUGAUCUAUCAUAAUUUCCUCGUAUGUUAUCUUAAAAUUUCAACUCAAGGUAAAACAUAGAUAUCAUUCAAGUUCAUGUUUCAAUUCAAAUGCAAGCUCAUUCUCAAAUGGAUUUCUGAGCGUGUAUGCAAUCUUUUACAAAGAACAUCAUGCAAUCCGGAUAAGUCUAUGCCAAUGCAAAAUUCAAAUUAGUACAAGAAUCCCAUAGGUUUGCUUUUCAUUUCUCUUUCCAUUAAUUUAAACUAAUACUAAGUCAAGGAUCAUUAGGUCUUUAUCAAGCUUGUAAUAAAUAACUAGGAUCAACAUAAGAUAAAGGAUAUUUAUAAGGCUCAAUUCGCCUAAGCACAUAAUCAUUAUAAGGCCUAUAUAGUUGUCACGACCCAAAUUUCGGGCCAUGAUCGACGCAUGGGCCCAAUGGGCAUAGCCCACUAAGCCUAAGCAAGCCUAUUUAUGUGACCUGUUCAUCAUUCCAUCAAAAGUUCCUAAAGUCACAUUUCAUAAUUCUAAUUCAAAAUAAUGCUAACCAUUGCCAACUCAUAGUGGCAUUUCCAAUCAAAAUAUACAUAUAUAGUCUAAAACAUACAUCUUAAUAAUUUACAUCGGGUUUGUCUAUACACAAAAAAAGGGAUACUUGACUUCCAGCGGAGAGACCCGAGUGAAAGUAGAGCUAUUGAAUGCCGAGAUACCUACCAAGGAGACGAAUCUACGAAGACACCUUGACCUAGUUACCAACUACCUCUUGAUCUGAAAACAUGAAGUUGAAAACAGUGAGUAUAAACCCAGUGAGUGAACAAAGUAAGGGAAUGAGCAAACGAUAAGAAAAGUUUAAAGAAAUCAUGAUGCACUUAUUUUCAAAAACAAUGCAAUUUAGUUUAGUUCUUAUUAAAACCCCUUAUUAAACCCUUAAUUGGUUAAUCACUUGAUGAUGAAGGAUCCAUGCACAACAAAGAAUUUGAAGAGUGAAAACUUUAGUAGCAUUCAAGCAAGUCAAGCAAAAUGAUUGAUCCUCGCUGUAGUAGAUAGGCAUUCUCGCUGCAGCAAAAUUUGGGCUUAAAUCAUCAGUUGGCCAAGGGUUUCUCACAAAAAUCCCUCAUUUCAAACUUAAUUAAUUAAUUCCUUGAUGUUGGAAGUCCAUGAUCAACUAUCAUGUUAAAGAAGUGGAAAAUAUGGCAAAAACCAAACAAGAUAGCAAGCACGACAAAGGUUUCUCGCUGCAGCAAAACCACCUGUAGACAUCUCACUGCAGCGAGAAUAGCGAGAAUGUAUUCUCACUGUAGCGAGCUACAGAACUGUAGCCAGCCUCCCAACCCGAGACUUUCUCGCUGUAGUGAGAAAUAGAACACCAAGAAGAAAGUUCUCAUUAUAUCAAGAAAAGGCCAUUCUGCUGCAAUGACAAAAUCAACUUGAAAAUACUUAGCAAUUUCCAAGGUUCAACAUGCAAGAUUUCACAUACAUUACAACCAUAUACCAUAUUCAUGAACUUUCUCUUGCAUAAAUGUGUAUAUAUAUAUAUAUAAACACCAAUACCACCACUGCCUCACCCAGCUCAUGUGCAACCCCAACAUCGUGCACAUAGCUGGAGUCAUCAUGUGCAUCCCCCACAUCAUGCACAGCUAAUACCGUCGUGUGCAUCCCCCACAUCACGCACAAGCAAUAUCAUCAUCCACAUUCCUGCACCCGUCAUCACCGGCAUAUGCAUCCCCCACAUUGCGCACACGCACAGUUAUAUUUAUUAUACAAUAUUAACUAUCGAUAUACAACAUAUAUAUAUAUAUAUAUAUCAGCAUCCUAUAGAAGCACAAGGAUUCAUCAUAUUGCACACUCACUACAUAAAACGUUUUAAUAAAGGCUUGUUCCCAUGCAUAUUUUAAAGAAAAACAAAUAAAAUAUUUCAAUGGAUUUAAUCAAACACAUAUGCCCUAAUCCCAAAACAUUUUAAUGCAAGUUCACUCACCUUGGUGGAUUUGUAAUUGAAUUUCUUUUCAAAAUUCUUCCAAGCUAAUAAGGGAAAUCACUCCCUUUCUCUCUACACGUCCAACUAGUGAGUGAAUGUACUUAAGAAAGACUUUUAAAGGUUGUUGAGGUGUAAAAGUUGAAGAGCAUGAAAAACCCUAUGAAAGGGUGUAGAAACACAUGAGAAAUAAAGCUAAUUUGAGGAAGUUUUAAAGGUUUCAAAGGAUAUUUCCAUGAAAGGUGCAAAGAAACAUGGAAUGCAAAGGAGGAUAGGAGAAAGAAUAAGAAGAGAAGCUACUGGAAAAACUGAAGAAAAGCUACUAGAGAUUAGAUAUUUAUAGUUAAAGUUCAUCCAAUUUUCAUGCAAUUUACAAUAAUGCCUUUAACAAGGCCACUUGUCUUCCUCCUUUCCUUUAUGCACUCUUUUUACUCCUUUAACACCAAGACAAAGUCUAUAAUAGUUUAAAAGUACUCGAGUUCACGAAAACUUAAAAAUUUAGGCUUGAGGUACAAAAUGACCAUUUUACCUUUAUCGUGGAAAUUAUUAAUAUUUAUAUCUUCUUCAUUUAUUUUACCCUCAUUCAUUUAUCCCUUAGGCCUACUUAGACCUUAAUAAUGUCUGAAAGCCUACUUCUAAGGGCUCACCAUGAGAAAUGAUAAAAUUACCCUUGGCUCGUGUUAUCGCGUCUACACCUAGUUACAGGCCUAUAGAAGUCGAGGUCUCACAAUAGUGCCCUAGUCAUAUUUCCAAGUAACACCUUUCUUUUGAUGCCAACUUUUCCUUUUGUUCAGUACUUUAUUCUUCUUCUUUUCUUUUUCUCUUUUUUUUCAUCACAAUUUUACAUCCCUAAACUUAUUUCUUUCUAUGACGGAUAGUGGGGUGAAUAUUGAGCAUUAUUGAACUUUUUCAACAACUUCACCCUCUAAACAUCAAGCUCAAUACACUUCCUAAAAUGAUUAACAUACUUAAGAGUGAAGGAUGCAAAAUUGGAAAUUUAAUUUAUAGGCCUAGGCUAAAUAAAAUAGGUGUUUAACAAAGAAAAGGUAAUAUUAGGCUUAAAGGGGUAUUCUAAGGAUAAACAUAUAAAAAGGUAGGCUCGAAAGGUUCAAAUGGUCCAAAGAUGGCCUAUUUCAUUUCCUUAACUAAGUAUUGCCUAGGAUUUGGCCUCGAGAGAGAAUCAAACAAAUUCUAGAAUUCAUGACAUAAUCAAAUUCACAUCAACAUAAACUGUCUCUAAAUAUGCACAACAAUUCUAAACAAAAGACAAUGUGCUUUAUUUAUUAAUAAUCUCAUUCUAACAAUGAUACUUAACAUAAGAACUUAUCAUAAACCAAAUAAUAUCCAUAUUUACCAAAAGCUAAAGAUAACAAGAUAACUAAAUUUUCAUCAUUGGAUAAGAAAAUCAUAAGAAAAUUGGCACAAUCUACUUUAGUUUAAAAUUCUUAAAAAAACACAUAAAGAAAAGUAAAUGAUAAGCUAAAAAGCCUUAAAAACAUAAUUGCAAAUAAAUAAAAUAAUACUCUAAAGAAAUAAAACCAUAGCAAAAAAAAUUUUAAACUACCCCAAAACUUAAUAUCAACAUUGUCCUCAAUGUUAUAAAUAGAUAAAGAAAAGGUAAAAAAAACUCCCCUAGUCUGUGGAGAGACUUUACUCUUCUUCCUCAUCUUUCUCAUUGUUGCCUAUGCUAGAAAGAUCCAGUAAGGUAGGAAAGUUGGUCAUAUCCAUCCCCAUGUAGUUUGCACUUCAUUGGAACAUCUGCUCCAUGCCUUGAUUGCAAUCCAUUUGAUAUGACAUUUGUUGUUUGUAUCAGAGCUUAAGACGUUCCAUUCUUUGAGGUAAUGUCAAGUUCUAGGCUCGAGGUUGAGUAGCUCUAGGUUGAGGUGCAGAGGAAAAACUACUGACAGUAGUUGAGGGAUCAUAGUAUCUCUGAAUAAGUCCCACAUCAAUACGAGCUUUUGGGUGCAGCAAUUCUACACUCUUGUUCCAUUGGACACUAGCUCUCCCACCUAAGGUGGUUAUCAAAGAGGGGAACUAUAAACCAUCACUUUUUGAAUAGGUUGUUUGUAAUAUGGCGUUGAAGACCACUUGGCCAAUGUUGAUGUAUUUUCCCGUAACAAUGGUGUAAAUAAGGAUUGCUCUUUCCCGUGUAACAUCACUAAUAUGUCUAGAUGGAAACAUCAUUGCUGGAUGGCCAACGUAUGGCCCUAUUACUAUUUGUACAAAAUUUAAGCCAGAGAUAUUGUAUUUUAUUCGAAUUUAUUAUGAAUAUUUGAUGAUUGAAUCCCUUGGCCUAUGUAUGUUUGAAUAUGAACUCUAAGGCUUGCUCGGGUUUAGUGGGCUUGCUUGUUGAGCUUGUGUACUGGUCAUGGCCCUCGGGUUUGGGUCAUGACAAUACACACAUCAUCAACAUAUCAAUCACAUCUUUUUCUUUAACUCAUAUUCAUGAAUAAUCUAAUCUCAAAGGGUAUGUGGUAAUGCAUCACAUAUUAUCCCAUAAAAUCAUGUCUCACAUGUUCCUUAAAUGAAAACAUAUCAUAAGUUUAAGGGUGGGAAUGUCUACCUCACCUAAGCUGUCACGACCCGGAACUCCCCAUCGGGCCCGUGACAACCGUUGCGAGGCCUCGACAAACAUUCUUCACCCCGAAUGUCGAUCGAAACUUUGCAAGGCUCUCGUAUCAGCUUUCGCACUUCCCCGGUGAGCAAUAGUUAUCAAAUAUCAAAAUCGAAGGAUUACAAAUCAUUUCCAAAUCAGAACAUAACAUAUUGUUUUCUGGCUCACAAGAGCAUUUUCGUCAUUUUUGUCAAAAAUUUUGAAACUUGCUAAAAAUGUAGUAGGUAAGCAGAAAAUAUAUAUUUAAUGAUUUAAAAACAAAUUAAGUAUCUAAAAUGUUCAUUUGAAGUGAAAAUUUGACCAUUUGAAUAUAAUAAAAAUAUUCAAUAAAAUAAACUAUUUUCUUGUAAAAUAAUUUUCAUAAAACUAUCGGUACAUAAUACUUAUAGCGUAAAAGUUAAUUAUAUUCAUAUAUACUAUAAAGCAAAUAACCAAAGCAUAAAAUUUCUUUUACAGUGACCGAGGGCCCACAUCUAACCAAAAUGCAUCGGAAGUUAGAAACCUAUAGCUUUUACCGAUUCGAGUCCAAAUGAAGGUNNNNNNNNNNNNNNNNNNNNNNNNNNNNNNNNNNNNNNNNNNNNNNNNNNNNNNNNNNNNNNNNNNNNNNNNNNNNNNNNNNNNNNNNNNNNNNNNNNNNNNNNNNNNNNNNNNNNNNNNNNNNNNNNNNNNNNNNNNNNNNNNNNNNNNNNNNNNNNNNNNNNNNNNNNNNNNNNNNNNNNNNNNNNNNNNNNNNNNNNNNNNNNNNNNNNNNNNNNNNNNNNNNNNNNNNNNNNNNNNNNNNNNNNNNNNNNNNNNNNNNNNNNNNNNNNNNNNNNNNNNNNNNNNNNNNNNNNNNNNNNNNNNNNNNNNNNNNNNNNNNNNNNNNNNNNNNNNNNNNNNNNNNNNNNNNNNNNNNNNNNNNNNNNNNNNNNNNNNNNNNNNNNNNNNNNNNNNNNNNNNNNNNNNNNNNNNNNNNNNNNNNNNNNNNNNNNNNNNNNNNNNNNNNNNNNNNNNNNNNNNNNNNNNNNNNNNNNNNNNNNNNNNNNNNNNNNNNNNNNNNNNNNNNNNNNNNNNNNNNNNNNNNNNNNNNNNNNNNNNNNNNNNNNNNNNNNNNNNNNNNNNNNNNNNNNNNNNNNNNNNNNNNNNNNNNNNNNNNNNNNNNNNNNNNNNNNNNNNNNNNNNNNNNNNNNNNNNNNNNNNNNNNNNNNNNNNNNNNNNNNNNNNNNNNNNNNNNNNNNNNNNNNNNNNNNNNNNNNNNNNNNNNNNNNNNNNNNNNNNNNNNNNNNNNNNNNNNNNNNNNNNNNNNNNNNNNNNNNNNNNNNNNNNNNNNNNNNNNNNNNNNNNNNNNNNNNNNNNNNNNNNNNNNNNNNNNNNNNNNNNNNNNNNNNNNNNNNNNNNNNNNNNNNNNNNNNNNNNNNNNNNNNNNNNNNNNNNNNNNNNNNNNNNNNNNNNNNNNNNNNNNNNNNNNNNNNNNNNNNNNNNNNNNNNNNNNNNNNNNNNNNNNNNNNNNNNNNNNNNNNNNNNNNNNNNNNNNNNNNNNNNNNNNNNNNNNNNNNNNNNNNNNNNNNNNNNNNNNNNNNNNNNNNNNNNNNNNNNNNNNNNNNNNNNNNNNNNNNNNNNNNNNNNNNNNNNNNNNNNNNNNNNNNNNNNNNNNNNNNNNNNNNNNNNNNNNNNNNNNNNNNNNNNNNNNNNNNNNNNNNNNNNNNNNNNNNNNNNNNNNNNNNNNNNNNNNNNNNNNNNNNNNNNNNNNNNNNNNNNNNNNNNNNNNNNNNNNNNNNNNNNNNNNNNNNNNNNNNNNNNNNNNNNNNNNNNNNNNNNNNNNNNNNNNNNNNNNNNNNNNNNNNNNNNNNNNNNNNNNNNNNNNNNNNNNNNNNNNNNNNNNNNNNNNNNNNNNNNNNNNNNNNNNNNNNNNNNNNNNNNNNNNNNNNNNNNNNNNNNNNNNNNNNNNNNNNNNNNNNNNNNNNNNNNNNNNNNNNNNNNNNNNNNNNNNNNNNNNNNNNNNNNNNNNNNNNNNNNNNNNNNNNNNNNNNNNNNNNNNNNNNNNNNNNNNUUUUUCACUUAAUUUCCUUGAAAAUUCACACUUUUUCUUUGAUUUUCUCUCUCUAGGGUUUUGUUUUUGUUUUCUCUCUCUUCUUGCUGGUUUGGCCGGCCAUGGGGUGGAAGAUGGGCUGAUUUUUGUGCCUUUUAAAAAGAAAAAUAAUAAAUUAAUAAAGGCAUGACGUGGGGCAUCAUGUCAUUGGCCUGUUUUUAAAACUUUAAAAAUUUUAAUCCUUUUUGUCUCCACCACACAAUUAGUAAAUGGUCAAAAUGAGGAUAAGAGAUGACCAUGUGCUGGAAAAAUGUCUUGGUGGUGGAAAAUUACUGUUUUGCCCCUAGGGUGGUAAAAUUACCAUUUUACCCCUAUACUCCAAAUUAUACCGAAAUUAAAAAUUUUCACUUCUAAACCUCAAAUCAUACUCCAAUAAGUCAAAUGGGGCCAAAAAUCGUUUCUAAAAAUUCCCAUUUUGUCCUUAGGUGGCAAAUGACCAUUUUGCCCCUAGAUAGCGAAAAUUUCAAUUUGACUCCAAAUUGAUCCUCGAACUCCGAAUCACCAUAUUAAACCAUUCCGAGACUUUAAAAUUCUUAAUUUCAUCAUAAAUUCUCUAUUUGAUCUAGUUCGAGGCUUAAAUCAACUUUGUUGUACCUCUAGGUACAAUAUCGACUUUUGUAAAUUUUUCAAGACUCUCCUAGCAUGCAAACAUGCUAUCCAUCACAUGUAUGUCAUGACAAAUAUUUUUAUAGAGUCGGGUUUGUCAUCUUCUCCCCCACUUGGAUCAACCAUAUGAUCCUUCUUAAUGACUGAUUUUGAUAUUCGACUAAAUAUUAAUAUUUUAAUAUUAUUUUAUUAAUAAAAUAUUAUUUUAUUUUAAAAAUUUUAUCUUGUCUCCUUGGUACCCAAAAUACCUUAUUAUGCCUCACUUGACUUCCGAAUUGCCUUUUAUCUCACAAAUUCUCCUUCGAUAAAAUUAUUAUUAUUUUAUUAUUAUUUUCUCACUUGCGGAAUAUUUUAUCCUAAACUACUCUUUUCGCCUUUUAUCACUUUUAAAUAUUUUAAUUGACCUCAAUUUGCAUUUGAUCAACUUUAUUUAUCACCAUAUCAAAGUAUGGGGUAUUUCAUAAGCAUUCAUUUCUUAUACUUUUCCAUAGCAACAAUGUAGGUACUAACUUAUCUGAAUCGUAUUUCUCCAAAAAUACUAAAUCAUUAUGCUCAUCAUCAAGUAUAAAGAUGGGAACUUACAUCUAUUUCUCAUCCAUAAAUCCAUACACAUUUUUUAUUUCCUAUUCAAAACAGAAUUGAAGUUUUUGAAGUAAAACAUGUGAAAGGGCUUAUCCCCCCUUAUUGAAAACUAUUACACAAUAGUGAUAUUUACGUAUAGAAUUAGAUUUUAAAACUUUUUGAAAACAUUUGGAUAAAAAUAAUUUGAUUUAAUUUUGUAAACCAAGUAUUCAAAUCAUGCAAAGUUAAACAACUCAAUCAAACAUGCUUAGCUUUAUUGUAUUAAUAUACUUAAAAGGGUGUAUCCACUCAUCUUCGAAAUGUUGACCGCUAUCAAUAAACAAGACUUGACUCCAACAAAUUCCUUGGAGCUUUGACAGCACCUAAAGUGUUCGACAAUUAUUACAAUCAGUACUCAAACUAUAAAUCACAUAAUAACCAUUCUAAACCUUUUAAAAACUAACCAAGUUCAUUCAAACUACUUUUCUAGACCAAAACCACUGUUGUUCACUAACUAAAGCUGGAAAUUCAUAAACUCAUUUUUCCUUACCUUGGGUGUGCUUUAAUCCAUGAGAAAAAUCACCAAAUCCUUAGCUUGAAAGACAAAUAAAAGUGUGGGACUUUGACCUUUAUUGAUUUAUAGAUAGAAGUAAACGCGAUAUCCCUGAUCAGGGGUAAUUUUGUCAUUUCUUUAGUAAAUCCCUAAAAGUAAGUUUUAAACAAUACUAAGGCCUAAGUAGGCCUAAGGCAUAAAUGAAUGAUGAAAAUAUGGUUAAAAUGAUGAUGAUUUCCACGGUAGGGGCAAAAUGGUCAUUUUUCACCUCUAGUUAAAAUUUUUAAGUUUUUGCAAACUCAAUCAUUUCUAGACCAAUAUGGACUUUGUUUCAGUGUCAAAAGAUAAAAAAGAUUGCAUAAAGGAUUAAAGGAGAACAAGUUAACUUGUGAGGGAAUUUUGGUAAUUUAAGUGGAAUGGAUAAGCUUGGGCUAUAAAUAUCUCUUUCUUCCAGUAGCUUCUUCUUCCUUCUUCUCUUUCACAUUGCUUCCAACCUCCAUGGAAGCUUGAUAUGAACCUCCAUAACCUUUCUCAAAAUAGCUCCACUUUUCAUGCUUUUGGUGCACCCUUUCAUAAAUCCUUGUGCUCUUCCACUCUCUCUCUUUAAAACCCUUGAAAAAUCUUAUUUCCAUACUCUCUCUCACUAGUUAGGUGUUUUAGAGAGAGAAAGAGGAAGCUUUAUUAAUAGCUUGAAAGUUUUUGAAAAGAAUUUCAAGCACAAAGCUACCAAGGUGACUAGUGAACUAGAAUUGAUUUUUAGUGUUGAAAAUGAUUAGUGUUUAGACUUGUGGGUGUUUUGGUAGUUGAGGUUGGAAAUUCACUUUUGAGUGAUUAGGAUAGUGAAAAUGGAUAGCCAUUUAAUGGCACUUGGAAACUAGUAGGUGAUAGCUUGUAGAACUUGUAAUUAUGAGAAUUGAGUUAAUUAUGAUCUUAAUGUGAUGAUAGGUUCCAACGAAGCCCCACAGUCCCAUUUGGACCAUUAGGGAAGUUAGAAUCGACUAAAGGUUCAACGAAAUACCGGUGAGUGGACUUGCAUUUCAAACUUGUUUUGGGAAUGCGAAUGUGUUUGCACAAGAUAUUUGAAUGACUUUAUCCAACUUUUCUUUGCAAAUGUGUGCCAAAGAACAAGCCUUGAUUAAAUGUUUUGAUAUUAUGAAAUGUGAGAUGUGUAUAAGGAUGAAUCCAUGUGAUUUAUAUUAUGUUGGUAAGUAUGUAUAUAUCAUAUGAAUAUGUGCCGUGUAUUGAAGAAUGAUGUUGGGUGAUGUUGAAGUGUGCGAGUAGGGAGUGCACACAUGAUGAUGAUGUAUGUAUAUGUAAAUGUGUGUGUUAUAAAAAGCUCAUGAAUGUGGUUUAUGGAUGUAAUGCAUGUGAAGUCUUACAUGUUGAACUUUGGAAAUUUCUAAGCAUGUUUAAGUUGAGCUUGUCUUUAUAGCUAAAUAGCUUAUCCUUGAGAGAAUCAAAAUUUGUUAUUGGUGUCCUGUUCUCGCUGCAGCGAGAUUCAGCGAAAAACUCUCGGGUUUGGAAGGUUGCAUUGGUUUGAUUCUCGUUGCAGCGAGAAUGCAUUUUCGCUACAGCGAGAAACUUUCUACCUUGCUUAUUAUCUUGUUCCCUUGUUGCCUUAUUUCCCAUUUCUUUGGCACCAUAGUUGAGUGUGGACUUCCAAAUUUAGGAAUUUAUUUAAUUAAGUUUGAAAUGAAGAGGUUUGUUGAGAAACCCUCGUUCCCUGAUAAUUUGAGCUCAAAUUUCGCUACAACGAAAAUUCAUUCUCACUGCAGCGUACCUUUCCGCUACAGCAAGGACUCGUCGUCUUACUUGACUUGACAUGCUUGAAUGCUAAUAAAGUUUUCACUCUUCAAAAUCCUUUGUUGUUCAUGGAACCGUUAUCAUCAAGUGAUUAACUCAUUAAGGGUUUAAUGAGGGGUUUUAUUAAAACUAAACUAAAUUGCAUUGUUUUGAAAAUAAAUGCAUAAUGAUUUCUUUAAACUUUCCUUAUUGUUCGCUUGUUCCCUUCCUAUUCACUCACUGGGUUUAUGCUCACCGUUUUCAACUUCAUGUUUUCAGAUCAAGAGGCAGUCGAUAGCUAGGUCGAGGUGUCCUUGUAGAUUCGUAUCUUUGGUAAGUAUCAAUGGUAUUCAGUAGCUACACCUUCAUUGUAGUCACUUCACUGGAAGCCCAGAGUCAUUUUAUUGUAAAUAUGUACAUGUGAUGUAAAUUAUUAAAUUUGCAUGUUUAGACAAUAUAUGUACAUUUUGAUUGGUAUGCCACUAUGAGUUGGAAAUGCUUAAUAUUAUUUUGAUUCAAAGUUAUGAAAUGUAACUUAGUAACUUUUGUUGGAAUGGUGAACAGGUCUUAUUAAUAGGCUUGCUUGGGCUUAGUGGACUACGUCCAUUAGGCCCAUGCACCGAUCAUGGCCUAGAAUUUGGGUCGUGACAAAAAGUUUGGACUUAAAAGUAGUAUUUUUUUUAGUUGGAAAACCAUAGAUUUAAAGAUUCAAAGUUGAAAAACAUCACCCUUGUUGAAAAACCCAAAACCUAAGCUUCAAUCCUCCAAGAAUGGUGAUUUAGGUGUAAAAGUGUGUUAAGAGAGCUUAGAGUUGAAAGAAAACUGAUGGAAAAUCGCUAGGAAUGAAAAAACAUAAAAGAAUAAGUCAUAUUUAUACUAUGGAGUGUGAAAAUACCCAUUUGUCCUCUUUUAUUUUUCAAAAAUCGACAUCAUCUAUCGAUAGACUUGGCCAUCUAUUGAGAGAUAGGAUUUAAAGUCCUUUUAAAAAGCUUUAGGGUUGCUAUCUAUUGAUAGAUAAGCCUGAUCUAUCGAUAGAUGUUUUCCAAUUCUCUUAAAAAGACUUUUUGGAUUCAAUCUAUCGAUAGAUGAUGAACAUCUAUCAAUUGAUUUUGUCCAGAAUGCACUCUAGAUGUCCUUAAUAGGCACUAAGCUUAUUUACAUUGAGUAAAUGUCCUCAUUUUUACUUCUUUCCUUUUUUCUUUCCAUUUACUUAAGAUAUUUAAUAUAAAUAAGCAAACACCCCUGAAUUUGUAUUCAAUAAAAAUAUAAAAAAAAUCAAAAUCCAAAAGAAUCAAAAUCAAAAUUUUGAUUUAAAGAACAAAAUCGGAAAAGUUCGAUUGAAAUUAAAUUUGCAUCUCCUAUUUACCAUAGCAAAUGUUUUCCAAAAAUUAAGAAAAAAAUCAUUUUUAAUUAUCUAAAUUUUAAGAGAACCAUUAUCGUUAUUUUUUAUUUCCAAUUGAUUGUUCUACAAAAAUUACAUAUCUUAACCUUUUCCAAACUUAGAAAUUUUCUGCUUUUACAAUGACAACCAACCAAGGUGACAGCCACAAAGGAUAAAAGAAUAUGUGGCAGGGACUAUAACCAAGAAACAAAAUCAAGUAUGAUAGAUAUCCAAAGCUCAUAUAAGGAUUUAUCCAACCACCUUUCUUAUAAAACUUAGGGGUUUAACAAAAGAAGAAAAGAAAAUUCAGAUUUUUUAGAUCUUUGAUCUUCGAUCUUCAUUCUUCAAGAGUUUUUCCUUCAUUGUCUUGCUUGCUUGAUGGCUCUUUUUUUUUAGAGAAAACCUAGCUUAAUUUUUGUUAUCAAGUGCUCUAAAAGUGUCUUUCAAUAAGGCUCAAAAUCUUUAUCGAAAUAAAAGUCCAGAGGUUGCAAAACUUGGGAUAUCGUGUCAAUGCUAUAGCGUCGCUCUCUGCCUUGCUCCAUGUAUCCUCUUCUUCAUGGCACCGUGGUGCCCAUUGAUUCAUGGCUAUGGUGCCUAACAUUUUCUCUUGCCACAUGUGCUCUACUGCAUUACUUCAACUUUUGACAUGAUUUUAUCCUUCUUCUAUGCUGAACUGGGCAAAAUUGUCAACAUAAUUAUUGUAGCCCUGUCUCCUAACUUUCUAAUGGCUUAAGCCGUACAUGAAUUUGACUUCGAGAAUGAAAGUUAUGCUCAAAAUACUAGAACAUAUGAAGAAGAAACAUGGACCUUUUUAUACACUUUUCUUCAUCAAUUAAAGCCUUUUCAAUUACACACCUAUAAGAACAUCAAACUAACUUAAAUAAUAACUAAAAUAAAGGAAAUUAUCAUAAAAUAGCAUAAAAUAACUUUGAUUAAUUGACCCAACAAGAUUUAAUAAGGUAAAUAACUAAAAAUAACUAAUUUCUAAAUUAAAUCUCAAGAACUUAGCCCAUUCAAACCAUAAAAUUUAACAAAAUAACUUUAUGAAAUAGAGUUAUUACCAAGGUAAGUGUAAGCUAGAAUUGAGUAAAAUUAUGUUGUGAAUUGUGAUUUGGAGGUAGUUGAUGAGCUAAAGAUUAAGUAUUUGUGGGUAAGGGUUGUAUGGAAGUUGGAGGAUGACAUCAUAGUUUUGGAAAGAGAUUGAAAAAAUGUUGUUAGAAAGCUAGUGUGAAUUCUAAAUUUGAAAAGAUACGUUAGAAUUUGAUUGUAUGAUUUGUUUGCCGUAGGUUCCAUUAAAGCAUUAAGGUCUAAUAACUAGGGGAACUUGGUCGGGUGGAUUUGAAGUAGCUGAGGUGACUUAUAGGUGAGUGGACUUGCACUAAAAUGUUUUGUUAAGAAAGGCAAGCAAAAUGUUUGUUUAAAAAUAAUAUGCCUAGAAAAUGUUUUGAUACAACUUGAUAAAUAAGGUUAGGCACACCUGUAUGCUGGAAUUCGACCUAAUGCUCAAACAUAAAAAUAAUCAAUAAAUGAAAAAUAAAAUGCAGUGAAAAAAUAAAAGAUGCAUUUAAUUAAAAAAAUAGUCGAAUCGCACAAGAUCAAUGUUUGUGUUUUUUCAUGUAAUUUUCAAAAUAAUUAUAAACAUUUGUAAAUUUAAGUAUUACAUACCUUGCUUUAGAUAUCGUAAUUAAGAGCUAAUUAAAUAAAAAAGGCUUGUGAUGAAGCAAGUAACCCAAAAAGAUAAUAAGAUGGCCGAAAAUCUUGCAAUCGAAAUUGUCACGACCCAAUUUUCGGACCAUGACCGGUGCAUGGACUCAAUGGACAUAGUCCACUAAGCCCAAGCAAGCCUAUUUAUAUAUAUUCCUGUUAAUCAUCCCGUCAACUAUUCUUACAUUUACAUCUCAUAGUCUCGACCCUUAGGUACUUAAAUAGUAAGUUAUAACAAUCAAAAGAUUGUAUUUGUUGUGGCCCAAACUAACAUUAAUCAUUACCACUCAUGGUGGCUUUACCAAUUAAAAUAUACAUAUACGGUCUAAGGCAUUCAUCUUAGUACUUUACAUCAUGUACAUAUUUACAAACAGAAUGACUCUGGGCUUCCAGCGAAGUGACUAAGGUGAAGGAACGGCUACAGAAUGCUAAGGUACCUACCAAAGAUACGAAAUUAUGAAGACACCUCGACCUAGUUACCGGCUACGUCCUGAUAUGAAAACAUGAAGUUGAAAACGGUGAGUAUAAACCCAGUGAGUGAACAUAAGAAGGGAAUAAGCGAACGAGAAGGAAAAUUUAAAGAAAUCAUGAUGCAUUUAUUUUCAAAACAAUGCAAUUUAGUUUCAUUUUUAUUAAAACCCUUCGUUAAACCCUUAAAUGGUUAAUCACUUGAUUAUAAUGAUUCCAUACAUAACAAAUAAUUUGAAGAAUGAGAGCUUCAGUGAUAUACAAGCAAGUCAAAGCUGAGUGGAAAGGCGUAGCUUCAGUGAGAAUGAAUUUUCGCUACAGUGAAAUUUGGGCUCAAGUUAUUAGCUGGACGAGGGUUUUUCUCUAAACUUCCUCUGUCACGACCCGGUACUCCCUUUGAGUCCGUGACAAUCGUCGCGACGUCCCGAUGGACAUUCAUUGCCCGGAAUGCUAACCGGAACCUCGCAAGGCUUUAAUAUCAAUUUUCGCACCUCCCCUGUGAGCAACAGUUAUUAAGUAUCAUGUUUUGAGAGAUUAUAAACUAUUUUCAAAUCAAAACAAUAGAAAAAUAAUAUUUUUUUUCACAUAGGGGCAUUUUGGUCAUUUUUCCUCAAAAAUCUCGAAACCAGCUAAAAAUGUAGUAUGCGAGUGGAAAACACAUAUUUCAUAAUCAAAAAUAACUUUAGAUGUCUAAAACAUUCAUUUAAAGUGAAACUAUACCUAUUUGAAUAUAAUAAAAAUAUUUAAUAAAAUAUUUUAUUUUUUUAUAAAACAAUAUUUAUAGAGUUACCGGUAAAUAAUUUUUGUAGCGUAAAAGCUAAAUUAAUUCAUACAUACUGUAAUACAGAUAACCAAAGCAUAAGAUUUAAUUUACAAUGACACAUGGGCCCACGAAUGACCAAAAGUAUCAAAAACGGUAAACCUACAAUUUUUGAGGAUGCAAGUCCAAAGGUAGCCCUCAAUGAAAUCAACUAUCUACAGCCUAUUCUGAGCCUGAAAUGGGUGGAAAGGAGGGUGGUGAGAUUAUAUAAUCCCAGUGAGUAAACAAAUAUCAUCUAAAAUAUCUAAAGCUGAGUAAAUGGAGACAACUAAAAUAGAUGAGUACAAAAAUGAUUCUCAGCAUUUCGAACUCAUUUUAAUAAGAUAAAAUAGAUUCAUUUCACCAAAAUAAACAACAAGGCUUAUGAUUUCCUGAAAAGUUUGGCUCGUGCCAAAAUUAUUCUCAUACUCAGUUAUAAGGAAUACCUUGGCCGAAGGCUAUCCCAACCGAGUCCGCCAAGGCUGUUAAAGAGUUAUGUACGCAUAAAUCAUGUUUUUAUUUUGAAAACAUAGUCGUUCCUUGGCAUUGGCUGAGUUCACCCUCACGUGGUGGUUUAGCGUGAAGUGAACUCUAAAGUGUUAACCUCAGGAGUUAUCCAUCCGCACCUCUCAUAUUGAGGUAUGAAUAUAAUAAGGUUACCAUGCCCCUCUAAUAGGCUGGUCCACGAAACCCAUCCACUGCAGCGACAUGGCAAUUAUUUUAUUUCACAGCCUCUCAAGGCAAAUCAACAGUUCAUACAUUUUCAGCACAUUUACCAAAUCCAACCAUUCAUGCCAAUAUUAUCAUAAACCAUUCAAUUCAAACCAUGAUUUAUAACACAGUAAACAGUCUCCAAUUACUCCAUUUUCCAAGACAUAAUUCAAUUUCAAGACAAUUUUAUAAAAUCAUUUCGUUUAAUCACAUUUUGAUUAUAAAACAUAAAGAUUUACCAUUUAAACUCAUUUUUCAUAAAAUCAAAAAAACGAAUUAAAAUUCACUUUAGAUAAUCAAGAUGAUGAUAAGGUUACUCACUAUAUCAGGAGUUUGAAAUACUCCUAUUCUCAGUCCUCUGACACAACGUCUUUACCCUUGUUAGAAGGCUCACCACCUAAAUACAAUACACGAUACACAAUUCAAUAUACUGUGUCAUACCAUUAUAAAUAUAUUUCAGGCUUUUUACUAAUGCAUGAAAUGGAAUGCAAAUCGUUCGGAUUAUCAUCUAAACACGGUGUUCUACACAAAUUCAAUUGUGCACAAAAAAAAAAUCGAUAUUGGCCUAAUUCGAUCUAUCACCCGAUUAAUUGGCCAAUAUGUCCAAUUCAACUCCAAUUAAUUCCAUUUUCUCCCAAUUCUGCAAAUCGCCAAACACAAGUCAAAUAACAUAAAAUUUAGCAAAACUAUCCUCACAUUUCUUCUUGAGAAUUUCAGCCAUGGUGAGUGCAUCAACACUAUGAUUUUUCCUACUUGAUUUUCUCACCAUAAUUCAUCAUUUCCUUACCAAUUCACUUGAAAUAAAAUCAAAUUCACCAUCAACACUCUACAAGGAUGAUUCGGCCAAUGAUGAACUCAUGAGGAAUAUGUGAAUUUCAAGCUUAAUUCUUACACUUAACACCAUAAACAACUAAAAACAUCCAUAUAUCUUAAAAAUCUAUCUAAAUCAUCAUCAAAUUCUCUCUCCUAGGGCUUGAUCAGCAAGAUACCUAUCAUGAAAUCAUGUGAUUCAACCAUGGAAAAUAAGAAAAAAUGCUUAAGAAAGAAAGAUCUCAAGCUUAAUUGAAAAAUCUUACCUUUUUUUCACUUGUUUUCUUGAAUUUUUAAACUUUUCCCUUGAAUUUUUUCACCUAGGAUUCUUGUUCUUUCUUUUCUUCCUUUGUUCUUCUUUGGCUGGCCAUAUGAAUGAGAAAUGGGCUGAUUUUGUGCUAAUUUAUAAGGAAAAUAAUAAAGAAUUAAAAGCUUGACACUUGUCACCUUACCAUUGGUCCAUUUUUAAAUUCUUAACUAUUAAGCUUUCUUUCUCCACCACAUAAAAUCUUUCAAUUAUCCAUGAUAAUAUUGGGUAAAAUUCAUGUGCUCGACAAGUUUUGGGUGGUGUAAAAUUACAAUUUUGCCCCUGGGUUUGCAAAAUGACUAUUUUACCCUUUAUGCUCGAAAAAUGUCGAAAUUAAAAUUCUUCACUUCCCAAACUCAAAUUAUGUUCUAAAUAGUCAAUCUUGAUCAAAAACUUCUUCCAGCAUUCCAAUUUUAACCUCGAGUGGCAAAAUGACCAUUUUGCCCCUAGAUCAUGAAAAUUCCAAUUUGACUCCAAAUCGGUCCUCGAACUCCGAAUCACCAUUUUAAGUCAUUCUGGGGAUUUAAAUUUCUCAAUUUCAUCUUAAAAUCUCUAUUUGGACUAGUUUGAGGCUUAAUUCAACUUAAUUGUACCAUUUGGUACAUUGCUGUCCUUUAACGAUUUUCGAGGUACCCAAGUAAGCAAACGUGCAUUCUUAUAUAAGAAUGGCAUAAUAAACUUAUUGUAGAGUCAGGCUUCACAUCUUCAUUUCAAACUUAAUUAAAUAAACCCCUAAAUGUUGGGAGUCCAUGAUCAACUAUGGUGUAAAUGAAAUGGAAAAAUAUGGCAAAAACCACCAAGAUAGCAUACCAGACAGAAAGUUUCUCGCUGUAGCGAGAUUCUUUCUCACUGUAGUGAGAUUCAAGCGGCCAAAACAAAAAGUUUCUCUCUUUUGCAAGAAGCUCCAGCGAAUUUCUCGCUGUAGCGAGAACCAGGUUAAUAAACCCCUCAAACUUGAGAGUUUCUCGCUGCAGCAGGAAUCAUUUUCACUGCAACGAGAGACAGGGCAUCAAAGAAAAGUUUCCAUUUUCUCAAGAAGAAAGCCAUUCUACUGAAAUGACAAAAUCAACGUGAAACAUUUAGAAAUUCCCAAAGUUCAACAUGCUAAAUUUUCACAUGCAUUACAACCAUAUAUCAUAUUCAUGAACUUUUAUUUCAUAAGCAUAUAUAUACAUAUAUACACAGAUAAACACCAAUACCACCAUCGUCUCACCCAACUCAUGUGUAUCCUCCCACAUCGUGCACAUAGCCGGAGUCAUUGUGUGCAUCCCCCCACAUCGUGCACAGUUAGUGCCAUCGUGUGCAUCCGCCCAUAUCGUGCACACGGGCACUAUCACUAUCCAUCUCCUUCACCUUCGUCAUCACCGGCAAGUGAACAUUCACCCCGCACAUGCACGGUUUCAUUUGUCACACAAUGGUAACAUUUAUGACAUAGUAUAUAUAUAUAGCAACAUUACACAGACACAUAUAGAUUCAUCACACUAUCCAUUUCAUAACAUAAAAACAUUUCAUAAGGGCUUGUUCCCGUGCGAGUUUUGAAGAUAAAACAAAUAAAACGUUUUAAGGAUUCAAUCAAACAUACUUGUAUACAUACCCCAAACCCUUUUUAAUGCAAGUUCAUUCACCGGUAUUUGUUGAACCUUUAGUCGACUCUAAUUUCCUUAAUGGUCCAAUUAGGGUUGAGGGCCUUGUUAGAACCUAUCACACACCAAAAACAUCACAGCCAAUCCAAUUUACAUUAAUAUUGCUCCAAAAGCUAAUUCCCAAAUCAAAUUUCAAAAGCCCUUCCUACCUACCUUCUAAUUACCAUUUGAUUGGCUAUUUAGUUUCUCUCUCUAGUAACACUAAAAAUAGAUAAACAACUUUAGCAAUAACACAACUCAUUUCUUCAAUUUGUAGCCAUUAUCAACAACUUAAAAUCACUCUUAAUUCAUCACUCACAUUGGUGGAUUAUAAUGAAAUUCCUUCUCAAAAUUCUUCCAAGCUAUUGUAGAAGUUCCCUUUUUCUUUCUCUAAAACACCUAGCUAGUGAGAGAGAAUAUGAAAGUAAGACUUUUCAAGGGUUUCAAAGUGAAAGAGUGAAAGAGCACAAGGUUCUAUGAAAGGGUACACAAAAUCAUGAAAAGUGGAGCUAGCUUGAGAGAGUUAUGGAAGUUUGAAGAGAACUCCCAUGGAGGAUGAAGAAACGUGAGAGGGAAGAAGAAAGAAGAAGAAGAAGCUACUGGAAAUGUGAGAAGAAACUGCUAGAAGAUGAUAUUUGUAGAUCAAGUUUAUCCAACUCCACUUAAAUUACAAAAAUACCCUUGACAACUUAGCUUGUUCUCCUCCAAUCCUUUAUGCUAUCUUUGUACUCUUUUUACAUUAGGACAAGGUCCAUAAUAGUCUAGAAAUACUUGGGUUCACAAAAACUUAAAAAUUUUGACCUCGAGAUGAAAAAUGACCAUUUUGCCCCUACAUUGAAAAUCAUCAUUAUUUUUAUUUCUUUCGUCAUUUUACCCUUAUUUUCAUCAUUCAUCUAUGCCUUAGGCCUACUCAGGCCUCAACAUUGUUUGAAAGUCUACUUCUAGGGGUUCACUAAGGAAAUGAUGAAAUUACCCCUAGCUCGUAUUAUCGCGUCUACACCUAGUCACGAGUCUAUAAAGAUCAAGGUCUCAUAGAAAUCUUUCCUUAUUAACCUUUAGGAUUUGUCAAAUCUUUAGCCACUCAAGUGUUUGGCCUCUAACAAUAAUCAACAAAAUGACCGAAUAAGACCUUCUCAAAGGUAGGAUUUUUAUUGUGCUAGCAAGUUUUGUCUCUAAAACAAAAAGACCAAAGUUUGUGCCGAAUUUUAUUUCUGUAAGACAAAGAAAACUAUUUUUCUUUUUUUAUUUUUUUGAAAUGGCUAAGAAGUGGUUGAAUUAGUUUAGCUCUUAUCAAAACCCCUCAUGUAAACCCUAAAUGAGUAAAUCACUUGAUAAAAAAGUCCAUGCUCAACAAAUGAUUUGAAGAGUGAAAACCUUAAUAGCCUUUAUGCAAAUUACGUCAAGUAAAUGACGGGUCUUUGUUGUAGCGGGAAGGCAUUCUCCCCAAACGAGGGUUAGUCGAGGAGGGUUUCGUAAUUGGCCGAGGGUUUCUCACCAAACCUCUUCAUAUCAAACUUAAUUAAUUAAUUUCUUAAUGUUAGAAGUCCAUGCUCAACUAUGGUACCAAAGAAGUGGAAAAUAAGACAGCAAUUGAACAAAAAUAAGGAGCAAAACAUAAAGUUUUUCGCUGCAGCGAGAAUGAUUCUCGUUACAGUGAAAUUUCAGCCAUAAAACAAAAAGUUUUUCUUUGCAGCGAGAAUCAUUUUUGUUGUAGCGAAAUACUACAGUAACGACUCGGUGCAGCGAGAUUUCGACUAGCGUUACCCCUCCAAACCCGAGAGUUUCUUGUUGCAGCGAGAAACAAAACAGCAAGAAAAAAAGGUUUCAUUUCUUUCAAGGAAAAGCCAUCCUACUAAAAUGACAAAAAUCAACAUGAAAGGCAUAAAAAUUCCCAAAGUUCAACAUGCAAGAUUCACAUGUGCAAAACCAUAUACCAUACUCAUGAACUUUCUAUAAUACACAUAUCUAUAUAUGUAUAUAUAUAUAUAAAUAUAUAUAUCAACCAUCAUGCACACCCUCCCAUCAUCAUCAGCUCAUAUGAGCUCCCACUAGCACAUGGCUGGGUCAGAAUCGGCUUAUGCUGUAAUGACCCUUCCUCGGUUGCUACCGGCGUCUGAGACCUCCGGAAUAUCCCAUCAAGUCCUAAACAAGCCUUAAUGAAAUUGCUCAAUAACUCAUUGUACACUUUUACUAAACCAUAUUAAUGUUUGAACCAUAUAUAUUCAUAAUGUGAAUUCAACAACAAGCAUAACCAUUAAAAUUUGACUUUAAGUCAUGAUAUCACAAUUAAAUACAUUGAGUUCAAAAAUCUCAAAUUUUUGUUUAUAUCAAAACUAAUAUUUGUUUACAUAGUAAAACCAAGUACUACAACUCAACCUAUAACAGCGGAGCGACUCGGGAUAAAAUGCUAUGAGAUGCCUUUACCUAUUUACAAUGGACUCUACGCGCUGAUGAUUACACAUUAGACCGAUCUCUAUUUGCAAAAAGGGGAAAAAGAGGGGUGUGAGUCUCACAGACUCAGUGAUCAUCGACUCUGUGAAUAGGGCGUAGAGGGGAAACAAGCAAAUAGCAGAUCAGUUGAAUAUUAAAAUGCAAGAUUAUAAAAACAAUUUAUUUCAAACAGAAGUUUGUGCCUUAUGUGAAAUACCAAGGAUUUCUUACACAUUGUACUACUUCAAUUGUAAAUCAACCAAGGUAGAUAAAAAUUUUCGCUACAAAACAGAUCAAUAACCUUAUUCAAGUCAAUCAUUUAAAAUAUUGAAUUAAAACAAUUUUACAUAAAGAAAAUUCCGUCGUGAAAAUCAAUUGACAUUUUUCUUAAAUCAAAUCAAUGUAUUCUGCAAGCUCCCUUAAAAUUGAAUGUUAAUCAAACUCAUACGUAAAUCACAAAUCACCUCGCACUCAAGGAGUUAAAAUUCAUUUCACCGCAAAAAUAAGAGAGUUGUAGAAAAAUCGUUAAAUUUCACUUUCACCAUGCAAAGUGAUGCCACUCUCGAGUAGGGAAUGAAAAUAAACCCGUGGUCCCACUACCACGUAAUAACAUCUGGGAGCAUUGCUUCCAUCGGAUUCCCAUGUGCCAUGGCAGUCUCACAAUGUUGGCUGACAUCGGAGAAUCAAGUGGUCGCAAUCACAUAAUCAUCUGGUGGCCUAGCCACACAUACAUAUAUCACAGGUCGUGGCCCCAACAACGCCUAAUCGUCUGUCGGUGACCUAGUGGUUCUGUAGCUAGAGCUCACUUGUGCAUGAGGGUCACACUUCACACUUAAUUGAUGUGACAUCCGACUUACUCUCGAUGCUCUCGGUUUGUAAAACCAUUUUGUAAUUGUGUUAUGUCUUUAAAAACUCGUCUCAAAAUUAUUUUCCAAAGCAUUCAUCACAAGGUAUGAUAAAAUCUAGAGGAAAUUGUGAGAAAAGGACCUCGUGAUAAGCUGAUUUCAGAAAUAAUCACCCAUAUAAAGUUAUCUGUUUCUAGCCAGAAAUAAGCAUGAGUAGACCAAAAUGCCCUUAAAAUCAUCGUUUCAAAUAGAUGCUCAACUGUUGAGGUAUCUGCCUCCCGCUAAAGAGAAAAUAGAAAAAAAUAAAAAUAAAUGCUCCCAGCUGUUUGGGCUGGGUCAUCAUUCUCUCUAAACUCUCUGAAUUGUCUUAACUCUGGCAAGUGUCAGUUGAGCACCAUCGUUGUCAGCUUUCUCAGAUCUAUGAACUGUAUGAGCUUUGUCAACUCUCUGUUGAGCACCAUUGUCAUCGGGCUAUGGUCUAUCUCUCGACAUCUGGCCAUAUUAUCGUAGAUUAACAAACCCUAUAGCAGAGAUGACAUCAAAAUACUUGUUAUUGGGUUUAUUUCUGCAACACACUUAAAUUUCUGAAACAUUUGAUGUAAAUUAGAAGAAGGAUUCAAAACAUUGCCCAGAGUUGUUACAUGCCAAAAACAUGUGUUAAGAGUUAUUUUAGCAUCUCACGGUUGUUCCUGGCAUGUUGUGGGUUAACUAGUUUUAUGGGUUUUUGGCGUGUCACCGCUGUUACUGGCGUGUCGUGGGUUAACUGAAUUUAUGGGUUUUUGACGUGUCACGGCUGUUACUGACGUGUCGUGGGUUAACUAGUUUUUUGGGUUUUUAACGUGUCACUGUUGUUGGUGUAACGAGUCAGUAAUUACAGUGAUUGGCGUGUCACAACAUUUGACUUGAUAUGCAUGGCGUGUUACAACAUUUUACAUUAUAUGCAUGGCGUGUAACAACACGACUGACAAAUUUUUGAUCACGGCAUGUAUUGUGUAAAAUGAUUGAGAAAAUUUUUUUUUUCAAAAUUUCAAUGGGGUUUCAAUUGUGCGACUUGUGCUAAGACACGGUGGUCAGUGGGUGGAUGGCAUUUACAAGGGUGGUGAGUCACGAAUGCAGGGGGUUAGGAGUGAUUUGUCGAUUGUGGGAUUGAUGAAGCUGGUUGAAGAUGUUGUUGAGGUAAACUCAAAAAUUGACGAGAUUGAGUUACAUGCAUUGAUCAGUACAUCGGCAGAGCUAUCACGGCCAAUUAUCAAUGACGAUGAAGAUGUUGCAUUAAUUUUGCUAGAACAGAGGAAUGUUCCGACUAUGUAUGUCAGCAUUAAGGGAUGCCAAACAAAUGUUAUGUCACAUGAGGAAGUUGGACAAUAUGGUAAUCAGCUCAAUCAAAAUGAGAUUUACAAGGCUUCACAAAUACCAAAGCAUUCGUUCCAUAACCCACAACAAUGGCAAUUGAGGUAUGCACAAGAGUUUGUGUAGCUUGGUAGACAGACGACAUUCAUAGAAUAGUUGGCUGCACAAUUCCAAUCAAGAUGUGCAUCAAACCAAUUUCUUCAUUCUCUUGAACAAAUGCAACGAUCGGGUGAAACUGUAGAGUGUGUAAUGCCAUUGUCAAAUGAGAAUACGACAGUUGAGGACAACAAUGUGAGGUUGGAGGGUGACACUACGACGCCGGAGGAUAGUACUACAUUUGAUGAGGGAAAUGAGGAUUUGUUCACUACUGGUGAAGAUAGAUUUGAUGACACUUCAGAUGAUGGGCUUGAACAAUCGCAAGAUGACAGUUUAAACAAUGACUGCCUUUAUGAUAGUGACAUUCCAAUUUGCAAUAAUGUUGAAGGCAAAGCGGAACCUAUUGGAGGUGUUGAUGUAAGAGAUGUUCAGUGUGAUGACCCCAUAUACAAUAACCCCAUCGCUGAUGAGAACUGGAUUUGUUCCCUUGAUAGAUUGCUCGAUGACAGUGAUCAGGAAAGGGGAAAUGCAGGGAUAUCUCGUACAUGGGUAAUUGCAGGUGCAGAAAGGUCUCCUUCCAAACAAUUACCACUGAGGAGUCGACAUGUACCGAAGAUCACUUAUACAAAGGAAGAAUGUUUUCAUCGAAGGCCAAGUUGAAAUGAGCUUUGAACAUGUUGGUUAUAAAAGAGAAGUUUACGAUUAGAGUAAAGAGGUCAUGUAAAGUUCGUUAUAAGGUUAGUUAUAAGGACAAGGCAUGCAAGUUUAGUGUUCGUGCAACGAAGUUACCUAAUAGAGGAGAAUAUUGGCAAGUUCGAACAUUCCAUAAAGUACAGACCUAUACCUUUGAUGGUUUGCAAGGGCGGUUUUCAACUACAAGUGCGAAGAUGAUUGGUGAACUUAUGUCACACAAGAUUCAGCCUAAUGGAGUAAAAUUGAGACCUAAGGACAUAAUUUGUGAGAUGAGGGUUUAGUGGGGAUUAGAAUGCUUGUAUGGUAAGGCUUGGCAAGUGAAGGAGUAUGCGGAGAAGCUUGUUUUCGGUCCACCAGAGGAGUCAUUUCAACUACUACCAUCGUAUUUUUAUAUGUUGGAACAAGAAAAUCCUGGCACAGUGACUGCAGUGGCAACUGAUAAGGAAGAAAGAUUCAAAUAUUGUUUCUGGUCAUACGGGGCUUGUAUUCGGGCGUUUAGGGAUGUAAUGCUUCCUACAGUUGCAAUUGAUGCUACACAUCUAAAAGGGCGAGCGAGUGUGUAUAUCCAGUUGCUUUUGGCAUCGGCCAUGUUGAGGAUGAAGACUCAUGGAUGUGGUUUCUUAGCAAGUUAAGUGAUGCAGUUGGUUGUCCUGAAAACACUAUGUUCAUUUCUGAUCAGCAUCUGGGCAUUAAGAAAGCAAUCCAAAAUGCAUACGCAGAAGUGCACCAUGGUUUAUGCGGUUACCACUUGAAAAAAAACUUUAAAAACAAGUUCAAGCGCGAUGAUGUUUGUAUGCUUUUCACCUUUGCUCGAGAUUACUAUAAGGUGGCCAAUUUCAAUAGACAUAUGAACCAGAUACAGCGGAUUCACCUUGGAACAAACGCGAACCUUAUGAGAAUAGGGCCUGAGAAAUGGGCACGUGCAUGUUCACCGGCAAGGCGAUACCAAAUGAUGACAUCCAACAUUGCCGAAUGUGUUAACUCAUGCUUGAAGCAUGCAAGACAAAUGCCAAUCACUGUUUUGAUCGAGUUCAUCAGAGACAUGUUCCAGCGUUGGUUCCAUGAACGGUACGAGGAGGCGUCAAGGUGACCAUGCCCCUCAGCCCUUGGGUUGCCAGGCAGUUGAGCAAAAGGUUCAAUGAUGCACAUCGCUUUCUAGUUAAGCCUAUCAAUCGAGUUGAGGUAGAAGUUAAAGACAGGAAGAUGGAUGGACUUGUAAACCUGUCCAGGAAGACGUGUACAUGUUGUGAGUUCCAAACAGAUUUACUGCCAUGCAGCCAUGCCAUUGCAGCAAUAAGGUCAGAAUAUCAUAAUUUCUUAUUUGAACCGUAAUUGACAUAGCAUUUACAUUGUGCUUGAAGAUUGAGUUUAUUGUGUUUUUAGUAAAUGCAAUCGUGAAGCCAUUGAAUUCUGCGCUGACUACUACAAGACAACUGUUUUGGUGGAGGGUUAUUCAGGAUCCAUUAGGCCGAUAGGGCAUCCUAGUGAGUGGGACAUUCAAGAGGGAAGACCUAGGAGGAGAAGGAUUCCAUCAGCUGGUGAAGGCAGUCAAGCACGGAGAUGUUCGCAAUGCUUAUCGUACGGGCAUAACAGACAAAACUGCCCAUUCCCAUUUGCAGUUCCAUCCACAAAUCUAGCACCAUCUCCAAGUCAAUCGACGCCUCCACAACUACGCUGACCCAAAGCAUGUUCAAGUUGCAGACAAACCGGUCACACAUGCAACAAUUGUCCAAUACGAAGGACAAUGUUUGAAAAUUGUAGUUGAAUUCGUUUUGCUUUACGGCUUUGUCUGCUCUGUCAUUCUAUGAGCCACUUUUAGUUACGGACUUUGUUGCCAAACAUUUCAGGCAGAUAAGCCUGUCAAGGCCUCUGUCUGAUCAAGAUCGUGUUAAAGUACAUUCUUACAUUGUUUGUAAAAAUGUUUUCAAUUAUAAUCUCCAUUAGACAGGAGCCUUGACCAAAUUAUUUGCCUGAAAUGUUUGGCAACAAAGUCUGUAACUAAAAGUGGCUCAUAGAAUGACCGAGCAGACAAAUCCAUAAAGCAAAACGAAUUGAACUAUAGUUUUUAGACACAUUAAGUACAGGUGGCUACACAAAUCUUCUAAAGGAACAGCAAGCAUGGAAUGGCUACCACUUGUAUCAAAUAAUUAAUGAUUAGAUUUAAUUCCUUUCUAUUUCAUUUGAUUUAACCGUUUAUGUUCUUACUGCAAGUUUUGUGGUGACACGCCACGUGCAUGCAGACUUGGCAUCAAUGUAGACUAACCUGAUAUUUUAAUGGCGGGGUUUAGGGCUCUCAUAUGCUUAUCCAUACUCAAUAUUAAAACCAACUGUAAGUGUUGGUAGCUGCAUUACAUCACAAAGACUCUCGAAGAGAUAGGGGAGUACAAUGCACUGAAGGCUAUGUGUUUCAAGAUGCUCUUGGAUGUCUAUCCAUAAGCUUGGUCUAUCAAACUUUGACCUUGCUUGCACGGUUGAGUUCAUUGUAGCUCGGUACAGUUGACCAUGUAUGCUUCCUUUGGGGUACUAGGAAAAUUGUAUCGGGCUACAAUCAACUCAACCGUGUAAGCAAGGUCAAAAUUUGAUAGACCAAGCUUGUGGACUGACCUCAAGGACCAUCCCAAAAAUGUACGCUUCAUUGCAUGAACUCCCCCAUCUCUUGGAGAGGCAAAAUGUCAAGAUCCUCAUGCGUGAUGCGUUGGAUCUGCAAAACAUGGCAUAGAUGCACUAGUGAGUUAACCCAUAAUGUGCAAUAAGGUAUACAAAAGAAAUAAAUAAGGAAUAAAUGUGAGAAAAGUCAUGCAAAACAAGUAAAAUGUUAUGACACGCCAUGCAUAACAAUUAAAUUUCACUGACCCGCCAUGCAUAACAAGUUAAACAUGGUGACACACCAUGCAUAACAAUUAAAUUUCACUGACCCGCGAUGCAUAACAAGUUAAACGUGGUGACACGCCAUGCAUAACAAUUAAAUUGUUCUGACCUACCAUGCAUAAGAAGUUAAUUGUUCUAACCCACCAUGCAUAAGAAGUUAAACGUGGUGACACGCCAUUCAUAAUAAUUAAAUUGUUCUAACCCGCCAUGCAUAAGAAGUUAAUUGUUCUAACCCGCCAUGCAUAAGAAGUUAAACGUGGUGACACGCCAUUCAUAACAAUUAAAUUGUUCGAAACAAUUAUUUUUUUUAACUUAAGUGGAAUUUGAAAUGGUUACCAUGGCGUGUCAGUUGUUCAAGCAAUGGCGUGUCACAAUCUUCUCACAUAUUCUAACCGUGGCGUGUCAUAAAUUCUUAACCUUGCUGUUUCACAGUCGUGACCCGCUGAGUGCAAGCAGCACCAUGGCUUGACACAUCACACGUCAAUUGUUCUGACACGUUGAGUGGAAGCAGAUUUAUGGGGUGACACGCUGAGUGCAACCAAAUGUAUGUGGGGACACGCUAAGUGGAAGCAGAUUUAUGGGGUGACAUGCUGACUUCUUGUGACUGAGUAUCAAAUUAAAUAUAUUGUAUACAUGGAUGGAAAAAAAUUCUUGGUAUCAAAUUAAUUGUGUAUAAAAUAAUUGUAUAAAGUAUAUUAUGUAUACACAAAGAAAUAAUUCUAUUUACAAUGAAUUGUAGAAAAUAAAUUAUGAAUACAAAAAAUUUGUGUAUAACAUUAAUUGUAAAAAAAAAAUUCUCUAUACAAAAAAAUUGUACUGACAAGAGCCGAUAUGUUCAGGGUUCGCUCUCACAAUUGUUGGAAAAAAGUUUCGGAGCGUAUUGUUGACGCAUUUUUGCAAUCAUAUUCUGCUUAACUCCGAUGUUUUUUUAUUGUAAAAUAUGGUCCAUGUACCUUAUCAUGAACAUACCGCAGCUGGCACUAUCAUUCUGUCGAUGCACUUUAGCUUUUGGCAAAUGAAUAUCUAAUGGCAUCGGCAUUAAAUCCCAUCUCUUCCGACGUAUGUUGUUGAAAUAACCGGCUUGGUGGCAGAUGAAUGGCAUCAUUGUCGUCAAGGGUGUCAUUUGACCCGCACGAACUCCGUUAUCCUUAGCAUUCAAAGUUCUUGCGAAGUCCACCACCUUGAUCGUCCAUCUCACCAAGUCAAUCUUCGCAACCACCCAAUGCCCACCAACGUUGCAAGGCGCGAUGAUGAAAUCCACAUCUUUCCAUUUUUUGUCGUAUGUUGGCCUUUCACCCUCCACAUACCCCCGCAACUCAUCUGGAAUUUGCAUUGUGGCCUGGGCAUCUUCUGUUGGAAAUUCUGUGUGUAGCAUACGGAUGGUGUCCUGUGAAACAUGUAAACAUUAGCUUACAAUUCAUGCAAUCAAAAACUUAGUAUUUAUAGAAUUGAACAAUUUUCAAAUAAACUUACGAAGAAUAUCAUGUCAACCACGAAUGCACGAGUAGUGUAGAGCUUCGACUUCGGCCCUGUCAUUCACUUGAAGAGUAGGCUGACGCAUGCGUCGAUAUGUUCACUUGUCAUUUCCUCAUUGGGAUCUUCUAAGGUUGUGAAAACUCAGCCCUUUGAUCCCUUAAGAUGCUGACGUUACACCUGCAUAAGCCACAUAAUGAAUUUCAUAAGUCUUGGUGGAUUAAUGUUUCAUUAAAAAAUAAUAUUUGCAAUGUUAUUUACGAGCUUACCUUGCCGACUCGUCUUUUUUGAAAACUUCAUAGUCUUCUACAAUUUUUUCCCUCACAUCUCGACGGGUCACUAAGGGGGCGACGAAUGGGCUUGCCAUGUAUUCGCUCGCCAUUUUCAGCAGUGCCCUCUCAGUUGGGUCUGAAAUUUCUGCUGCACCAUGAUGGACAGUAGGUGACUCUGGUGACGACGAUCGAAUCUUAACUGCAUCAGAGUGCUCCCACGAUAAAGAACGAUAGCUUCUGCUGCUGCGUCGACGAAUGCAUCGGUUGGAGGAAGAUGCUCUCCUUCAACCAUGAUUGAGUCAGGCUCCCUGUCCCCUCCAGCAGAUGCAUCAAAAAUUGACUCGGGCAGAGGAACAUGUUCUCCUUCAGCAUCAUCUGAUUGAAGGGUGACAUCCACUACCACAGCUUCAUCGACGACGUCAUCGACAUGAGUUACGUGCUCUCCAUCAGCACAAAGAAUGUCAUCGUCAAUGUCAACACCAGGUUCAUGAUGCUGUCCAUCACAGCAUCAUCGUGCUCCAGACCAGCACCGUCAGAUGGACCGCCCUACAAAAUGGGAAAAAUCGUUAGUUAGCUCAUAAAAUACCACAAACCUUAAAUAGUAAAAUGUUGUGACACGCCGUGCAUAUCAAGUAAAAUGUUGUCACACGCCAUCCAUAACAAGAUAAAGGUUGUGGCAUGCCAUCCAUAACAAGCAAAUUGUUAUCACACGCCAAGGAUAACAAGCAAAAUGUUGUGACACGCCAUGCAUCUCAAAUCAAACGUUGUGACACUCCAUGAAUAAAAAAUGUUGUAACACGCCAUGCAUAUCAAGUCAAAUGUUGUCACACGCUAAGGCUGACAUGGUAAUAACUAACUAUAAUACAAAUGUCCUAACCGUUAAUGACCAAAAACCAUUUAAACCACUACCACUAAACCCCAAAAACCAUCAAAAUAGCAAGAAAAUACAAUCUAAGCAGUUGCUAAACGUAAACCAUAUAAAAAUAAGCGAAGAUACAAUAACGUACUUGUGAUUUAAGGCCGUCAAUAAUCCGACCAACGAUACGGUCCUCAAGUGUUUGCAUUGCUACACUUAAUGACUGAAUUGAAGCCUUCAACUCCAACAUCUCUUUUGCAUGCUUACGCAUGAUCCGUCGGAGCUGACGGGUAAUGAUUGCUCCGUCAUUGACUAUUCUCAAUUGGGUCAACUACAAUAACAUAUAUAAUUGUGUUAUUCAAUAAUCAUAUAUGGAAUUGACGAACAUUAACUGUUACAACUUUAAUAUCCUAACCAGUGGCUCGUUAGUAGUUUGUGGUGGAGUCAAACCGAUCGGUGCUUGAGGACCUAUCGUCGCUUCCAUAAACUUCAAUUAUAGAAAUUACUGUGUUACUUGAUAAACAUAUGUGGGAAUGUAGAACACAAACCGUUAGAAUCGAUCUUACCAUCGAAUCGUUUCCAUUCUACAACUGAGGAAGACCGGUGAGUGGUUCUGGAGCUGUCGGUGCAUGGUCCAACUACAAACAUAGAAAUGUUUUUCGAUAAUCACAUAUGGAAUUGGAGAACACAAAACCGUUACAAUUGUCCUUAUUGGCUGUUCACUACCUUGACCAUGGUCGUCCCCUUCGUCCAUCAACUUAAGGCCGGAUAGCUCAUCAACUAAAGUAGUGGUGGUGCGCAUCCGUUUCGUGCCACCAGAGGCUCUUUUCUUCUUCAAGCUUAUCCUUUUUUGCCUCGCUCCCAAACCCCAAUCUGACCAAUCCUUCAUGUGCCCUAUUGGAAUGUACUCGUAGCUCUCUAAUAACGGGACAUCAAGGUCCACAAAAUACUCUCGGAGGGCCUCAUCCGCAGUGGGUUCCAACGUCUCUAGUGCCCACAACUGCAAAUAAACAAAUAAAAUGUUGUCAGUAUCGAAUAGAGAAAAUUAUUAUACAACUAUAACACAAAAAUAUGCAACUGUUCACUCACAUGGUCAGAUGACUUUAACUUCUGAAUUGCCUUAUAGAAGUUUUUUGGCUUCUGAUUGUAAUCCCAUUUGCACAUUCAUGGGUAGACGUUGUCCUUUAGACCAGAACUGCAUGUCAACUGUAACCAUUAUCAGACUGUAAAUCAUAAACGAGUGCACCAAUCAAUUUUUUUUUCAAAAGGAAAUUGAAAAAUAUUACGUCAUAGUACCUGUAUCACCCAUGCGAAUUUGUAAAUAUUGUAGCGUAACCGAGUUCCCUUUAUCACGCUUAAGUCAGGCACUUUGAACCCCUUCAAAAUGUAGUCCAAGGUCAGCUUCAAAACAUAGUGCCCCCAUGGGAAGACAUUCCAAGCGUCGAUGUCCUCCACCAAUGACAGCAACCAAGGCGUCUCCCAUCUAUGGUAGUCUUGACCAAAUAAAAUGUUAUUCGUAAUCAAGACGAGUGCCAUGUUGGUCGCAUCUCCUGCUCGUUGGAAGUUGCCCCUACAGAACGUAUCAAGCAAAGCCUGUAGCUUAACGUUCUCCUGCCCAUUCCAGUAUCGGGCAUGAAUUCUGUCUGUAGCAACCUCGUACUGUCGUUUGAACACAUCGGGCAUUGGACCAAACUUCAGCCCAGUGAUAAGGCAGAACUCCUGCUUUGAUAGCUGCGCCUUGCUCUUGCCAAUGGCAAACCAUAGCUCGUGGUCCAUUGACUGGCUCUCAGUGAUCUACCGAAUCAUGAUGUUGUGCAAGAGAUCGACACAAAAGUACCCCUAAGGAUACACGUUCAAGAGCAUUUCGAAGCGGGUACACUUAACUGCAUCAUACUCCCCCUUCUGUUGGAGAGUCUUUGUGAUGUAAUACAGUUGCAGCCACUUACAGUGGGUGUUAAUUAUGGCGUUGAAUGCCCAUUUCUCCCUCGGCACUAUCAGCAAACUGUCAAAAUCCUCAUACUGUCUGCGUUGGAUCUGCAAAACAUGGCACACAUACACCAAUGAGUUAAGCUGUCAUGUGCAACAAGGUACACUCAAGACAUAAAUAAGGGUAAAAUAUUGUGACACGCCAUGCAUAACAAGUAAAAUGUUGUGACACGCCAUGCAUAACAAGCAAAAUAUUAUGACACGCCAUUCAUAACAAGCAAAAUGUUGUGACACGCCAUGCUUAACAAGUAAAAUGUUGUGACACACCAUGCAUAACAAGUCAAACGUGGUGACACGCCAUGCAUAACACGUAAAAUGAUGUGACAUGACAUGCAUAAAAAGAAAAAUUCUAUCACACGCCAUGCAUAUCAACUAAAGUUCACACGCCAUGCAUAUCAAGUAAAGUGCUAUCACACGCCAUGCAUAUCAAGUAAAGUGUUGUCACACGCCAUGCAUAUCAAGUAAAGUGCUGUCACACGUCAAUAACUAACUAUAAUAAUAAUAGUGUCACAUGGUAAACAUCCAAAACCCCUUAAACCACUAUGACUUAACCCCAACAACCAUCAAACUAGCAAGAAAACACAGUCUAUACAUUUACAAAACAAAACAAAAACCCCGAACAUAUCAAACAAACCCAAGAAAAAACCAUAAAAUUAACGAACACAAGAAUAUUUUAAUUUGACACUCAUUGACCUCUUCAUUCAUGGACAACAUUGUUGCUAGUGCUGUGGUGUCGUUACGCUUGAAAAGAGCCUUCUCGAAUACUCCGGUACCGACGGGAAUGAUAAAUGAAUCACACAGACAUUACCAAUUCUUAAUAAUAACUAUUUAAAAUGAAAAAUGGCCUUCUAAUAUUCUUAUUUAUUCUGAAAAAGGGGAAUUAAUUUAGUGAAAGUCUAAACGAUUACCACGUUAACUGCCCACUUUUUUUUUCCUCUCUCUAUUUCAAACCGUGACGUGUCAACUGCUCAAGCAUUGCCGUGUCACACACUCUAAACCAUGACAAUGGCAUGUCAGCUUUACAAGCAAUGCCGUGUCACACACUAUAAACCACGACCAUGGCGUGUCACCAACUAUGAACUCUAGCAUGUCACAUCUUCCCUCCAUGGCGUGUCACCAACUUUUAACUUUGGUGUGACAUAGAUUCCCUCCACGGCAUACUAACUCUGAAGGCUGGCGUGUCACAGAUUCCCUCCAUGGCGUCUCACCAACUCUGAUCGCUAGCAUGUCCUAGAUUCCUUCCAUGGCAUGUCAUCAACUCUUAACUCUGGCGUGUCACAGAUUCCAUCCAUGGCAUCUUACCAACUCUGAAGGCUGGCAUGUCACAGAUUCCCACCAUGGCGUGUCACCAACUCUUAUCUCUAGCGUCUUACAGAUUCCCUCCAUGGUGUCUCACCAACUCUGAGCGGUGCCAUGUCACAGUCUUGUCACACAUCCCCAACAUGACAUUACACAAACUCUAAACCCUGCCUUGCUACAGCCGUCUAACAUAUAGCCUACUAUAACAAGACCAUUUCCUGCUUUGGAUUCACAUCUUUCUCCUUUCAAUUCACCACCGUAUCAAGGAUUUCUAGUUUCACAUCAUUAGCCAAGCUUUCCAUUCAUGACCACCGGUUCCUCGUUCGAUUUAAUAUCUCUCUUCUCCUAUUAUCUCAAUGCCAUGUCCCAAAUCUGUGAAAACCCAUCUCAUGCAACAUUAUUUUGUUUUGCACAACCUUCGAAAAAAAUUAAAUAAAUGGAUAUUUUGCACAACCAAUCUUUGCAUAUUUUUUUCUCCAGUUUUUCGCCUGUUUGAGAGUGCACGCUAACGAAGAUAGCUCAUUAAGGGUAUUUUUGUCCCAAAAUCUAUUCGGGUGGCUAAAAAUAGUUAAAAUUAUUUUGAGGGAUAUUUACAAAAAAACGUUAUCUUUAAGGGCUAAAAAAAAAUCCCCCUAAAAUCUAUCAUUUUCUCACAAUAUAUUUAUACAUGAAUUUCAGAAUAAUAAUUUGCAUGGUGAAUAAGCAAUAUAACCAUGAAUCCACUCUGCACAUAUGUAUAAGGCACAUUUUGAUGUAAAACAGUGUGAAGGGCUUGCUUCCUAAUUUUUAAAACACUUUACAUAUAAUUUAUACAUAUAUAUAUAUAUUCAAAACAAUUUCUAAACAUAAUUUGCAAUCACAAUUUCCUAAGAUUGCUACCAGAACAUGCUAUCCACAAUUUUCACGUUUAAAACAAAUCAUACAUAUAGGUAUAUAUUUAUGGAAAGUUUAAAAUUGACACCUUCUACUCACCUCAUAAUAGCGGGAUGUUACGUCGUUAUUAAUUCAAAGACCUAUCGAGCUACUCCUUCUUAACUAUUGUUCGUUAUUUCUUUCAGCCUUUCACCAUAGUGCACCACUUAUUUAUUUCUCCAAAAUAUUGAAACUCACUUAAUUGAUAUAUCUAUAUAUAUUAUUUUAUUAUAACAUCAUUAUUAUAUAUAUAUUUUUUCUUUUUUUUUCUUCUCUUUCCCCCCGGUCAACAGUACCUUGCUUGUCUUUCUUUUUCCUUUCUUACAUGCACAAGCUGUCCACAAUUUCCUCCUCUUUCUCCCUUUCACCGUCGGUAACAACUUCUUACUUCUUUCAACCAAAACUUUUCAGCAGCCAAAGCUGCUCAUAUCAACAUCAAAAUCAGAAGCUAAGCUGCUCUAUUUUUCCUCAAAAAUCAGCAGCUAAGCUGCUCUAUUCUCCCUCCAAAAAUCAGCAGCCAAGCUGCUCUUUCCUCCCUCAAAACUCGGCAGCCAAAGCUUCAAAGAUCAGCAGCCAAAACUGCACCUUUCAGCCUUCAAAAUCAGUAGCAAAAAUUACACCUUACAGCCUUCAAAAUCAGCAGCUAAAGCUGCUCCUCUCACCCUUAAAUUGAUAGAAAAAUAGCUAUCCUUUCCUCCCUAAAUGGCAACAAAACCGCCCCCUCAACUCAACUCAUUCUCCUCUCCUUUUCUUUCUCACCGCUCGGCUUUCUCUUCUUUUCUUUUUGCUCUUUUUGCUCUCAUUUUGCUCUCUUAUGCCCGACGCCUUCUUCUUGUUUCUUUUUCUUCUCUUCCACUAACUGACUUCUUUCUUUCUUCUUCUUUACUUUAUUUAUUUACUUAUAUAUAUAUAUUUCCAUUUGUUUUCCAAUUUGGACGGCCCCCCCAUCUUUCUUUCCAUCAUAUAAAAAUGUUUGUUGACCCUUUUAUUGACCACAUGGGCAGUUGCCCAUGUUGGUCUUCCUUUUUUUUUUUAUACUUGUAUUAUUUUAUUUCUUCCAUUUAAUUCGACUAUAUAAUCCUUCACCCUUUAUAUUUUAAAAUUCGAUCCUUUCGAUACGUCUAAAAAUUUCAAUUUUCAUCUAUCUUCCUUCCUUUGUACGUGUACCACCAAAAUAUCAAAAUUGCACUUCAAUGCUGUAUUACCAUAAUAUUUAAAUAUUUACUUAUUUGCGUUGGCUUGACUUAGCAAAACACGCGUAUUUCACUUUUGUCGCUCAUCUCCAAAAAUUUAUUUGUAUUCCUUCUCCACCACUUGGAUUAACCAUAUGAUCCUUCUUCAUGACUGAUUUCGACAUCCGGUUAAAUAUUAAUAUUUAAUAUUAUUUUAAUAAUAAAAUAUUAUUUUAUUUCAAAAUUUUCUCGUCUCCUUGGUACCCAAAAUACCUUAUUACGCCUCAAUUGACUUCCGAAUCACCUUUUAUCUCACAAAUUCUCCUCUGAUAAAAUAUUAUUAUUUUAUUGUUAUUUCUUCACGUGCGGAUCAUUUUAUCCUAAACUAUUCCUUUCAUCUUUCAUCAUUUUUAAACAUUAUAAUUGGCCUCAAUUUGCAUCCAAUAAGCUUUAUUAGUCACCAUAUCAAAGUAUGGGGUAUUACAUAUGCGCACUCCUACUCGCACAUAGCCAGGUCAGCAUCGGCUUAUGCACACUCCCACUCACACAUAGUCGAGUCAGCAUCAGCUUAUGCACACUUCUACUCGCACAUAGCUGGGUCAAUAUCAUUACACAACAUUAUUCGUAUACAUAUAUAUAUAUAUAUAUAUAUCAACACAGUAUAGGAACACAUAGGUCUGUCCUUUUUACACAUUUCACAUUUUCACAACAUCAACAUAUUUUAUCAAGGGCUUGUUCCCAAGGCACACGUUUUUAAGAAAAGUUGGAUAAAAUCAAUCAAUGUUUUGUGCAAAUAGAUUCACAUUCCCAAAACGGUUUUGAGAUGCAAAUUCACUCACUGAUAUUUUGUUGAGCCUUUAGCUGACUCUAACUCCCCUAAUGGUCCAAUUGAGGUUGUGGGACUUUGUUGGGACCUAUCAUGCACAACAACAUCACCAUUACCCUAACUUGGCAUUAAUACUAUUCCAAAACUAUUUUCUAAAUUGGGUUAUACUAGUCAUUUUUAAUUAGUUUCCAACUACCAUUAAAUGGCUAUUGUUUGCAAUACUCUAAUCACACUUAAAUGAAUAACAAUCCCAACAAAUAAACUCUCACAAAUCUAAUUACUAGAUAUUCUCAACACUUUAAACUCAACUCCAAUUUACUACUCACCUUGAUAGCUUUGUGCUUGAAAUUUUUUUCAAAAACUUUCAAGCUAUUAUUGAAGCUUCCUCUUUCUCUCUCUAAAACACUUAACUAGAGAGAGAGUAUGAAAAUCAAAUUUUUUUCAAGGGUUUUAAAGAGAGAGAGUGAAAGAGCAAAAGGGUUUAUGAAAGGGUGCACCAAAAGCAUGAAAAGUGGAGCUAUUUUAAGGGAGGUUAUGGAGGUUCAUAUCAAGCUUCCAUGGAGGUUGGAAGCAACGUGAAAGAGAAGAAGAAGCUGCUAAAAAAUGGGAGAAGAAGCUGCUGGAAGAAAGAGAUAUUUAUAGCCCAAGCUUAUCCCCUCCACUUAAAUUACCAAAAUGCCCUCACAAGUCAACUUGUUCUCCUCCAAUCCUUUAUGCAAUCUUUUUGCUCCUUUGACAUUGGUACAAAGUCCAUAAUGGUCUAGAAAUGCUCGGGUUCAUGAAAACUUAAAAAUUUUUACCCGAGAUGAAAAAUGACCAUUUUGCCCCUAUCGUGGAAAUCAUCAUCAUUUUUAUUUCCUUUGUCAUUUUACCAAUAUUUUCAUCAUUCAUUUAUGCCUUAGGCCUACUUAGGCCUUAAUGUUGUUUAAAACUUACUUUUAAGGGCUUACUAAAGAAAUGACGAAACUACCCUUAGCCCGUUUUAUUACGUCUAUGCCUAGUUACGAGCUUAUAGAGGUCGAAGUCUCACAGUAACCCUCGAUACAAUAGUUGCAUUUUAUUCAAUUAAGUCUUAAUGAACUUAAUUAAUUUCUCACUUUAUUUUGGUCUAUUCUAAUUAAGUCCAACUUAAUUGAUUAUCCUUAUUUAAUCUCAAUCAUGUCACUUAAUGUGUGUGACCUAUUAGGCUUCUAACAUGUUGGCAAUAAAUAUAAAUCCUAAUCAAAUAUCAGUUUGAUAAUUGAUUUAUAUUUAUAAAUCAUGAGCAACAUUUAGCAAUACAUCAUAACCACCCAAAUGUUAGAGAGUUAAUUAAAGAAUUUGACAAAACACUUUAGUGAUAAGCCUCUAAGUGAAAUACGAUCCUUUCAUCAAAUAUCCCGGAUGCGUCAAAAAGCAUGGCUCAAUGUCUACUUAUGACAUUCCAUAUUAGUUCUCAUAAUUCAUGAUUAACCUUAUGAAUUUAGGAAACUAACUUUCCUCAAAUUCAUCAUGCUUUGGCUGAAGACUUUAUACAAGUUAAUCAAGAAUCAAGAAUAAGUGAGAUACAUCCUUUCAUAUCACUUGGGGUGAUGAAUCCUUUCUUGACCACUCAUUCACCUUUAGAUGCUUCAUGACAUACCCAAAAACACCAUAUUUAGGCAUCUGGUCUCCUCUAGACCCGUAGAGGUGAAAUCAAAGUAUGUCAUUCCCCAUGUAAGAUAACUUGGUGUCUCAAGUCUGAAGACUAGUUGCACAACUAUCACAUGAGAACAUAAUCCAUAGACAAUUUAGUGAAAAACUAAAUGGAGUUCUCAUAACAGGUUAUGUUUAGUGAACUUGUUCUUUAACAAGCAUUUAUAUGUUAUUGUCAAGUAUCUCCUAUACUUCAAUUUAUAAGAUCGAUUGCUUACUUUUCAAGUAAGGAGGCUUAACAUGUACUAGUCUUUGAGCAUUGUCAAUGCCUUAUCUUGACAAUACAAUGACCAAGAAUAAUUUUAGGAAUAUGGCUUUGAUGCAUAGUGAUCUCAUAAUUAUAACAACUUUGCAGUUCUCUUGCAAGGGCUUUAUGUUACAUGGGCUUCAUCCAAUUAAUACUUAAUAACUCCCUAUUAUUGCACUAACAUGAAGGAAAACCUUUUGUGAGACCACAACCUUUAUAGGCUUAUAACUAAGUAUAGAUGUAAUAAUACGAGCUAGGGGCAGUUUCGUCAUUUUCCUUAAUAAGCUCCCAAAAGAAAGUUUUAUGAUAUUUUAAGGUCUAAAUAGCCAUAAGACUGCAUAUAUGUCGUGUAAAGAUGAAAGCACGAAGAAAACUUUUAAAAGUUUUGCAAACCCGAACAUGUCUAGACCAUUUGGAUGUAAUGGUGAUGUUAAUGUAAUGGUAGGUUCCAACGAAGUUCCAUCAUUCCGUUUGCACAAUUAGAGAAAUUAGAGUCGGUUAAAGGCUCAACAAAAUACCGGUGAGUGAACUACAUUCAAAACUUGUUUUGGGGAUAUAAUGUAUUUGCUAAACAUUUGAAUGAAUUAUCAAGCUUUUCAUAAAAACAAGUGCCUUGGGAACAAGCUUUUGAUAGAUUGUCUCCAUGUUGUGACAUGUGACUAUUAUUGAUUCAUGCACUGCCACAUUGUGUUGAUAUAUAUAUAUAUAUAUGCGUGUGUGUGUGUGUGUGAAUACAUUGUUGUGUAAUGAUAUUGAUUCGGCUAUGUGUGAGUAGGGAGUGCGCAUAAGCCGAUGAUGACCCAGUUAUGUGCGAGUAGGGAGUGCGCAUAACCCGGUGAUGACCUAGCCAUGUGCGAGUAGGGAGUGCGCAUGAGUUGGGAAUGAUGGGAUGGAGUGCAUGAUGAUGAUAGGUAUAUGUAUAUGUAUACAUACGUAAACAUGUGUGUUAUAAGAAAUUUAUGAGUUAUGUAUAUGGUUGUAUUGUAUGUGAAAUUCGGUAUGUUAAACUUUGGGACGUUUUUAUGUAUUUCUUAUUGGUUUUGAACAUUUCAGCAGGGUGGUUUUCUUUGGGAGAAAGGGAAAUUUUUCAUUGGUGCCUUGUAUCUCGCUGCAGCGAGAAACUCUCGGGUUUGAGAGCUUUCACCAGAACUGGUUCUCCCUGCAGCGAGAAAUCUUCUGUCCAUUUUGCUAUCUCGUGGGGUUUUGCCAUAUUUUUCCAUUUCAUUUAUACCCUAGUGGAACAUGGACUUCCAACAUGUUUGGGAUUAUCUAACUAAGUUUGAAAUGAGGAAAUUUUGAGAGAAACCCUCAGUCUGUUGAGAAACCCUCGUUCGACUAAUAACUUAAAUCCCAACAUCCCUGCAGCGAAAUUUCAUUCUCGCUACAGCCACGCUGCAACAAGAAUGCCUUCCCGUUGUAGCGAAGAUUCGUUGUCACAUUUGAAUUGUUGGUGUAUCACUGAAGCCUUCAUUUUUCAAAUUAUUGGUUAUGUAUGGGUUCCUCAAUACCGAGUGAUUAAUCAUAUAAGGGUUUAAUGAGGGGUUUUUAAUAGGAAUGAAAUUAAGUUGCAUUGUUUUAAAACAAGUGCAUCAUGAUUUUAAAUUAUUCCUUAUGGUAUGCUUGUUCCCCUCCUUGUUCACUCACUAGGUUUAUACUCACUGUUUUCAACUUCAUGUUUUCAUAUCACGAGGCAGCCGGUAACUAGGACGAGGUGUCCUUGUAGACUUGUGUCCAUCUUUUGGUAGUGUCUCAGCAUUCAGUAGCUGUACAUUCAUCUGAGUCUCUCCACUGGAAGUCGAGUAUUAUUUUGUUGUGUAUAGACGAACCUAAUGUAAAUUGUUAAGAUACAUGUUGUAGACAAUGUAUAUACACUUGUUUUGUAUGCCAAUAUGAGAUGGCAAUGUGUAGUAUUAUUUUGAUUCUAAGUGAUGAAAUGUGACUUAGCAGUUUAUGAGGGAAUGAUGAACAUGACAGAUUAAUAGGCUUGCUUGGGCUUAGUGGACUAUGUCCAUUGGGCCCAUGCACCGGGCAUGGCCCGAAAUUUGGGUCGUGACACCUUUAUCAUAUAUAGUUAGGCAAUUAAGUGUGCAUUAAAUGACAAUAUUUAUAUUCCUUGACCAAUCCAAUUGGUUCAAGAGCAUAUACCAAUAAUCUCCCACUUGCAUUUGAGUCAAUUGCUAGCGUAUCCAAUAUCAAACUCUUUCGCUUAGCGACUGUGUCUCUACUAGGACAAUUCAAAUUGCAAUAUUUGGGAAUAUGUUAAUUUAUAUGUUUGACAAUCUCCAUUGUCAUAAUCAAAAUAUUAAUUUAAUCACAACGAGACAUAUAUUCCAUUAUUAUGGCUUUUGUUGUUACUUUAACAACUUGGAAUCAUUUAUUAGUUUAUUAAUCCAAUGAUCCAAAAAUCUCUCCUUUCUUAGCCUAAACAAAAGGUUUGUAUCCGAUUAUAGAUAUAAUCAUGCAAUUAUCUCUUGUUUUGGAGCCAUCCCAAUACAACUGCUCAAUCAUGACUUUAUGUCACUUUUAGCAUUUAAGAUUGUCUCUAUGUUACACUCUUUUAACAUGUUAUCCUAAAUUUCUUUUAUUGAGUCCCAUGUUAGGAUGUAACUCUUUAGUCUUAAUUUGUUUUUCUUAGACUGGCAAAUGUAUCUUAUACACUUUUAAUGAGUAACUUAUCUUACUCCCAUUAACCUUAUGAUUUGCACAAAAUAUGUUUAUUUUAUUCAAUAUAUUCAAUUACUUUGAAUUUAUUACAUUGAAUAAAGAUUAUUAUCCAAUCAUUCAUGUUGGAUUAUUUAAUAAACUCUUCUUAUGAGAGUAGUACAUCAAUAUGCAUCCUACUAAUGGUUUGCAUUUAAUGGACGAAUUAGGCAUAUUUAUGCAUCCCAUUAAAUCAAUCUUUGUGCAUAGAUCUUAUCUAUUUGAUUUCAUAAUUUCAUGACCCUUGACCUUUAAAGUGUCAUUAGCUCCCACUAUUUCUAUCAUGUAUAGAAAUCUUACCAAGUAAACUUAUUUACUUUCCUUUGGGGCGUUAUAUCCUUAACUUUUAUGUAUACGUACAUAUCAUACGUCGUUCAGCAUGAAUGAAAUCCUCUCAAAGGUUACUUCAUGGGAUUAACUGGGUUAGUUCACAUAAUCAAUUAUUAUUUAGUUUUCAGCAUUCUUAAUUUAGAUAUUUUAUUUCAAUAAGAAUGUUCCUUAGCUAAAUGUGUUCAUUAUCAUAUUAUGAAUUCGUUGAGUUAGGACUUAAUUUUAUCUAAGUCAUCUCAUUAAUUUUUCUUUCUGAUUCAUAAUCAAAAGAAAAGUAAUCUCACAAUGAUCUUAUGACUUAGUAUUGAUUAUAAUAUAACCUAAAAAAAUGUGAUAUAUUUAUGAGCUAGGGUGUAAAAAUACAUUUUUACCCCUUUUAUUUUUUCUAAAAUCAACAAAAUGUAUCGAUACAUUGACCCAUGUAUCAAUACAUUUAGUUUUGAAAAAAAUGUAUCGAUACAUUAUGAACAUGUAUCGAUACAUGUUCAUCAAGAACACUUUUUGGGCUAAAUGUAUCGAUACAUAAUGAAUAUGUAUCAAUACAUUUGAGAUAGAAUGCAGUUUCUGAGACAGAUUGCCUAUAAAACCUGCUUAGCUUAUUUACAUUAAAUACCAUUAAAGUAAAUAUCCUUUUUACUUUUUGCUCUCCAUUUACUUAAGAUAUUUUAUAUAAAUAAGCCUAAACCCCCCAUUUGGAUUUGAUUAAAAUAUAAAAAAAAUCAAAAUCCAAAAGAAUCAAAAUCUAAAUUUUGGUUUCAAGAAUAAAAUUGAAAAAGUUCGAUUGAAAUUAAAUUUACGGCUCCCAUUUACCAUAGCAAAUAUACACCAAAAAUUAUGGAAGAAUAAUUUUUGGUCAUAUAAAAAUCAAGAGAAUCAUUAUCAUCAUUUUUAUUUUCAAAAGAUAAUUCUAUAAAAAUAACAUAUUUUGACCCCUCCUAAACAUAAAAGAUUUUCCUACAUCAAAAAUGACAGACAAUUAAAGGUGUUAAUGAAUUCUUUUGAAGGGUACGUCAUGACCCAAAUUCUGGGCCAUGACCGACACAUGGGCCUAGUGGACGUAGCCCACUAAGCCGAAGCAAGCCUCUUUACGUAAUCCCGUUCAUCAUCCCUUCAAUUUUUUAAUCACCAUUACUAGACCAACAUUUGUAAUUUGCAACUAGACGUAUUUUCAUAAUACAACAUCGAUACCAAAAAUUUACAUUUGUAUGAUCUCAAAAUAAGGUUAUUCAUAGCCAUCUUAUAAUGGCACCAUUAUUCCAAACUAUACAUGCAUCGUUGGCAAGUGGUUCCUAACAAUUUACAUUUAACGUACAUGUAUUCAUAUAAAAGACUUCUGAUGACCAGCGGAGUGACUUUUGUGAGGGUACUACUAUCGAAUGCCAUGAUACCUACCAGGAGUGAAUGCAAGUGAUGCCUUAGUCUCGGUCCCAACUAUCUAUGGAUCUAAAAACAUGCAAUUUAAAAGAGUGAGUAUAAACUUAGUGAGUGAACAUAAGAAGGGAACAAGCAACAAAAAGGAAUGUUUUAGAAAACAUGAUGCACUUACGAUAAAACCAUGCAAUUUAAUCAAAUUUUUGGUUAAAACCCCUUAUUCCAAACUUUGAAUGUUUAAUCCCUUAAUGUUACAAGAUCCACGAUAAACAAUGAAGUUGAAUAGAAUGAAAAUUUCAGCAAUGACCAAGCAAGACAAGCAACAGAGGGAUUAAACAUUCUAUUUAGUUAACCCUCCCAACCCGAGUGUUUCUCACUGUAGCGAAAAUGAAUAUCGCUGCAGCGAGAAACAGAGAAAUUUAGUUAAAAGGGGUCUUGUUAUAUCAAAAGCUAUUUUUUUGUUGAAAUGAAAAGCAAUUCAGGAGCAAUUAACAAUGCCAACAUACAACACAAUCACAAUUAUUUUCAUAAACUUUCUAUAACAUAUAUGUAUUUGGAUAUACAUACAUCUUCAUGCAUACCAUCCCUCUACACUCAACUCAUGUGCACUCCUUACAUGCACAAGGCAAUAUCAUCAUCAUGUGCACUCCCUACUCGCACAAGGUAAUAUCAUCAUCAUGUGCACUCCCUACUCACACAUUUCAAUAUCAUCACACGCACUCCUGCCCACAUCAUUACCGGCGUGUGCUCUCCCACACCACACACACAUGGUCAUACUUAUUACACAAUAUUAUCUAUUAAGGCACAUCACAUAUGUAUGUAUACCAAUGAAAUAAAGGAGUACGUGGACUCAUCAUAGUCACAUUUCACAAUGAAAUACGUUUCAUUAGAAGCUUGUUCCCAUAUACAUUUUAAAGAAAAAGACAAUUAAAACCUUUCAAGUAAUUCACUCAAACAUUUACACCUUUACCCCAAAUCAUUUUAAUACAAGUUCAUUCACUGGUAUUUGUUAAAUCUUUACACAACUCCAAUUUCCUCUAACGGUCCAAAUGGGACAGUGGGGCUUAGUUGGAACCUAUCAUCACAUUAGCAUCACAAUUAACUCAAUUCACAUAACCAUAAUUCUAAAAGCUAUCUCCUAAAUCAUGUUCUACUAGUUAUCCCUAACUAGCUUCCAAUUGCCAUUAAGUGGCUAUUUACUUUCACUAUUCUAAUCACACUAAAGAUAAAUAAAUAUCCUCAACUACAAAACAUUCAUAAAUCUAUCCACCAGCCAUUUUCAACAGCUUAAAAAAAUCAACUUUAAUUCACUAUUCACCUUGGUAGCUUUGUAAUUGAAUUUCUUUCCAAAAAUUUUCAAGCUAUUAUAGAAGCUCCCUCUUUCUCUCUUUAAAACACCUAACUAGUGAGAGGAAGUAUGGAAGUAAGACUUUUCAAGGGUUUGAAAGUGAAAUAGUGAAAGAGCACAAAAGGUUCUAUGAAAAGGUGCAUAAAAGCAUGAAAAUUGGAGCUAACUUGAGAGAAGUUAUGGAGGUUUCAAAACAAGCUUCCAUGGAGGAUGAAAGAAACGUGAGACGGAAGGAAGAAGAAGAAGAAGUUGUUGGAAAAAUGAGAAGAAGCUGCUAGAAUAUGAUAUUUAUAGCUAAAGCUUAUCCAACUCCACUUAAAUUAUGAAAAUACCCUUGACAAGUUGGCUUUGUCUUCCUCCAAUCCUUUGUGCAAUCUUUUACUCUUUUGGCACUGAGACAAAGUCCAUAAUCGUCUAGAAUACUCGGGUUCAUGAAAACUUAAAUUUUUGACCCAAGGUGAAAAAUAACCAUUUUGCCCUUACCUUGAAAAUCAUCAUUAUUUAUAUUUCUUUUGUCAUUUUAUCCUUAUUGUUAUCAUUCAUUUAUGCCUUAGGCCUACUUAGGCCUUAAUAUUGUUUGAAAGCAUACUUCUAGGGGCUCACUAAAGAAUUGACGAAACUACCCCUAGUCCGUGAUAUCGCGUUUACUUCUAGCUACAAGUCUAUAAAGAUCAAGGUCUCACACUCUCUCCCACUAAAACAAAUUGGGUCCUCGAAUUUAAAUUUAACUAUAAGGUAGCAUACCUCUAAGCAUUAAAGAGGUGUGGAUAUUUUGUCUGCAUCUCCUCCUCGGCUUCCCACGUUACCUCUGCACUCGUGUGGUUUCGCCAUAACACUUUCACUAAGGAUACAUAUUUUGAACGGAGCUUUUUGACUUGCCUAUCAAGGAUAGCUAUCGGUUGCUCUUUAUAGGUCAAAUCAUCUUUUAGUGGGAUGGUUUCAUACCGUAUUACAUGAGAUGGGUCUAAGUUAUACUUCCUAAGCAUUGACACAUGAAAUAUGGGGUGGAUAUUCGAAAGGUCCGGUGGUAGCGCCAAACGAUAUGCCGCUGCUCCAAUCCUUUCUAAAAUCUCGAAGGGUUCUAUAUAUCGAGGGCUUAAUUUUCCCUUCUUGCCAAACCUCAUUAACCCUUUUAUUUGUGAAACCUUCAAAAAUACAUAGUCCCCCACUUGAAAUUCCAAGUCUCUCAGUCUAUUAUCAGCAUAUGACUUUUGUCUAGUUUGUUCUGAUAACAUCCUUUGACGAAUCAUGCAUAUUUUGUCGAUGGCAUCCUGUACCAAUUCUGACCCCAAGAGUUUCCUUUCUCCCACCUCUAGCCAUCCAAUAAGUGUCCUGCACCUCCGUCCAUAUAAUGCUACAAAUGUCGCCAUCUGGGUGCUAGCUUGGAAACUAUUGUUGUAAGUAAACUCCACUAAGGGUAGAUACUGAUCCCAUUUGACCUCAAGGUCUAUUACACAUGCCCUUAGCAUGUCUUCCAAUGUCUGUAUUGUUCGUUCAUACUGUCCAUCAGUUUGGGGGUGGAAAGCUGUUUUAAAAUCCAACUUAGUGCCUAACGCUUCUUGUAACUUUUCCUAAAACCUACUAGUGAACUGUGCUCCUCUGUCAGAUACUAUAGUAAUGGGGAUACCAUCCAGUCAUACUUUCUCGUCCACAUAAACUCGAGCAUAUUGGGCAGCCCCAUAAGUAGUUUUAACCGAAAAAAAUGAGAUGACUUCGUCAAUAAGCUUGCUAUAAUCCAAAUCGAGUCGUAGCCCCCACUAGUUCGUGGCAAGCCUGUUACAAAGUCCAUUACAAUAUGCUCCCACUUCCAUUCGGGCACUAGUAAUGGCUAUAGUAACCUUACGGGCCUUUGGUGCUUUGCCUUAACUUGCUGACAAACUAGGCACUUAGAAACAAACUCAGCUACAUAUUUCUUGAGUCUUUCCCACCAGCACACCUCCCUCAAGUCUUGAUACACCUUUGUAGCUCCAGGAUGUAUCAUGUAGGCUGCCAUAUGUGCCUCUUCCAAUAUUUCUCUCCUCAAUCCAUCAUUAUCAGGCACAUAAAGUCUGGUUCAAUUCUCAAUACUCCAUCCGUGCCUUAGUAAAUAUCUUUCCUUUCCUUCCUUGAGGGUCUUCUAAGGCCUUAGCUACGAACUCAUCUUGACUUUGUGCUUCUUUAAUCUGGUCCAUUAAGAUAGGCCUCACUCUAAAAUGUGCUAGCAAUGCAUUUACCUCCAAAACUUCCAAAUGCAUAUCCAUGUCUCCCAAGCUAUGCAUCUCCCUAAUCAAGGAUUUUUUGUCUGUAGAGAUAUGUGCCAGACUCCCCAUCAAUUUUCGACUCAAGGCAUCCGCCACCACAUUUACCUUACCGGGAUGGUAAAGAAUAGUACAAUCAUAAUCUUUUAGCAACUCCAUUCACCUACGUUGCUGCAAGUUAAGAUCCCUCCGCUGACAUAUAUACUUUAAGCUUUUGUGGUCCAUAUAUAUCUCGCAAGUCUCACCAUACAAGUAAUGUCUCCAAAUCUUUAAGGCAAACACGAUUGCUGCCAUCUCCAAAUCGUGUGUGGGGUAAUUUUGCUCAUGCCUUUUAAGUUGCCUUGAUGCAUAUGCAAUCACCUUCCCAUGCUGCAUUAAUACACAUCCUAAACCAACCCGCCAUGCAUCACAAAAUACCAUAUAACCUUUUGUGCCUUGUGGUAGGCUUAAUACUAGAGUUGUGGUGAGACAUGCCUUAAGCUUCUCAAAGUUAUCCUCACAAGCAUCUGACCACUCAAAUUUUGUAUCUUUACGGGUCAGCUUAGUCAAAGGGGUGACUAUUUUGGAGAAGUCUUUCACAAAACAACGAUAAUAGCCAGCCAAACCCAAAAAGCUUCUAAUCUCCAUAACUGAUGUUGUCCUUGGCCAUUUUUCCACUGCCUUUACUUUCUUUGGAUCAACUUGUACCCCAUCCUUGGAUACCACAUGUCCCAAGCAUGUAAUGCUUUUAAGCCUGAACUCACACUUGGAGAACUUGGCAUACAAUCAAUGUUCUCUCAAAGUUUAGAGCACUAUCUUAAGAUGCUGCUUGUGCUCUUCUCGGCUCUUCGAGUUGAUCAAGAUGUCAUCAAUAAACACCACCACGAACUUGUCCAAAUAGGGCUUGAACACUUGGUUUAUCAAAUCCAUAAAGGCUGUAGGGGCAUUCGUAAGCCCAAAUGACAUCACCAAGAACUCAUAGUGCCCAUAUCUUGUUCGAAAUGCGGUCUUUGGUAUAUCUUCAUUCCGGAUCCUCAACUGAUGGUACCCAGAUUGUAGAUCUAUCUUAGAGAAACAUUGUGCUCCUUGUAGUUGAUCAAAUAAAUCAUCUAUUCUUGGAAGGGGGUACUUAUUCUUCACCGUUACCUUAUUAAGUUGUUGGUAGUCAAUGCACAAUCUAAACGACCCGUCUUUCUUCUUUAUAAAUAGCACUGGUGCUCUUUGUGGUGAGACGUUACGACGGAUGAAGCCUUUAUCCAACAAAUCUUCCAACUGAUCCUUAAGCUCUUUAAGCUCUGUAAGUGCCAUUCUAUAUGGGGGUAUGGAUAUAGGUUUAGUGUCGGGAAUCAAAUCUAUGCAAAAUUCAAACUCUCGCUCUAGAGGCAAACCUAGUAGUUCCUUGGGAAAUACAUCCAUGAACUCAUUCACUACCGACACUUGGCUUAUGUCUCCAACCUUCGCUUGGGUAUCCCUCACAACAGCCAAGUAGCCCUGACAAACUUGUCUUAAUAGCCUUCUAGUAGACAUAAUAGAUAUCAAAUCGGUUGGAGCAUUGUUCCUAUCCCCCUUAAUACUAAAGGAUGGUUCACUGGGAAAAUCAAAUCUAACCAAUUUAUGAUAACAGUCCACGCUAGCAUGGCAAGGCGAUAACCAAUCCAUUCCCAAGAUCACGUCAAAAUCUAAGGUGUCUAAUACAACUAGAUUUACCAAGGUUUCUUUAUCCUUGACCCAAACUACACAGGACUUAUAUUCCCAUUCUGCCACAAAUACCUCUUUUAAAGGGGUAGACACCACUAAUUGUUCUUCUUUUGUAACACGAUCUUUACCCAAACGAGAUGCAAAACAUGGAGAAAUAAAAGAGUGGGUAGCACCAAGAUCAAACAAUACCCGAGCAUUCAUAUUACAAACUGAGAGAAUACUUGAUACCACUGCGUUGGAUGUCUGGGCUUCUUGUAGUGUUAAAACAAAUACCCUGGCAUGACCCCUACCACCAGAACUUUAUCGUUCAGAGCCAGAUAGCCUGCCCUGAGAGGAAGUAAUGGCUCCUCUACCUCUCAAUCCGCUAGCCUCCUAAUUAGAUGAAAUGGCUACUGAAGGAGCAGAUGAAGCUGGCUGAGUGGAACCACGAGCAAAACCUUGCGAUUGAUGAGCUAUCAGGCAAUUCUUCCUAAUAUGUCUAGCUUGGUCACACAAGAAACAAACUCUUGUAGCAAGACAACAUCGUCCUUUAUGCCGUACUCGGCAAAAAUUGCAACGAUCUAUAGCUUGACUACCCUACCUUGAAUCUUGCUACCUUCCCUCACUAAAAGUUUUAGGCCAUGAUCCAACGUUGGCACUAGUCAAGUCACUCCCUUGUUUGGGUAAUUGUGAGUCCUUCUAUGGGCCUUGAUGACUAAAAGAUGAAACACCACUACUGAAGUCUCUGCGACCUUGAUAGCCCUCUGUCUUGGCGCUUUUUGCUCUAUCCCUUGCAGCCCUACUCUCAUUGGUCCUUAUCUCAAUCCGCUGAGCACAAUCCACUACUUCGGAGUAGGUAUUGAAAUCUCGAGAUGCCACGACCCUAAACAAUGGCUCCACUACCCCAUCCAUAAACCUCUGAAUCUUUAUUUCUUCAGUAGAAAUUAGAUAGGGCACAAAUCAAGCCAGCUGCAUGAAUUUGAUGUCGUAUUAUAACACCGUCAUACUUGAGGUCUGUACUAAUGCCUCAAACUCCCUAGCUCGUGCAUUACGUACACUAAGUGGUAAGAAUCGAUCUAAGAAGGCUAUACUAAACUCCUUCCAAGUCAAUGGCGUUGCAUUUGUGAGCCUACCUGUACGUAAGGAGCCAUACCACUCUUGCGCCACGUUCUCUAAUAGGAAGGCGGCUAGCUCGACUGAUCUAGUACUAAAGCAUCCCAAGGCCUCACAAAUUUUCUCCAUCUUAUUUAAGAAAAUCUGGGGCUUCUCUGAUGCAUCAGACCCUGAAAAUGAUGGAGGCUUAAGCUUCAGGAAAUCAAGAAGGGAAAUCUCUAAAUGACCCCUCUCAACCUCAAGAUGUUGGUGAUCGACCUGCUUUUGGGAACUAGGGGAUUCUUGUACUACAAUUCUCCCCUCCACUAUCCUCUGUAUAUCAUCCAUAUGGGUUGCCAUCAUCUCUACAAUCUGAUUAACUCCCUGUAGGCCUCCCACCAAAACCUCGAUGGCGAUGCCCCCAGUUGGUUGUCUACCUGCAUUGUCCGAAGACUGUCCCUCCUUUCAUCUACUCAUAGGCAUAUUUACCCUCACCGGCCUAUUAGCCUUGCCACUUCUACCUCGCCCCCUAAGGGUGGAUGCCCGUGGCCUAUCUGUCAUCUCAGUAAGAGCAUCUUGCUCCCUCAUCCGUCUUGAGGCGGCUCGUGUCUUAGGUGGCAUUCUUACCUAGACAAGAGCAAACACUUGUUAUUAAACACAUUUUGCAAUUAUAAUCGUAUCUAACGAAAAAGGUGCUUUCCAAGAUACGAAAUCUAUGCAGUCCCUUGGUUGUAAAAUGUGUCACGAUUCACACUUCACAACUGAAGUUUCCACAUAAAGACUCGACACUCCGCUGGACCAACAAAAAGAAGUCUUAAAACCUAAGCAAUCUAUGGCUCUAAUACUAAGUCUUUCACGACCCAAAUUUUGGGCCAUGACCCUUGCAUGGGCAUAGUGGACAUAGCCCACUAAGCCCAAGCAAGCCUCUUUACGUAAUCCCGUUAAUCAUCCCUUCCAUUUUUUCAUCAUCAUUACUAGACCAACAUUUGUAAUUUGCAACUAGACGUAUUUUCAUAAUACAACAUCGAUACCAAAAAUGUAUAUUUGUAUGAUCUCAAAAUAAGGUUAUUCAUAGCCAUCUCAUAAUGGCACCAUCAUUCCAAACUAUACAUGCAUCGUUGGCAAGUGAUUGCUAGCAAUUUACAUUUAACGUUCAUGUACUCAUAUAAAAGACUUCUGACAACCAACGAAGUGACUUUAGUGAAGGUACUGCUAUCGAAUGCCAUGAUACCUACCAAGAGUGAAUGCAAGUGGAUGCCUUAGUUUCAGUCCCAACUAUCUACAGAUCUGAAAACAUUCAAUUUAAAAGAGUGAGUAUAAACUCAGUGAGUGAACAUAAAAAGGGAACGAGCAACGAUAAGAAAUGUUUUAGAAAACAUGAUGCACUUACAAUAAAACCAUGCAAUUUAGUCAAAUUUUUGGUUAAAAGCCCUCAUUCCAAACUUUGAAUGUUUAAUCCCUUAAUGUUACAAGAUCCAUGAUAAACCAUGAAGUUGAAUAGAAUGAAAAUUUCAGCAAUGACCAAGCAAGACAAGCAAUAGAGGUUUUUCUCGCUGCAGCAAAGAGGUAGUCUUAGUUUGCAUAUACUUUGAUUUUUCAAGCAUAACUCCCACUACAGAAGUUCAAUUGAUACUAUUUUUUGGUCAUUAGAAAUCUAAGAGGCUGGGCUACAACUUUGAUGUUUACCACUGUGCCCAUUUCUGAUUGGAAGGUGGUUAAAAUCUUUGUCAAAGUGACAGCACUGCAACAGAAUCUUAGAACCACCAAAGAGUUUCUCGUUAUAGCGAGAACCAGGCCAUUGUAAUCCCCGCCAACCCGAGAGUUUCUCACUGUAGUGAAAAUGAAUCUCGCUACAGCGAGAAACAAAGGAAUUUAGUUAAAAGCCAUUUUCUUGUUGAAAUGAAAAGUAAUUUGAGAGCAAUUAACAAUGCUAAUAUACAACACAAUCAGAAUUAUUUUCAUAAACUUUCUAUAACAUAUAUGUAUAUUUGUAUAUACAUAUAUCUUCAUGCAUACCAUCCUGCCACACACAGCUCAUAUGCACUCCCUACACGCAUAAGGCAAUAUCAUCAUCAUGUGCACUCCCUACAUGCACAAGGCAAUAUCAUCAUCAUGUGCACUCCCUACUCGCACAAGGCAAUAUCAUUAUCAUGUGCACUUCCUACUUGCACAUUUCACUAUCAUCACAUGCACUCCUACCACAUCAUUACUGGCAUGUGCUCUCCCGCACCACAAACGCUUGGUCAUACUUAUUACACGAUAUUAUCUAUCAAGGCACAGCACAUAUGUAUGUAUACCAAUGAAAUAAAGGAGUACAUGGACUCAUCACAGUCACAUUUCAUAAUGCAAAACAUUUCAUUAAAAGCUUGUUCCCGUAUACAUUUUAAAGAAAAAGACAAUUAAAACCUUUCAAGUAAUUCACUCAAACAUUUACACCUUUACCCUAAAUCAUUUUAAUGCAAGUUUACUCAUUGGUAUUUGUUAAAUCUUUACCCAACUCCAACUUCCUCUAAUGGUCCAAACAGGACGGUGGGGCUUCGUUGGAACCUAUCAUCACAUUAGCAUCACAAUUAACUCAAUUCACAUAACCAUAAUUCUAAAAGCUAUCUCCUAAAUCAUGUUCUACUAGUUAUCCCUAAGUAGCUUCCAAUUGCCAUUAAGCGACUAUUUACUUUCACUAUUCUAAUCACACUAAAGAUGAAUAAAUAUCCUCAACUACAAAACAUUUACAAAUCUAUCCACUAGCCAUUUUCAACAACUUAAAAAAAUAAACUCUAAUUCACUACUCACCUUGGUUGCUUUGUAAUCGAAUUUCUUUCGAAAAAUUUUCAAGCUAUUAUAAAAGCUCCCUCUUUCUUUCUUUAAAAUACCUAGCUAGUGAGAGGAAGUAUGGAAGUAAGAAUUUUCAAAGGUUUUUAAGUGAGAGAGUGAAAGAGCACAAAAGGUUCUAUGAAAAGGUGUACAAAAGCAUGAAAAUUAGAGCUAACUUGAGAGAAGUUAUGGAGGUUUCAAAACAAGCUUUCGUGGAGGAUAAAAGAAGCGUGAGAUGGGAGGACGAAGAAGAAAAAGCUAUUGGAAAAAUGAGAAGAAGCUACUAGAAUAUGAUAUUUAUAGUUGAAGCUUAUGCAACUCCACUUAAAUUACGAAAAUGCCCUUAACAAGUUGGCUUUGUCUUCCUCCAAUCCUUUGUGCAAUCUUUUUACUGUUUUGACACUAAGACAAAGUCCAUAAUAGUCUAGAAAUACUUGAGUCCACAAAAACUUGAAAAUUUUGACCCGAAGUGAAAAAUGACCAUUUUGCCCCUACCUUAGAAAUCAUCAUUAUUUCUAUUUCCUUUGUCAUUUUAUCCUUAUUUUCAUCAUUCAUUUAUGCCUUAGGCCUACUUAGGACUUAAUAUUGUUUGAAAGCAUACUUCUAAAGGGUCACUAAGAAAUUGAUGAAAUUACCCCUAGUCCGUGAUAUCGCAUUUACUUCUAGCUACGAGUUUAUAAAGAUCAAGGUCUCACGGGUAAAACUAAUUUUCAUAGUCAAAAUAUGUAAUCUAUAUGCUCACUUAAGGAUUUCCUUAACUUAUCCUCUCACUCAAGGUGGGAUUUUACACUCUAAAUAACCUAAAUCCUGUCCAAAUUUUAUUUUUGAAAAAUUCUCUAGCCCCUCAGCCUUGGGUUCAUUGCCGUCACGGCACUGCCCCGUUUACUAUAGUGGCACUGCGACGCUUUAGCCUCGAAAUUUUUAUGAUGCCAUUCAUUCCACUAGUGUUGUGGCCUUGCUCUCCUCAGCGCUACAACCUUAGCUUCCUUGGCACUACAGCCUUGAACAACUCCAGGCCGCAACCUUCAGUCAACAUGUUGCUUUGUAUAGAACUAUAACAGUCUGGCAUCUUCCAACGCGAUUUUCACCUUGAUCUGAUCUGAACUAGGUAAAGUGGUAAACAUAAAAGAUGUAUCCCUAUCUCUUAUCUUUCCCAUGAGUUAAGAAUCGCAUCAAUUGGACUUCUGUACCUCAUGAUAUUCUAGAAAUAUUGCAUCAUGUAUGAUUGAAGCCAUAACCAUACUUGUGUAAAUUUUCAUCAAAUGAACCUUUUUCAUCAAAUAUCCUAUAGAAGAAAUAAGAGAAAUCAACAAUAACUAUUCUUAAAUUAAAUUAAAGCAAAAAUAAAGUAAAAUUAAACUAAAAUAAUUUUAUUUAACUACUCAACAUGUAAUCAAACUUAAACUAGACAAACACCUAAAAUACUAAGAUUCGAACCAAAAAUCUCAAAGACCUAGCUACUUAAGCACCAAAAUGUGACAAAAUAACUCUAUAUAAUAGAGUUAUUACAUCCCUAAACUUAAGAUUUUGCUAGUCCUCGAGCAAAACAUGAAAUAAAAUGCAAUAACUUAAACGAAGAAAACACUUAACUAGAAAUCAAUUGUACCAAUUCAAUAAUCUCCUUUAAUAUCUUCAAAGCUUAAUUCAAAUUCUCAACUCUAAACAACACACAAAUAUUAUUCAAGUUCAUGCUUCAAUUCAAAUGCAAGCUUAUGAUUUAGUGGAUUUUGGUGUGUGUGUGCAAUCUUUUCACCUUGAACAUUGUACAAUCCGGAUAAGUUUACAGUCAUGCAAAAUUCAAAUUAAUAAUAAAAUUCCAUAAGUUUGUUUUUCAUCUCUCUCUCCACUAAAUAGACUAAUGCGAAGUUAAAGAUCAAUAUGACUUUAAUUAGCUUGUAAUGUAUGGCUAGGGUCAAGGUAGGAUAUAGAAUAAUAUGUAGCUCAAAUCACCCUAAGUACAUAGUCAAUUUAAGUCCUAUUCAGAGCUGUAUUUUCUUUCACCUAGUAUACCCCUUUUUCAUCAAAAUUUUCUUUUGUUUAACAAUUCAUUCUUUUUCUUCUUUUUAUACCUCUUUUACUUCUUUUUCUCAAUACUACACUCCCAAACUUAUUUCUUUUAUUUGGUAGUGAGAUGAAUACAAUCAUAUUUUUGAAGUUUUCAUCACUUUUCAUCCUUAUUGCCUCUUUUAAUAUUUAGCUCAUAACACUUCCUAAAUUGACUUAUUCAUUUAGGAAUGACGGAUACAAAAGUUGGCAAUAUUAAUAUAAGGGUCUAGGCUAAAAAUUAACUAUUUAAACAAAAAAAAAGGUUAUAUUAAGCUCAAAAAGGGUAAACUAAGGAUAAAUUAUGUAAAUGAAGGCUAAAAAGGCUCAAUCACUACAAAGAUGGCUUGAAUCAUAAAGUAUAUCUUAGGAUUUCACCUUUAGAGAGAAUUAAACAAAUUCUAGAACUCAAUGCACAAUUCAAAAAUUCACAUUCACACAAACCUUAUCUAAGUACAUAUAAUGAAUGCAAGCAAAAGACAUAGUGCUCAAAAUGGAGAAAUCUCAUCCUAACAAUGAAGUUUAUCAUAAGAAUUUGCAUAACACUAAAAAAAUAUUCACAUUUGCAAACAAUUAAGAUAGAAUAUAACUAGGUUCUGAUCAUUAGAUAGGUAAAUUAAAAGAAAUUAACACAACAACUUCUAGCUCAAAAUCUUAAAAUAUGCAUAAAAUUAAAUAAAAUUUAACAAAAAUAUAACAAAAACUAAUAACAAUAAAACCUCCCCCAAAUUUAAAUUGCACAUUGUCCUCAAUUUGAAAAGCUAGAAAGAAUAAGGAAAAUAAACUUCAUUAUCAUGGUGACAUGCAUUGACAUCUAUAAUUUUCUUUCUCUUCAUCUUCAUGCUUUCCAAACCUGCACUCUCAAAAACAAGCUAGGGAGAGGUUAAAACCACUUAUUUAAAUAGAAAAACAAAAAUUAACUAAAAUAAUAACUAAAUCUAAAAGGAUAUGACUUGGGUUGCCUCCCAAACAACACUUUUUUAUAGUUACUAGCUUGACUAUGAUACCUUUUUUUCACUUCUUCAUCAUCGCACUAAAUCUUGCGGCCUUGUUUCAUUACCUUGAAUGCUCCGGUAUGUGUACCAAAAUCUUAAUAUAGCCAUAAGACAGAACUUUUACCACUUUAAAGGUUCUCCGCAAAUAUGGUUGAAGUUACUAUGGUAAAAUAUGGAUGCGUGAACUAGAGAGUACUACUUGCUGUCCAACCUUAAAAUCAAGGUCACUAAAAAGUGGUGGGUUAUGCUCAUCAUAACACCACUUAGAUUUGAGAUGUGGUGGUGAUGGCUCUUAGUCAAAACUUGAUGCUUUCUUACUUGUAGGUGGUGGAGUAGGAUUACCUUUACCUUCAUCAACUGAGUCUAGUUUGUAGCAAUAAUCUGUGGUUGAAGGAUAUUUAGGUGCAUUGAAAAUAGUAAAUUCAACUACUUCUUCUCCAACUCUAAAAAUUAUUCUACCUUUUUUUACAUUGAUGAGUAUGCCUAUAGUGGCCAAGAAUGGACGUCCUAAUAUGAUUGAAAUCUUUUGAUCCUCCUUCAUCCCAAGUACAAGGGAGUCCAUUGGAAUGUACAAUUUCUCUACUCUAAGCAAGGCAUCCUCUAUAAUCCAAAAGGGUUACAUUAUUCUCCUGUCUGCUAGCUGUAAUUUGACUGUAGUAGGUUAAAUCUCUUUUAGUCUAAGUCUCUUAGAAAUAGAUAAAGGAAUAAUUAAGACAUUAUCACCCAAAUUACACAAAGCUUUCAAAAAAUUAAUAUUACCAAUUGAGUAAAGGGUUAGAAAACUCUCUAGGUCAUUAAGCUUUAAGGGAAGCUUGUUUUGGAUUAUUACGUUGCACUCUUUAAUGAGUGCAACUGUCUCGAAAUCCUCUAAUUUCCUCUUUUUCAUUAAGAUGUCAUUUAGAAACUUUGUAUAUAAUAGCAUUUGCUCUAAAGCUUUUGUGAAAAGGAUGUUGAUGUAAAGCUUUUCAAAUACGUCAAAAAACUUUUUGAAGUACCUAUCAAGCUUUUGUUUAUGAAGGCACUAAAAGAAAGGUGGUGGUGGUAGCUUUGCCUUUUCUCUUUUCUCUUGAAUUUGCUUGUCAGCUAUCUAAAUCACUAUUUCAUUCUCAAUAGGCUUACUUGAAGUCUAUCACACUUAACAUGACUUUCAACCUCUUUUCCACUCCUCAAGGUGAUUCCCAUAACUUGUUCCUUACCUUCUUUCUUAGGAUUCACGUUUGUAUCACUAGGUAGUGUUCCUUGAGCUCUGUUGUUGAAUAAAUUGGCAACUUGACCAACCUAAGUCUUAAGGUUUCGAAGUGAUGCUGCUUGACUCUGAAUGACAGUCGCUUAACUUUGGAUGAUGUUAUCAUUUUGUGUCAUGUACUACCUCAGCAAAACCUCCACAACUGGCUUCUUAUCUAGGAUAGGCAUUGUUGAUUACUGUUGGAAUCUUGAAGGUGUAUUCGGCCUUGAAGAUAAAGAUGAUCCUUGAUUAUUGGUCCAAGAUAAGUUUGGAUAGUUCCUCUACCUUAGGUUGUAAGUGUUGGAGCAAAGGUUAUUUUGUUGUCUAUUUCUCACAAAUUGCACUGUUUCUAUCAUACUUGGACAUUGAUGGCUUGCAUGAUAAUCUUCACAACACGCACAAGCUACAAAAGGACUUUGAAUAGAGUUAGUACUAAAAGAUUCAAGUGUCUUAGUUAGAAUUGCUACAUGUGCAAAUAGUGUCGAAAUCGCAUCUACAUCAUGAACUAUAGCUACUCUCCUAUGUAUUGAUCAUUCUGUUGGCCACUAGUUGUUGUUUAUAGCCAUCUCUUGCAACAAAUCGUAUGCCUCAUCAAUUGAAUUAGCCAUUAAAACUCCUCUAGUAGCGGCAUCAAUGGUAGUUCGAAUAUGACCACUCAAACCAUUAUAGAAUGUCUACUCCUAAAGCUAUUUUGGAAGAUUGUGAUAAGGACAACAACGAAAUAAUUCUUUGUAUUUUUCCCAAGCCUCAUACAACAAUUCAAAAUCUUGCAGCAUGAAUAAUGUGAUAUCAUUCCUCAUUUUCGCUAUCUUGGCCAGAGGAAUGAACUUAGCAUGGAACUUUUGAGAAAUAUCAUCCUAUGCUGCUAUUGAUCCAGUAAGGAGUGCAUUCAACCAUGCUUUAGCUUUAUCCUUUAAUGAAAAAAGGAAAAGCCUCAAACGAAUUGCAUCUUGUGUGGCAUCAUUGUGUUUAAAAGUAUCACAUAUCUCUAAAAAGUUUGAAAUAUGGCCAUUUUGAUCAUCAUUUGGAAGGCUUCCAAAUUGGAAUAAGGUUUGAAUCAUGGUGAUAAUAUCUAGCUUGAUCUCGAAAUUGUUUACUUGAAUAGCCGAUCUUCGAAUGCUCGAUGGAAUUCCUUAUAUCAAAGGAACAACAUAAUCCCUUAAGCAACGAUUAGAGUAAAACCUUAUUGAUUUUCUUGUCAAAGUUUUCAGAAUGUUCUCUUAAUUUCUAGAUCACACGAUAUAAUCUUUAAGCUUUUUGCUCUUCUUAUACUAUGACACAACAAACCUGAAAAACAAAGGAGAAAAACUUAAAUUAAGACUAACUUGUUGAAUUUUAAAAUUGGCAAAUAAAUAGUAAAACAGAUCCCUGAUAAUGGUGCCAAAAACUUGUUGAGUUUUCAUCCAAGUGCACACCAUCACAAACAAGUAAUAUAGUGGUGAAGUAGAGUAUCAUUCUCACAAAGAUUUGUUCCUAAAUCUUUACUAAGUACUAAAAUUUAUGACAAAUCAAUCUUAUUUAAGUAACUAAAAUUUUCAAAAAAUUAAUUAAAACAAAAUCAAAACAAGCACUAAAUUAACUAACAUAAAUUAAAAUUACUUGGAAAAGGCAAUAGACUAAAACUUAGGACUAUGGGUUCAUUUAACACUUCAUUUAAUACUAUCUUCUCCUAUUAUUUAUAUUCUUGGGAGGUUUUACUAACCUAGAAUCCAAAAUUACAUACAAGUCUCCAUCGAGAUGCUUGAAUAAAUACUUAACUUAAUUUAGUCAUUAUAUGUUUAUAGGAAUCAAUUAAAUAAGGUUCAUUAAGCUAGCAUUCUAAUUUGGCUAUGUAUGGCAAUUGGCGUAUGUCUACCCGAAUUGCGAAUCAUAUCACCUAAGUGAUGUGAACAUAUACUAUUCAAACCUUAGUCCAAUCUAGAAUCUCUUUGUUGAGUCUUAAUUAGAUUCACAAAUCAGUCAACUGCUGGUCAGACAAUCAAAGGCAUUAAUAACAUAUUUGAAUAAGUAAAACUAUACCCAUUCAUAGUAAAUAAAGGAGAAACAAAUAUUCAGAUUACAUGUUGAAAUCCAUCACAAUCCUAGAUAAGCAAAUUAGUUCAUAAUAUUUAAAUAAAACAUCAUCCGAAAAAUAUUAGCCAUUAAUCCAAGUCAAAGAAAAUAAGAGAAACACAAAAAUAGAGAAAGAAACUAAUGAUUAAAGCUUUUGAACUUGAAUCUUUCUCAAAUUCUCCUAUUUUCUUGUUAUGUUCUUGGCUCUUUUUCUCCAGAACAGUUGCUUGCCUCCCUACUUUCCAGACCUCUAAAAGUAUUCCCUUAAAUAGGCUCAAAAUAACCUAAUAUCUCAAAUCCCAUCAAAUUUUUAUUUUUGAAAAAUUUUCUAGCGCUGUGGCCUUGGGCUCCUUUGAGUCCCGGCUUUGCCUCGUUUGCUAUAGUGGCACCACGAUGCUCUAGCCUCAGGAAUUUGUAUGAUGCCAUUCAUUCCAUCAACAUUACAGCCUUGCUCUCCUUAGUGCUAUAGGUUUGACUUCCUCGGCGUUGUAGCCUUAAGCAACUUAAGGCUGUGGCCUUUACUCAACAUGCUACCUUGUGCAGAACUACAGUAGUCUAGCAUUUUCCAAUGCAUUUUUCACCUCGAUCUAAUCUGAACUAGGAGAAGUGGUAAACAUAAAUGAUGUAUCCCUAUCUCUUAUCUUUCCAAUGGAUUAAGAAUCGCAUCAAUUAGACUUUUGUAGCUCAAGUUAUUUUGGAUAUACUGCAGCAUGUAUAAUUGAAGCCAUAACCACACUUGUGCGAUUUUUCAUCAAAUGAACCUUUUUUAGCAAUUAUCCGACAAAAAAUUGUUGAGAGAGUGUUGAGAGAGCUUGUGUCACAACCCAAUUUUUCGGGCCAUGACCAGCGCAUGAGCUCAAUGAGCAUAGCUCACUAAGCCCAAGCAAGCCUAGCCAUUUACCUUUGCUUAACAAAUUUAUCAUAUCAUGCAUACACACACACACCUUUUCUCGGGUGUGAACAUAGCCAAAACACAAUGGCAUUAUCGAUAAUAAUAUACAUGUACUAUACCAGUCAUGUAUUUAGCAAUUUACAUUGCAUACACAUAUUCACAUUGUUAGAUUGUAUUCACAAUACAAAAGGACCCAUGACUUCUAGCGGAGACAUUUACAAUAAAAGGGAUUACUAUCGAAUGCCAGACACAUACCCAGGAGAUGCACUACGGGGACUCCUCAAUCUAGGGUCCAACAGUCACCUGAUCUAAAAACAUGAAUUUUUAUAACACGUGAGUACAAUACUCAGUGAGUGAACAAGAAAGGAACAAGCAUACCAUAAGGAAUGUUUAUCGAAAUCAUGAUGCAUUCAUUUUCUCAAAACCAUGCAAUUGUUUUAGCUCCUUUAAACCCCUCAUGUAAACCCCCAAUAAGUAAAUCACUUUACAAAAAUCCAUGCUCAACUAUGGUACCAAAGAAAUGGGAAAUAUGGCAAAAACCCACAAGUUAGCAAAAUGGACAGAAAGUUUCUCUCUGUAGCGAAACAGAGCAACAAGACAAAAGUUUCCCUUCACUCAACAAAAAGGCCAACCUACUAAACCAACAAAAUCAAUAUAAAACUCAUGAAAAUUCCCAAAGUGCAAAGUAUCAAAUUUCACAUAUAUGUCAACCAUAUAUCACAUUCAUGAGCUUUCAUUUCAUAAGUCUAUAUAUGCAUAAUUAGAUAGACAAACAUCAAUAUCAUCAUAAUCACACCCGGCUCAUAUACAUCCCCCCACAUCGUGCACAUAGUCGGCACCAUCGUGUGCAUCCCCCCACAUUGUGCACAAUUAGUGCCAUCGUGUACAUCCCCCCGCAUCUUGCACUGAGCACUAUCAUCAUCCACCUCUCACGCCACCAUAAAAUGGGGCUCUGAUACCAAGUGUGUCGUUAGGGAGGGACAUACCACUCAACCCCUUCACUACAGAGGUGACAGACGGUACCUAUCAGAGCACUCAUACGGCGACUCCACCUCUUUAGGUAGCCCUUUCCUCUAUAAGCCCCUGGGCGGAAAGCCACGCUUCACCCCUGUUCAUGCGUUAGAGUUCCCAGGGAUCAGGUAAAACCCUUUGCUCUUAUACCAACUUAAUUCUUCCCACAUCGUGCACACACACGGUUACAGUCAUUAUACACAAUAUCAUUCAUCCUGCACAACACACAUAUAUAUAUAUCAUCAUAUUACAAUAAUGCAUGAAUCCAUAGCAAUCACAUAUCAUAACAUCAAACCAUUUAACAAAAGCUUGUUCCCAAGAUACAUUUUCUAAGACAAGUUGGAUAGAAUCUUUCAUAUUCCCCAAAACAAGUUUGAAAUGCAAGUCCACUCACCGAUAUCGAAAAUCCGAAUUUCGGGUGCACUCGGACUAAUAGUCCUCAAGCGCAAUUCCUUUACCUUUUUCGGACGUCUCACUACCUUGACAAAUAACAAAGUCAAAGAAUUUACUAUAUUGUCCCUAAAUUGAUAUAAACUAAUUUAAAUUACUAAUGCUUGAUAUGUAAAUGCAAAAAUACGUCCGAUUAUCGCUUAAUCGCGGUAUCGAUUAAAUUCGAUCGAUCACCGAUUAAUUAGUGAUUGUGUCCAAAUCACCCCCAAAUUAAUCCAUUUCUCCUCUAAUACCUUAAUUUACCACAUACCAUUUAAAUAAAGCCAAAUUCAACAUUAGAACCCUCACAGUUCCUUAUAAAAAAAUUCAGUCAUUUGGUGCACUAGCACCGAAAUUUUUUCUACAUAACCAUUUCACCUUAAUUCAUCAUUUUCCAAGCCAUUUUCCUUGAAAUAAAAACAAUCCCCCAUUGAUAUUCAGCCCUCAUGGUUCAACCAACAAGGAACCCUAGAGAAAUUGAAUAUUUCUUUUGUGUUUUUGUUCAUAACCAUGCUUAACUAUCCCUAAACACUAACAUAGUCUAAAAUCAAAUUAUUUCAACAACAAUUCCUCUUCCAUACCCAUUUUUAAGAAUUGAAUUCAUCAUGAUAACUCAAUAUUCAACCAUGGAAAUCAAGAACAAAAGCAUGGGUAAGCUAGGUAUCAAGGAGAAUUAAAAAAAUUCUAACUUACCUACCUUGUUUCCUUGAUUUCUUCACUUUUUCUUUGAAUUUCCACCUAGAUUUUCUGGUUUUUCCCUUUGUUCUUCCUUUGUUCUUGUUGCUGGUUGCCUAGGCUGAAUAUGAUGAGAGAAUUGGGGAUUUAAUGGGCUGAUUUCUAUAGAAAAUAAUAAAAGAAUCAAGCAUGCCAUGUGUCGCAUGCUUAUUAGCCCAAUUUUUUUAACUUUUUGACUUUUUCUUCUUAAUUUUCUACCACAAAUAUUUUGAUAUUUAUCCAAUCCUACCACAAUUAAAAUCCCUUGGUCUUGACAAGUGUUGGGACGAAAAAUUUUAUCGAUUUACCCCCGGGGCAAAAAAAUUACGAUUUUGCCCUCCGAAAUGUACCGGAAUCACAUUAUUUCUAUUUUUCAAACUCAAAUAACACUAAUAUUGAUCAAUAUUAACCAAAUGGGGCAAAAAUUAUUUUAUAAAAAUUUUCGUUUAGUCCUCUAGUGGCAAAAUUACCAUUUUGCCCUUGUGCUCUAAAAAUAUUGGGAAUCACAAUUUUUCACUACUAAACAUCAUUUUAUACUCCAAUAAUCAUAAUUAUAUUUCAUAUAAUUAUUCUUGGUCAAAUGUGAUCAAAUCUUGGCUAAAAAUCUCCAUUUUAUCAUCAAAUGGUAAAAUGAUCGUUUUGUCCCUAAUCGGUCAAUUUUCCUAGUGGACUCCAAACUAAACCUUGAACUCCGAAUCACUAUUCCAAGCCAUUUUGUGGGUUUCAAAAUUUUGAAAUUCCUCUUAGAAUUUCUAUUUGAACUAGUUCAAGGCUCGAUUUAACUUAGUUGUACCACUCGGUACAAUACCGUCUUUUAAUCGAGCUUGAUAGGGUUUUACAGCUUAGCUUUUCCUUUUUUCCUCAAAUGGGUGGACAGCUUGAGGCUUUAUAUUUUUUUGCAAAUCUGCAUGCAUGUAUCGAUACAUUUGGAAAUGUAUGGAUACAUUUCUAUGGGUUAACUUUAAAUCUAUCGAUACAUGAGGCAAUAUAUCGAUACUCUUUCCAUGGGUUGCUCUCGAUUUCAAAUCUAUUGAUACAUUUGGACAAUGUAUCGAUACAUUUCCCUUGGAUUGCUUUCUGCUUCAAAUCUAUCGAUACAUUAUGAGAAUGUAUCGAUACUUUUUCAUAAUACCCCUCUCAUGUGCUUACUGUUUUGAAUGUAUCGAUGCAUGGUGCCCAUGUAUUGAUACUUUUCAUCUAGAUUGCAUUUUCUUCAACACUUAGAGCUUUUAGCUCCAUUUUCUAACUUACAUUCUCAUCCCAUUUCCUCAUAAUCUCUUAACAUCAAUCACAUAAACUCAUCAUAUGCUUCAAUUAUUCAUCCAUGCUCUAUGUCACAUAGCAUAUAAAUCAAACAUAACAUAUUUGGUUUUCAUAGCAUACUCAUUUAAGUGCCAACAUGUGCACUAUUUCAUUUAGGUGCCUAACAUAUGCACAACAUCAUUUAAGUCUUUAAAUACUCAUACAUUCUCAUAAUCCUCACUUUAUGGACAUAGGCAUUCCUUACAUCCAUAAACAUAAACAUCAAAAUAUCAUUAGCUCAUUCCAACAGCUUAACAUACACUAGACACCAUUACCAUAAGGUCAGGAGUGUUACAUCCUCCCUUCCUUAUAAAAAUUCAUCCUUGAAUUUUUAGCUAAUCAUUGUUACAUCAUUUUCCAUGCCUUAAUUCUCAAAGAGGUAGGGAUACUUGGCUUUCAUCUCACCUUCAAGCUCCCAUGUCUCAUUUUCCAUCAUAUGACUUUGCCACAAUGCUUUCAUUAAGGCAACAUCUUUGGAGCGAAGCUAUUUCACUUGUUGAUCUAAUAUGGCUACUGGUUUCUCCUCGUAAAUUAGUCCAUCUUGCAAUUGGACUUCGUCGUAAUGAAUCACAUGCGAAGGAUCAAGGACAUAUUUCCUAAGAAUGGACACGUGAAAUAUUGGGUGUACAUCGAACAUACUCAGUAGUAAUACCAAUUGGUAGGCCACUGUGCUUACGUGUUCUAAAAUCUCAAAAGCCUCGAUGUAUCUAGGGCUUAAUUUUCUUUUCUUGCCAAAUCUUUUAAGUCCUUUGGUUGGUGAAAUCUUUAAAAACACAUGGUCUUCUACUUCAAAUUUCGGGGGCUUCUUUCUAUUAUCAGUGUAUGAUUUCUAUCUACUUUAAGCUGUUUGCAUCCUCUCUUUUAUUAUAUAGAUACCUCGCUUUGCUUAUUGGACCAUCUCUGGCCCCAGAAGUUUUCUUUCCCCAAUUUCAAGCCAUCCAAUAGGCGAUUUGCAUCUUUGCCUAUACAAUGGCUCAAAUGGUGCCAUUCUGAUAAUGGCUUGAUAGCUAUUAUUGUAAGCAAAUUCAACCAAAGGCAAAUAGAGAUUCCAUGCAUCCCCAAAAUCUAGCACAAUGGCUUUCAACAUGUCUUGGAGCAUUUGUAUCAUUUGCUCAAAUUGACUAUCAAUCUACGAAUGGUAUGCUUUGCUAAAAUCAAGCCUAGUGCCCAAGGUACUUUGUAAUUUCUUCCAAAACUAGUUGGCAAAUCGUGGUCAUCUGUCAGACAUUAUAGUCACUAGCACACCAUGUAAUCUAAUAAUUUUAUCAACGUAAAUACGGGCAUACCUUGCUACUCUGUAUGUAGUCUUAACAGGGCAAAAAAUGGCCUACCUUCGUUAAUCAAUUGAAUAUUACCAAUAUAGCAUCAUAGCCUCAUCUAGCUCGAGGCAAACUCGUCACAAUAUCCAUCAUUACAUGUUCCCACUUCCAAUCAAGAAUCGGUAAUAGUAGUAACAAUCAAAAAGGCUUUUAAUGUUCAGCCUUUAGUUGCUGACAUGUUAAACAUUUGGAGACAUAUUCUGCUAUGUCUCUUUUCAUUCCUGGCCACCAAUAAGUAGACUUUACAUCAUGGUACAUUUUCGUGGCUCUAGGAUUAACAACAUAAGCCGCAACAUGUGCCUCUUUCAAUAUCUCAUUUCUUAAACCAUUAACAUUUAGCACAUAAACUCGUGAUCGAUACCUCAUUAAGCCAUCUAUGCUAUAAAAGAAAUCUUGAGCUCUAUCUUCAGUAAUGUCUCCAAAGAUCUUCAUCAUAAAUUCAUCCCAAUCUUGGGCAUCUUUAAUUCGACUUAAAAUCAUCAGUUGAACCUUGAAAUGUCAUACCAAGGGGUCCAAACCAUUAUCCUCAAAUUGAACUCCCCUGUUGCCUAGAUCAUAAAGACUUUGUACAAUUUAUCGUAUCUUCGUAAUCACAUGCACCAAACUCCCCAUCGACUUAUCGCUUAGGGCAUCUACCAUAGCAUUUACCUUGCCUGGAUGGCAGAGGAUGGUACAAUCAUAGUCUUUUAACAAUUCCAGCCACCUACACUACCUCAAAUUUAACUUUGCCAAAAUAUAUACUUCAAACUUUUGUGGUCAGUACAUAUUUCACAAGUUUCUCUAGAGAGAUAGUGUCAUCAUAUUUUUGGGGCGAAAACAAUUGCAGUCAUCUCUAGGUCAUGCAUAGGGUAGCUCUGUUCAUACUUCUUUAGCUGAAGGGAUGCAUAUGCUAUGACUUUCCUAUUUUGCAUUAAUACACAGCCCAAACCAAUCUUUGACAGAUCGCAAUAUACUGUAUAACCUUCAGUUCCACAUGGUAGGCUCAACAUGGCCACUAAAGGGAGACAAGCCUUAAGCCUUUGAAAACUUGUCUCACAGGUAUCUGACCAUUCAAAUUUAACUCAAUUCUGAGUUAAUUUUGUUAGGGGAAAUGCUAUCUUUGAGAAAUCUUACACAAAGCAUCUGUAAUAAUCGGCCAUGCCCAGAAAACUUCAUACUUAUAUAACAUUCAUGGGCCUUGGCCAUUUCUCAAUUGCCUCAAUUUUACGAGGAUCUACUUACACUCCUGGUUCAGAUACGACAUUCCCUAAAAAGCUAACUUCAUUUUGCCAAAAUUCAUAUUUCUCAAGCUUUGCAUAUAUCUGAUGCUCUCUAAGGGUUUACAGCAUAUUUCUCAAGUGUUGUACAUGUUCUUCCGGACUCUUAGAGUACACCAAUAUGUCAUCGAUAAACACCACCACAAAUCUAUUCAAAUAGGCCCAAAAUACUUUAUUCAUCAAAUCCAUGAAAGUUGUAGGGGCAUUAGUGAGUUUAAAUGACAUCAUUAAAAACUCGUAAUGUCCAUAAUGUGUGCGAAAGGUGGUCUUGGGUAUGUCACUUUCUCUUAUUCUCAACUGGUAAUACCUAGAGGGUAAAUCAAUCUUUGAAAAGCACACUGCCCUUUACAAUUGAUCAAACAAAUCAUCUAUUCUCGGAAGUAGGUACUUAUUCUUUAUUGUAACUUAAUUAAGGUCUCGAUAGUCUAUGCAUAAUCUUAAGCUCACAUCUUUCUUUUUCACAAAUAACACCAAAGCUCCCCAAGGUGAUCCACUCAAGUGAAUAAAGCCCUUAUUUAGUAAACCAUUCAAUUGCUCCUAGAGUUCCCUCAGCUCAACCAAUGCCAUGCGAUACAGACUUAUCGAAAUAGGUCUCAUAUCUGGAGCUAAAUGAAUAUAGAAUUCAAUCUCCCUCGUAAGUGGUAGUCCAAGUAACUCACCUGAAGAUACAUCAGCAUACUCACCGACUAUCAAUGUAGAUUCCAUAGUCCCUACAUUCACCUAUAUGUCUUCCAUCAUUGUUUAGUACUCUUGGAAAUCUUGCCCUGAUGCUCAUUUUACGGUUAGAGUUGCCAUAAAUUCAUUUGGUACUAAGCCAUUAUGCUCGUCGAUUACAAAUGACAAUUCCCUUGGAAACUUGAAUUUUACUAACUUACGAUAGCAAUCUACAUUAGCAAAGCAGGAUGUUAACCAAACCAUCCCCAAUAUCACAUCAAAAUCUGAUGUCAUUAGUAGCACCAAGAUGGCCAAAGUUUCCUUGUCCUUGAUACUAACUGCAUAGGACUUAUACAUAUAUUCUGCCAUGAACACUUCCUCUGAGGGGGUGGUCACAAUUAAAGGUUCUUCCAUUUCAUAACAACAUUGAUUAAAUCUGAACACAAACUAAGGUGAUACAAAUGAAUGUGUUGAUCUGAGGUUAAACAAUACUAGAGCUUCAGUACCACAAACAUAACGUACUUGCGAUCACUUUAUUAAAGGCUUGAGCAUCAUGCGUUGUCAAAGUAAAUACUCUUACCGAACCACUUCCUACGCUACCUUGUUGCUCUGUUCUGCCUUGAGAUGACAUGGUUAUCCCUUGCCCUUAUCUUUCUUGGCAUAUCUUGUAGAAGGAACCGCCUUAGGCAGUGUAGUUUCCAUCGAUUGCAUAUAACCACGGUUAUCUUCCAUGAGCUGUCUGGGCCUUGGAUAAUUUUUUAUCAUAUGUCCUGACUGCCCACAUUUGAAACAUAACCCUAUUGAUCUAAGACACGGUCUACCAUGUGCCUUGCCACAAUUAUUACAUAGGACACCUCUUUGUCUAGGGCCCAAAUUCGAUGCUCCACUAAAUAGCUCUCGCCUUCUAAAAGGGCUAAAAGAAUCACUAUUUUAGGGUGGCCUAUGUGUAGGAGUAGUUCCCUCUCGACCCCGACAGCCCAUAAUAAUUGGAAUCCAUGUUUAACUAGAAUCCUUCUAGCCUCGUUAACUUUCCAUUCUAACUUUUUAACCCUUAUUUCUUUCUGUCAAAGUCCCCAUUCUACGGCUCCCAAUCAAUCUGACCACAUCUACCACUAUAGAGUAAGUGACAAACCUCUAGGUGGCAAUAUCUCAAAAUAAUAACUCUAUCAAGCCUCUAACAAACCUCUUCAUCCUUUUUUCUUCAAUCAGGACUAAGUUAGGAGCAUAAUGAGACAAUUGAGUGAACUAGAUAUCAUAUUCUGUCACCGACAUAUCUAGGGUUUGCAUUAAGAUCUCAAAUCCCUGUGCCUCAGUGUCACUCACGUUGUUAAGCAAAAAUCGAUGCAGAAAUACUUGGACAAAUUCUUCUUAUGUAAGUGGAGCCGAUCUUCCUUUCUUGAGGGUCAUAAACCAACAUUGAGCUACAUCUUUCAACCUGAAUCCUACUAAUUCAACUGAUCGUUGACUGGAACAUCCCAGUGUCGAGCAUAUACAUUCCAUAUCCUCUAGGAAUCUCUGCCAAUCUUCUUCAGCAUCUGAGCUGGUAAACAAAAGGGGCUUAAGUUUCAUGAAAUCUAUUAGUGUCACCAUAAUUGCCCUACAACUAGAUUCUGCUACUAGCAUAUAAUCCGAGUCCUCAAAAUUGGAAUCUAUCCAUUCCUUUAGCUGUACCUUAGCCCUGCUAUGUAACUCAACAAACUCAUGUUUCAAACUCUGCAACCCUAUUGCUAUAUCCUCUAGAGUGACACCUCCUCUCGUCGGGUGAUCAUCUCUAGCUUCCUCAUACUCAUCACUAGUAUGUACAUCACUAGGGUCUACAUGUUGAGCACGUUUCACAACUCUAACUCUUCCAUGACUCUUUGAUGAGGAAGUUUGUGGUUUAACCAUAGCUUCAUUAGGGGUGUCAUGUCCUGCCGUAGCUUUUAAGGCAACUCUCGUCUUAGGUGGCAUCUUUACCUAGACAAAUCAAAGCCAUGUUCAAAUCCGUAUUUCAAAAUCAUAGGUGGCAUAUUACAUAACUUAGGGGUUUGUGUAGCUUCCCGCUCAUGAAUUGUGUUGCAGCAACAAAGCAUGAAUAAGACUCUACACUAUACCCUACUUACUCUGCGGAUGACAUAAACUGACCUAGGACUUUCUAGAAGCUAGGUGCUCUGAUACCAAGUCUAUCACGACCCAAACCCGGGGUUCCAUGAUUGGCACACACGAGCCUGUCAGGCAAGCUUGCGAGAGUUGAGGAAGUCUUCAUAAUUAAGUCUUGUCCAACAUAUCUCAUUUAUCAUAAGGUCUCAUGGCCAACAUCAUUUCAUUCAGACUUAAAAUAUUAAUAUUUAACAUUAGCCCCUCGACUCAUAAUAACAUCCAAGACUUACGGAUAACAUACACGUAGCCAUACAUUGGCUAAUUCAUCAAGUUAUUAUAUAUCUCAUUUACAUAUCACAAACCACUCUGUGCCAACAUAUUUUUCAUUAUGAUAUACUUUAACAACAUUCUGCGGAAGCGUAAAAACUCAUCAGCAUGUUCGUCUAAGAGACAAUGCUUGCCACCAAUCUAAGAGUCUAUUUAUUUGCACAAUACAAUUGAAAUGGGUGAGUCACACUAGUACUCAGUGAGUGGAAAGAUAAAACAAUUGUAAAUGCGCAGCAAUAGUCGCUACACGUAUCCUCUAAUCAUACAUGCAUAUCAUACAUCCCAACCAUGUGCAUAAUAGGAUAGGACAAUCGCCACCUGCCAAACAUAGUUUGUCAUAAUCAUGGUAGUCAUGCUACGUUGUGUACUUUCAUCUAAUAACAUGUUAAGGUGGCGUAAUCAUCAUCACCUUAUUCAUUUACUAACAUCAUCAACAUAACCGUCUAUUAAUUCAAUCCACCAUAUGAAUUGGCCCACCUUAUGGCCAUUUACAUACGUAACUUAUCAUACGUACCUUAUAACACUUGCCUCAAUGCUAGGUUAUAGGUUCCUUAAGCUUUCAGCAUAUUGAUUUACAUAUAACAUUUCCGUAUGGCUCUUACCUUAAGCUUUUACAUUAAUCAUAAAGUCAUAACAUAGCAUAUUAUGGUGCUCAACACAUAUACAUCCUACGACAUGCCUUUACAUAUUAAUAACAUCAGAGCACAUCGUGGAAUGGUCUUCCCUAGACGUUUUCAUAGUCACGUAUGAUAACCUAUAAACGGACAACAUAUAGCAUCAUAUUACGCCCCAUUGCCAUAACAAACAAUGGAGUCAUGUCACAUCACAUUGCUAAAAUAAACGACAGAGUCAAUAAUUAUCAUACGAUACCAUGUUUGGCCCCAUUGCCAUGACAAACGACGGAGUCUAGUCACGCUCUAUGGUCGAGCAAACAACAGAGUUUGUGGUCAUCAUCCGGAUUAACCUUAACGGAUGGCAUCAUAUCGCUACAAAUGGGAAUCACAGGUGGGACAAAACCACCAUCCCUGUAGGCAUCAUACAUCAUCGUAGAAAAACUAAAGACACUUAAUCCUCAAAGUAUACAUUGUUUAGAAAUCCUCCACAGACGUAACAUGCUUAUUCUACAACAAACAUUAUUUGAAAAUCCUCCAUGAACAGUUCACAUUCAUCAUUCUCAUAUUAUCUCAUCAUCACAUUGAUCUAGGUACUAUCCUUCUAGGCAUUUCAUAUAGUUCUCAUGAUCAUAUCAACAUUAUCAUACUUAACCUAAAUAUAAUCCAUCUAAGCAACUCACAUCAUUCAUAACAUUACUAGUCUGGGUGUGUCACCUCUAGACGUACUUAUAAGGCAUACAUCACAUAUAUCAUGCAUAUUUAUUCUACAAACAUACAUGCACCUUACUCAUUAUGCUCUUUUGUAUAAAAUUUCCCACUCACCAUGACACUUCAGUGUCUCUUUGCUAGCACUUGUUUAGCUUGGCUUAUCACUCUUAGCCUCAAUUCACAUAACUCAAUAUUCGGGUAGCAUUCAUUCUCCCAUUGUACAUCUAGCAAUCAACAGUGGAUAAACAUUAACAUUUACAUCAUAAUUCUCAAUUUCAUAGCCAAAUCUUGGCUUUUAGAUCAUUUUUAGCAUUUCAAUAUAACAUAUUCUAUAACCAAUUUAUCAUACAAGCUCAACUUCCUCAUAUUCAUCAUCAAUGUAUGAAAUCCCUUACCUUAAACAUGACUUGGCUCACUUAAACUUCAAAUCUCCAACCACAUUCAAAUCCAAUAGCCACCAAAAUUGAAACAUCACAUUUCUACAUUAUUAAGAUUUUGCUUGUCCUUGAGCAAAAGAAAAAUUAACAUAAAAAUCCUCGAACAAGAGACAGAAGUACCAAACAAUGAUUUCCCAAUUUUUCCUCAAAAAUUAACUCAAAUUCCAACUUAAGGUCACAUACAGUUAAUCCUUAAAUUAAUGCAUCAAUUCAAGUGAAAACUUACUUUUCGAAUGGACUUCUUGUGUGUGUGUGAAUACUCUCUUACAAAGAAUAUCAUGCAAUUCGGAUUAGUUUAUUCUAAAUCUAAGUAUAUAUUAGUGCUAGGAUCCCAUAAGUUUACUUUUCAUCUAUUUUUCCGCUAAUGCAGAUUAACACUUAUUCAAGGAUCAAUUAGUCUUUAUGAACCUUAUAAUGUAAGGCUAGGGUCAAGGUAUGAUAAAAGAUAUAUUUAUGCUCAAAUUCACCCUAAGCACUUAAUCAAUCUAAGACAUAUAAAGAGUUUAAUUUUUUUACAGUACCCCCAAACUUGAAGUAAACUUUCCUUUGUACAACACUGUAACACCCUGUACCCCCAUAUAGUAGUCAACAUAACCGUAUCAAUAAGAUCAAGGGCUAAUUGAUGUGGAUUUAAAUGUCAAAUAGCAAUGACGGGUGAAAGGAAUAUUCUAGAGUAAAAUAUUCUGCACACGAGAAAAUAAUAAUUAAAUAAUAAUAUUUUUAUUAAGGAUGAAUUAGCAAGAUGAAAAGUGAUUCGAAAGUGAAUCGAGGCAUCAUAAGACAUUUUGGGUUCUAAGGAAACAAGUGAAAAAUCUUGGAAUAAAAUAAUAUUUUAUUAAUAAAAUGAUAUUAAAAUAUUAAUAUUUUAUUUGAUGUCGAAAUUAGUCAUGAAGGAGGAGUAUAUGGUCAAUCUAAGUGGGGGAGAAAAAGAAUGAGAGAAAUUCAGAGAAAAACAAUGUUAGUGAGGCCUGCGUGUCUUUAUUAAAUAAAGCUAGUAGGGGUAAGUAUAUAUUUAAAUAUUAUCGUGAUACCAUGUUGAAGUGCAAACUUUAUAUUUUAUUUGUACAAGUGUAAAGAAAGAAAAAUAGAAGAAAUUGGACUUAAAAGAUUGUUGGGAGGACUAAAUUAAAAAGGAAAGAAACAUUGAGGGCUAAAUGGUAAUUUUUCUAUUAACUUGGUCAAAGCUUCCAAAGGAAGCUUUGACUCUUUUCUUCUUUUUCCAUGGCUGAUCCUUAUCUGCCCAAAAGGCGUUUUUCUUCUUCAUCUUCUUCAAUGCCAUUUUUCUCUCUUCACCAUGAAAAUCAAAUUUUUUCAUUUUCUUUUUUUUUCCUUUCUUUUCUUACUUCUUCUUUCUUUUAUCUCCUUGUGCACCAAACUCACAACUUUCAACCACAUUUUUCAGCACAACCAAACCCUAGGAAAGAGAAACUCUUCAAACUAGCUUGAAAGCUCUUGAAGGAAUUCUUCCCAUUUUAAUCCUCACCAAGGAAAAUUAACUACGAGUCCACCAAGGUGAGUAAUGGGUUAAGGUUAAUUUUUAAGUUUGUUAAUGAUAGCUAAUAAUUAGAUCUAUGGGUUGUUUUAUUGUUGAUGGUUAUAUUGUGGUGAAAAUGUGAUUAUUUAUUACUAGUGUAAUUAGAAUAGUGCAAAUAAAUGGCUAUCUAAUGACUGGAAUGUUAGCUUUGUAAAUUUACAAGUAAAUUAAUACUUGGAAUGGGAAUUAGGGGCUGUUUUGAUGGGGUGAGAUUGUUGGAGGGAGAAAUGAUUAAUAAUUAUGGUAAUUCAUAGUUUAACUAGUGGUGUGGAUGACUAAUUUAAUAAAGGGCAUUGUGUUGGUGUAAGAUGUCACUAAGGGAAUUAAUUAAGUUUGGAAUUAUGAAUUUUAAGGAUGAUAUAGGUGCUGGAAAAUGGAAGUAAUAAAUAAAGUGUUAUGAAAUUAUUGGAGUUAGUACUAGGUUGACUAGCUAAAUGGUAAUUGAAAACUAGUUAGGAAGAACUAGUAAAGCUUAAUUAAGGAAAUAGAAUUUGGAUUUAUAUUCAAGCGAAUUAGGUUGGUUGUGAUACUAAUUGUGUGUUAUUGGUUCCAACGAGACCCCACAUUUCCACUUGAAGCACUAGUGGAGGUUCGAAGUCCAUCAAAAAAAGAAACUGGUGAGUGAACUUGCAUUAAAAAUGUUUUGAACAAAUACGCAUGUGUUUGACAAAAGUACUUGAAUAUCCUCGGUUGACUCUUUUAAAAAUUAUGCACAGGAACAACCCUUUCACGAGUGAUAUUUCUAUGUUUUUAAAAGUAUAAUGUGACGAAUCACAUGUUUGAAAUAUUAUGUUGAAUUGUCAAUUGAAUUAUAGUGUGUGAUACAUUGGAAAUCUUGUGAUGUUUUACACUAGUGGCAUAGCAGUUAAUAUUAUUUUCCUUGAAUGUCGGACUAUGCAACUAUGUGUACGACCAAUACAAUAAUGAACGUUGUGGAAUAUAUUAUUAUGCAAAGAUUCUUGUCAUAUGUUGUUAUGUGUGCUAUGUUUUAAAAGAUAAUAUUGAAUGAUAAUUUUAACCAUGCGUGUGUUGUGUGGGAGUGCACAUGAUGGUGAGGGUGGUGUGCGGUGUGGGAGUGCACACGAUGAUAUUGCCAUGUACGGUGUGGGAGCGCACAUGAUGAGGACGUGGUCUGAGAUGUGGGAGUGCACACGAUAAUGAUGAUAUUUGCCAUGUGCGGUGUGGAAGUGCACAUGAUGAUACCAGCUAUGUAUAGUGUGGGAGUACACAUGAGCUGAGUUGUGGAUGGUGGUUGUGUGCGUUGAGCCUUAUUGACUAGUUGGGAAUGACCUUGAUGUGUUAGAUGUAUGUUUGAAAUAUAUAUAUAUAUAUAUAUAUAUAUAUAUAUAUAUUAUUAUUAUAUAUAUAUAUAUANUGUUAGUAAUAUAUAUAUAUAUAUAUAUAUAUAUAUAUAUAUACUUAUAUUUAUGUAAUAUAUAUAUACAGGAAUUCUUAUGCGCAUGUGCGCCCGUCUCGUAGAAUAGAGAUGAUUGGAAAAUGAAACGUGAUUGCAUUGAAUGUUGAAAGUUGAAUUUCCUAAAUGUUUUAAAAUGAGUUAAAAGUCAACAUGGCAUCGAGUUUGUUUAUGAUAUAUAAAUUGCAUUGUUUUAAUACAAGUGCAUCGUGUUUCCUAAAAAUCUUUCGUAUAGUUUCCUUGUUCCCUUCCUAUGUUCACUCACUGGGUUUAUACUCAUUCUUUUCAACUUCAUGUUUUAGUUUUUAGAUCCGAAGGUAGUUGGAUUCCUAGGUUGAGGGACUUCCUCAUAUUCACCCUUCGGUAGGUUUACUAUGUCACUCAAUGAUAGUACCCACGUUCAGAGUCACUCCACUGAUGGUUAGGGUCUUUGUAUGUGUACGUGCAUACUUGAUGUGAAUUGCCAAGAUUUAUUUGGCAAACUAUCUCUAUGUAUAUUUUGAUUGAUGAUGCCAUUAUGAGUGUAUACUUGGGUGUCCUAAAUUGUUUCCGAAGAAAUUAUCAUUUGAACUAUAUGAAUUAUAGAUCUUAAAUAAAAAUGGAUGGUAGAUCGACUGAUGUACAGGUUCACAUAAAAAGGCUUGCUUGGGCCUAGUGAGUUGUGCCUAUUGGGCCCUUUCGCCUGUGAAACCUCGACCUUCAUAGACAUGUAGUAGAGGUAGACACGAUGAUGUGGAUUACGGAUAGUUUUGUCAUUUUCUUGGUGAGCUCUUAGAAGUGGGUUUUCUAAUAUUAUUAAGGUUUAAGUAGGCCUAAGGAAUAAAUAAAUGAGGUAUAUAAUAAUAGAAUAAACGAAGAAAAUAGAAAUAAUGAUAAUUUCCAUAGUUGGGGUAAAAUAAUCAUUUUGGGUCUCAGGUCUAAAUUUUUAAGUUUUCAUGAACUUGAGUACCUCUAAUCUAUUGGGGACCUUUUCUUAGUGUCAAAAGAGUAAAAAUUUUGAACCAAAGGAAAGAAGAAGGCAAAGUCAAGUAUGCAAUGACAUUUUUGUAAAUGGUGGCACUUUAGUCAACUCUAGGAAUAAAUAUCUAAUUUUUCCAGCAGCUUUCUCCUCACUUCAUGCAGCUUUUUCUUCUUCUUCCCAUUUCUCCUCCCCAUUUCUCCUCCCCAUUUCCAACUUUCCAUCUUCCAUGGAAGCCAUCCUUGAAAUCUCCAUGAAUUUCUCAUAAGAACUCCAAACCUCAUGUUGUUAUACACUUUUUCAUAGAAUUUUUCAUGUUCUUUCACUCUGUCACCUCAAGAGCCCUCAAUUGUCUUUCCUUAGCACUUUCUCUCACUAGUUGGACAUUUUAGAGAGAGAGAGACUUUCCAUAAUAGCUUGAAAAAAACUCUUGAAAAGGAAUUCAAUUACAAAACCACCAAGGUGAGUAGCGAGUUAGGGUUGAUUUUUAAGUUGUUAAUGAUGGCCAAUAAUUAGAGUUGUGGACUGUUUAUUGUUGAAGGUUGUUUAUUUAUUUCUAGUGUGACUAAAUUAGUGCAAACUAAUGACUAGUCAAAUGGUAAAUGGGAAACUAGCUAGGAAUAACUACUAAAGUUUGAUUUAGAAAAAUAGCUUUUGGAAUAAUGUUCAUGUCAAUUGAGUUGGUUGCGAUGCUAUUCUAUGUGAUAAGUUCCAACAAGACCCCAUAUCUCCACUUGGAGCAUUAGUGGAAGUUGGAAUCGAUUAAAGAAUCAACAAAGACAAGUGAGUGAACUUGCAUUAUCUUGUUUUGGGAUAAAUGCAUAAGUGUUUGAUUGAAUCACUUGAAAUAUUUUAUUGGUCUUUUCUUUAAAAAAAUAUGCAUGGGAACAAGCCCUUCAUGAAACGUUUUUAUGUUGUGAAAUGUGAAAUGUGAUGAAUUCAUGUGUUUUGAUAUUAUGACAAUAUGUAAGUUAUGCCUUGAACGAUAAUGUUGUGUGUUAAUUACAACUGAGCAUGUGUAGUGCGGGAGUGCACAUGCCGGUGAUGAUGUGGUGCAGGAGUGUACAUGAUGAUAUUUGCCAUGUUCAGUGUGGAUGUAGUACCUCGUACUUUGAGGUGGUGGCUAAUAAUGCUUACCGGCUACUAAUUGAGGUUGAUUACUAAGUAAAAAGGGUAAUUCAGAAGUGAGCCUGAAACUUCAACCUCUAUAGAUACGUAACUAGAAGUAGACGCAAUAACACUUACUAGGGGCAAUUUCAUCAUUUCUCUUGGUGAGCUCCUACGAGUGGGUUUUCUAACGUUAUUAAGGCCUAAGUAGGCCUAAGGUAUAAAUGAAUGAUGAAAAUAAGGAUAAAAUAACGAAAGAAAUAGAAAUGUGAUGACUUCUGUAGUAGGGGCAAAAUGGUAAUUUUGCACCGCCUCGAGUCAAAAUUUUUAAGUUUUUAUAAACUCGAGUACUUUUAGACCAUUAUGGACUUUGUCUCAGUGUCUGAAGAGUAAAAAGUUGAACCAAAGGAAAGAAUAAGACAAAGUCACCUUAUGGAGAGCAUUUUGGUAAAUUGCAUGAGAAAUUGGAUAAACUUUAGAUAUAAAUAUCUAAAGCUCCAGCAAUUUCCAACAACUUCCUACCAUUUCUUCUUCCUUUCCCAUCUCACGUUUCUCUAUCUCCAUGGGAGCCUCCCUUAAAGCUUCCAUAACUUUCUCUCUCUAGCUUCAAUUUUCGUGCUUUUGAGCACUUUUUCAUUGAACCUUCUGUGCUCUUUCACUCUCUCACCUUAAAACCCUUAAAAAGUCUUACUUCCAUCUUCCUCUCACUAGCUGGACAUAUAAAGAGAGAGAGAGAGUGAUUUCCCUUAUUAGCUUGAAGAAUUUGAAAGAGAAUUCAACUACAAAGACCAUCAAGGUGAGUAUAAGUUAGGGUUAAAUUCUUUAAUUGUUGAUAAUGGCUAACAAUGGGGAUUGUGAGUGUUUAUCGUUGAGGUUGCUUAUUCACUCUUAGGGUGACUAGAGUGGGGUAAAUAACUAUCCACUUAACGGCAAUUAGAAGCUACUUAGGAAUAACUAGUAGAACUUGAUUUAGGAAAGAGCUUUUGGAAUUAUAUUAAUGUCAAUUUGGGUUGAUUGUGAUGUUGUGUGUGUAAAGGUUCCAACAAGGCCUCACAUGUCCAUUUAGAGCAUUAGUUGAGGUUAGAGUCAAGCAAAAGAAUCAACAAGAUCGGUGAGUGAACUUGCAUCAAAAUGUUUUUGGGAAAUACAUAUGUGUUGGGAUGAAGCGUUUCAAUGAUUUUACUUGGUUUUCAUUAAAUUAUGCAUGGGAACAAGCCCUUGAUAAAAUGUUUUGAUGUUGUGAAAAUGUGAAAUGUGUAAAAAGAUUAAUCCAUGUGCCCUUACAUUAUGUUGGUAUGUAUAUAUGUGAAUAUGUGUUGUGCAUUGAUGAAUAAUGUUGUGUGUUGAUGAUGACCUGGCUAUGUUCGAGUAGGGACUGUGCAUAAGUUGAUGAUGACCUAGCUAUGUGCGAGUAAGGAGUGCGCAUAAGUCGAUGAUGACCUGGCUAUGUGCGAGUAAGGAGAGCACAUAAGCCGAUGAUGAUGAUCUGACUAUGACGACGAAUGAAGUGGGGUGGUGUAUGUGUUUAUAUAUGUUUCUAUACGUAUAUGUGAUAGAAAGUUUAUGAUUAUAAUAUGUGAUUGAAAUGAAUAAUGAGAAACUUUGAUUAUUGUCAAUGUGUUCACUUUGAUGUGCAAUAUCGUAGGAAUGGAUUUGGUGGCAUGUGAAAAUCCCUUAAUUGUCAUUUGCCCCAAAUCUCGCUGCAGCAAGAAACUCUCAGGUGGUGGGGGCACAAACCAGCCCUGUUUCUCAUUGCAUCAAAAAAGAAUUCUCACUGCAUCGAAAAAGAAUUCUCGCUACAACGAAAGAUUUCACUGCAGUGAAAAUGGAUUCUCACUAUAGCGAGAAAUUCUCUGGUGGACCCAAAAUUCUAGUGUAGUACUUCCACUUUGACAAUGAUUUUGACCACCAUCAAAUCAGAACUGGGCAAAAUGAUAAACAUAAAAGUUGUAUCCCAGCCUCUUAGCUUUCUAAUGGUCUAGAAAUCAGGUCAAUUGGACUUCUUUAGUGGGAGAUUUGCUGGAAAACCCAAAAUAUAUGCAAACUAAGACUGUUUCUCUCUACCACGAGAAACUUGCUGUCUUGCUUGCUACCUUACUUGAUUUUGACAUAUUUUUCACCCAUUUAACUUCAUGGAUUGAUCAUGGGGUUUUGCAACACUAUGAGGUUAUUAAUCAAAGUUUGAAAUGAGGGGUUUUUAGUAAGAAAUUAAAUCAAUUGCAUUGUUUUUGAAACAAGUGCAUCAUGAGUUCUAAGUUCUCCUUAUCGAUUGCUUGUUCACUUCUUAUGUUCACUCACUGAGUUUUAUACUCACAUUUUUAAACUUCAUGUUUUUAGAUUCGGAGGCAAUUGGGACCUAUAUUGAGUUGUCCACGUAUGCUCGCUUUCUUGGUAGGUACUAUAGCAUCUCAGUAGUUGUGCCUUCACCCACAGUCACUCCGUUGAUGGUCAAGAGUCAGUUAUCUGUGAACACGUAUAUGUAAUGUAAUCUACUAGGAUCCAUAUCAUAAGUCAAUUAUGUAUAUUUGAUUAUUGAUGCCACUAUGAGUUGGCAAACGAGUGACAUUAUUUUGACAUAAUAAAAUUGUGAGUUUUUGGUCACUAUAAAAUAUUACUGAAAUAUUUUUAGUUCAGAAUUUCAAUAUGUGGUUUUAGAAAUGAUGGUUAAGAAUGAUGAUUGGGUUUGCAUAAAAAGGCUUGCUUGGGCUUUGUGGGCUAUGCCCAUUGGGCCAAUGCGCCGAUCAUGGCCUGGUAUUUGGGCUGUGACAAAGGUGGUAUCAGAGCUCUAGGUUUAGUCGAGUCCUAAUAAUCCUUGUGUUUGUCAGCGAAGUUGUCAGAGUUAAUGUAGAGUCCUGUCUAUAGUUUGUAACUGCAGCACAAGUCAUAGACAGGAAGUUAUUUGAACUCCUACUCCUAGUAACCUACCCUUUUGCUAUCAUCAUGUAAAGGGCAUAAAUGGUAUUGUUGCUCGGGUUUGAGAUGCCACCCGAGACACAAAUCAUUAUUGGAAAGAUUUUUAAGCAAAUGCUCCUAAUGAAAGGUCAAUAAAAUGAUAUAUUCCUCCGACUAAGGAUGGAGGAAGGUGGAGCUAGACUAUUAGGUCCAUAAUAAUUUAUUCAUUUGGUGGAAUUAUGAUUUGAACCCAUGGUUAUCAAGGAAAAAAAUUAAUUAAAAAUUUAGAAACUAUGGAUUGUAUUUGAGGUCAAUAUAGGGAGGAUGUACGAUAAUGGUAAUAAAAGUUGUAUUUUGACAGGGAUGAAUAGUGACUAUUGUGACUUGCUUGAGGUUUAUAAAUUUAAGUAUCGAAAAAAAGUGUAAACUAACGUUUAUAUGUACGAAGGUAAGUGCGCUAUGUUAAAUGAGCUUGUCAUGCCGCUAUAGAAAUGGUGUGGACUUUUGAGAUAUUUUAUAAGCGUAAAAGUGUUGAAUAUGUGUAUAGUAGCUCAAAUGGAGUUGGUUUUGAUUUCAACUAAGUGAUGCGAGAUCCCAAGGUUUAAUUUGAACUAUUAUGGUUCAUAGUUAUAAGUACGUGAAUUAGCUUAAAGGUGAAAUUUAGUGACUAUUAUAAUUGAUGUGUGGUCAUCAAGUGAGAGGUUGGUAAACAAAUUUUCUCUAAGGAGGAGCAUGAACUUUGUUAUGCUAUGCGUGAGGUCAAAGGAUUAAAGAACUAGUUGUGGAUUUGAUAGCUUGAAGUUAAAUGAUUGAGAGAUGUCGAAUUUAGUCUAAAUGCCAUAUGGAGUUCUAUAUUUGAGUUUGAUAUUCGAAUUGCUUUAACGAUCAAUUUAAAAGUUUAUUGGGUUCAGUAUGUAAUCUAUGAUAAAGAUGAUCAGUUUUGAAUGUGAUCUUCCCAAAGGUAAAGGAUUUGGGAAAUAUUGAUUAUUGGAUAAGUUCUAAGAGGGAGUUUCUACAUCCUAAGUUUAAAAAAUGUUAAUUUUAUAGCCGUAAAGGCGAGAUGCAACAAUUAAGUAAAUUAUUCACUUGAUAAAUGUAAUUGGUUAAAGAUUGGUGAGUAAAGUUAAGAUCUUAACAUUAAAUGGUGUACAACUCGAUAUUUAUGUAUUUAAGAGUUAUUUGGAAACACUUGCUUAACCAAGUUGCACUAAAAUGUUAUGAUAAAGGUAUACAAUUGUUAGUAGUGAAAUAUGCCCAAAGGAUAAUCAUGGCAUACCCCAAAAGGGUGAAAUGUGUAAUGGAUAUGUCAAAAUAGAGGAAAGUAAGAAGGGGUUCGUACACGUGGUAAUGGAUGUUGACAUUUAAAGGGACGUAUAUAUGUAUAUGUGAAGUUACUCAUGUCAUCGGUGGAAAUAAAGAAUUAUUCUUAGCGAUUUGAGAGUUGAACACCAUAUGCUUGAUGGGUUGCAUAGAUGGUACUAAAAUAUACUAAUUGACCUAAUGUACGCUAUUGGAAAUAAUUAUGAAAAUGGAGGAAGAACAAGUUCUAAAAUUUCAAAGUAAUAACGUGAGCAUAAGUAGAAUGAUCAAGGUACCAACCUUAAAUGUAGACGAAAAGCGUUGAUUGAGUAAACUCCAAUAGCCAUCGUGCCACAGUGCUAAGAGCACCCCAUGUCUAAGACUCAUGAAUAAUAUGUGAAAGGCGUGAAGUUGAAAUUACGAGCUAAAUUAUGAUCAUUGGACUUGAUGUUAUGCUUCGUUAAUUGGAGCUUUAAGGUUGUGGAAAAAUAUUUAUAUGGAUGAAUUGGAAAGUUUCUCUAUUGCCUUAUAUAUUGGCAUGUAAGUCAAUGAAACAAGGGAUUAAGCCUUGUUAAGGCUAAGGAAAGAGUGAAUGAAAAGUAAGAUAAAUGAUGGGAGAAGUAUGGAGGUUGUUAUGAUGAACAUAAGAAACUUAAGGAUAAUCAAUGCAAAGAUACCAAGUAGGUUGUGUGGUCCGAAAUAAGGACAAUGAUACCUUAGGAGAUUUGAAAAUAAUGUCCAUUGGAACUGACGAGGUGGAAUGUCAUUGAGCAUACAGUGAAUUGUUAAAGUUUUAAGGGGCUUUAAAGGUAAGCUUUUGAUUGUUUAAAUCCUCAACUGAAUUCCACCAAAGGAUGUGUUUAAGUGUUUUGGAAGGCAUUGAAGAGCAUAAGAGAAAAUACCAGUUAAAUUGCUGUAAGAGGUUGAAAUGGCAUGGCCAUGAGAGGCUCAUGAGCAACCAAGCAAUGUAUAGGUAAAUGUGCAAGGGAACUAUGAUAGGUAGAUAAGGGUAGAACUUUAAUGAUGGGAUAAUGUUCACUCUUUAGGCAUUGAACCAUAAGUUAUGGGCUUGUAUCUACUUUGCGAACACCUUGGUGGGAUAAUUCGAAGGAGUUUUCACAAUGUGAAAACAUUAAAGCUCGAGGAGAUAAUAGUUAUAUAGCGAUGUUGGAGCUCGUUACUGAUAUGUCACGUAGUACCAAGGUACGCUGCAAGUCUAAGAAUGCUUGGAAACGUUGGUUUGAGGUAAUGACUAUCUUGCCAUUAUGUAGACCCGAUAAUGAUACGGUCUCGAUAUGUUUGUGGAGGCAGAGCAUACAAUGGUAAAAAGUGCUUCCCUCACAUGUUUCAUUUCAUUUUGAGUAAUUAUCAAGGUAGAAUACCAGAUAAAGGUAAGCGAAGAUUGAACUGUGAUUUAAACGCUUAGUGAAUAAUGGCGAUAUGCUUUAGUUAAUUGAUAUUACCCUUGGUGAGGGAAUAAAAGUAUACAACUAGAUUCGUAGAGAUCUACUUCGGAAAAGAGAUGAUGAUUUGAGAAUUCAAGUACUCGUAUACGAAUAAAGAUUUGGUAAGAAGACAUGACCUAGAGAUGGAAUACUACAACAUGAAUUUUUGCUAAAAAAAUCGACUUAUAAAACAAGUGGUGUUUAGGGAUCGUGCUAAUCAGUGGUUGACUCUCGUAUGAGAAUAGAAUAUUGAAAUCAACUUUGUGUAUUCACCACAAAUGGUGAGCAUGAUCUAACCAACUAUAAGAAGAAAUGAUUUUAAACUUGAUUGUCCAUCAUUUUGGUUUUACAGAUGGCUUAUUGAGCUUGAUAUGCCUAAGGCCACUUAAAGUUAAAAUUUUUGAAAAUAUAUGUAUGGAUAUAUAUGUUGCAAAUUGGUAAAAAAAAACUCAUACGGAGUUGAUUGUAAUUUGAUUUGGUGAUGAUAUCCUAUCAGCGGUUAUAACACGAAAUAAUGACUAAGAUAAUCCAUUGGUGAUUUUGGCAGUGAACAAGUUGAUUAUAAUGCUAUCAAUGUAAGGGUAAGUGUUUAUACUUCUGGUAUUAGUUCAUAAAUUUCUAUCAUAUCAUGAUCAAACUUACUGUUUUUGAUAUAGCUUGAGAGGUUUGGCAUAUGAACUAGCUUAAUUGUAAGCUAGAAAUUGAUAAGCUAUUAUAAAGUACACAAAUAGAUAAGUAUGCCAUGGAUUUAAUUCCCUAAAGGCUAAUGGAAUAAAACGUACUAGUACUGGUAUAGCCCCAAUAUAAAGUUUUAACUUAUGAAGAUUUGGAAAAAAAAAAUUAGCUUAUGCAUGAAGAUGGUGCAUUUCAGUUUAUGCAAGAAAAGUUUAAAAUCUGCCUUGUUUGGCAUAAGGCCCAUGAUUGAGAAUGAAUGAUUAUAGAUUUAAUUUUCUAAGGUAAAAAAGGCCAAAAGGGAGUUAAUAUCAAAAAGGUCUUAAUAGAUGAUUCUUUGAUUUUAAAGUACACUUAAGGAGAGACAAGUGUCUAAUUUCAUCCUCGGAUGGAUGAACUAAUGAGGCCGUGAGAUUUGGCAUUUGAAGUAAAUUUGAGGAAUCUCAAGUUAAAUAUGUUUGUAUGUGACAUAUAACUAACAAGUUGGUUAUGACCUAGGAAUUAUAAAGAUUGGUUAAGUCCAUAAGGAUGCAUCCAAAGGUAUCGUUAUUUAUUGAAAUGUAUUGUGGUAAGAGUCGAGAUUUACUUAGUAAGUACUCGAUCAUGAAGGUACUGGAGUUUUGUUUUUAGGAAUAUGGUUGCUAAUGGUUACCGGAUUUGAAUCAUCCAUGAUGUUAAACAUAUAUGAAUAAAUAAAGAGUGUUUGAUCCUUAUGUAUUAUGAAAUGCUUGAAUGGAAUUUGUAUGGAGAUAUGUAAAACGAAAUAGAUGUUGGUUGACCAUUUAGACCCAUAGUCAAUGGUGGAAUAAAUGCUUGAAUGUUGGAAGGUUUGAUAAAAGAUCAAUGUAGAGGAAUUGUGGAUGGUUAAGUAAAUAUGCAUAAUUGAUGAUUUAAGAAUGAUUUGAUUGAUAGGUGACCAGAAUUAAUAGCAUAUUUGAAUUCUCUUCAUAAGAUGAAGAAUGGUAUCGUUUUGAUCUAACAAGAGUAGUACACAUAAUUAUGUAUCUUAUGUUAAUCAUGGCCAACAGAAGUGAUGUAAAAGAAUUUUAGAAUUUUGAUUGUUCACCCCACACCGAUUCGAAUUCGAGGAUGAAUUCAUUUUAGGUAAGGGAGACUGUAGUACCUCAUACUUUGAGGUUGUGGCUAAUAAUGCUUACUGGCUACUAAUUGAGGUUGAUAACUGAGUAAAAAGGGUAAUUCAGAAGUGAGCCUGUGAAACUUUGACCUCCAUAGACAUGUAACUAGAAGUAGACGCGAUAACACUAACUAGGGCCAAUUUCGUCAUUUCUCUUGGUGAGCUCCUACGAGUGGGUUUUCUGAUGUUGUUAAGGCCUAAGUAGGCCUAAGGCAUAAAUGAAUGAUGAAAAUAAGGAUAUAAUAACGAAGGAAAUAGAAAUAGUGAUGACUUCUGUAGUAGAGGCAAAAUGGUGAUUUUGCACCUCGAGUCAAAAUUUUUAAGUUUUUGUGAACUCGAGUACUUCUAGACCACUAUGGACUUUGUCUCAAUGUCUAAAGAGUAAAAAGUUAAACCAAAGGAAAGAAGAAGACAAAGUCACCUUAUGGAAGGCAUUUUGGUAAAUUACAUGAAAAUUUGGAUAAACUUUAUAUAUAAAUAUCUAAAGCUUUAGCAAUUUCCAGCAGCUUCCAACCAUUUCUUCUUCCUUUCCCAUCUCACGUUUCUUCAUCUCCAUGGGAGCCUUCCUUAAAGCUUCCAUAACUUUCUCUCUCUAGCUUCAAUUUUCAUGCUUUUGAGCACUUUUUCAUAGAACCUUUUGUGCUCUUUCACUCUCUCACGUUAAAACCCUUAAAAAGUCUUACUUCCAUCUUCCUCUCACUAGCUGGACAUAUAAAGAGAGAGAUAGUGAUUCCCCUUAUUAGCUUGAAGAAUUUUGAAAGAGAAUUCAACUACAAAGACCAUCAAGGUGAGUAUAAGUUAGGGUUAAAUUUCUUUAAUUUUUGAUAAUGGCUAACAAUGGGGUUUGUGGGUGCUUGUCGUUGAGGUUGUUUAUUCUCUCUUAGGGUGACUACAGUGGGGUAAAUAACUAGCCACUUAAUGGCAAUUGGAAGCCACUUAGGAAUAACUAGUAGAACUUGAUUUAGGAAAGAGCUUUUGGAAUUAUAUUAAUGCCAAUUUGGGUUGGUUGUGAUAUUAUGUGUGUAAAGGUUCUAACAAGGCCUCACAUGUCCAUUUAGAGCAUUAGUUGAGGUUAGAGUCAAGCAAAAGAAUCAACAAGACCGGUGAGUGAACUUGCAUCAAAAUGUUUUUGGGAAAUACAUAUGUCUUGCAAUGAAGCAUUUAAAUGAUUUUACUUGGUUUUCAUUAAAUUAUGCAUGGGAACAAGCCCUUGAUAAAAUGUUUUGAUGUUGUGAAAAUGUAAAAUGUGUAAAAAGAUGAAUCCAUGUGCUCCUAUAUUAUGUUGGCAUGUAUAUAUGUGAAUAUGUGUUGUGCAUUGAUGAAUAACGUUGUGUGUUGAUGAUGACCCGGCUAUGUGCGUGUAGGGAGUGUGCAUAAGCCAUUGAUGACCCGGCUAUGUGCGAGUAAGAAGUGCGCGUAAGCCGGUGAUGACCUAGCUAUGUGCGAGUAAGGAGUGCACAUAAGCUAAUAAUGAUGAUCCGGCUAUGACGAUGAAUGAAGUGAGGUGGUGUAUGUGUUUAUAUAUGUUUAUAUAUGUAUAUGUGAUAGAAAGUUUAUAAUUAUAAUAUGUGAUUUAAAUGAAUAAUGAGAAACUUGAUUAUUGUCAAUGUGUUCACUUUGAUGUGAAAUAUGGUAGGAAUGGAUUUGGUGCCAUGUGAAAAUCCCUUAAUUGUCAUCUGCUCUGAAUCUCACAACAGUGAGAAACUCUCAAAUGGUGGGGGCAUAAACCAGCCAUGUUUCUCAUUGUAGUGAAAAAGAAUACUCACUACAACGAGGAAUUUCACUUCAGUGAAAAUGGAUUCUCGCUGUAGCGAGAGACUCUCGGGUAGACCCAAAAUUCUAGUGUAGUACUUGAAAUUUGACAAUGAUUUUGACAACUAUCCAAUCAGAAAUGGGCAAGGUGGUAAACAUAAAAGUUGUAUCCUAGCCUCUUAGCUUUCUAAUGGUCUAAAAAUCAGAUCAAUUGGAUUUCUGUAGUGGGAGAUAUGCUGGAAAAACCAAAACAUAUGCAAACUGAGACUGUUUCUCGCUGCAACGAGAAACUUGAUGUCCUACUUGCUACCUUGCUUUAUUUUGAUAUAUUUUUCACCCAUUUAACUUCAUGGAUGGAUCAUGGGUUUUUUCAACACUAUGAGGUUAUUAAUAAAAGUUUGAAAUGAGGGGUUUUUAGUAAGAAAUUAAAUCAAUUGCAUUGUUUUUGAAACAAGUGCAUAAUGAGUUACAAGUUCUCCUUAUCGAUUGCUUGUUCCCUUCUUAUAUUCACUCACUAAGUUUUAUACUCACAUUUUUAAACUUCAUAUUUCAUAUUCAGAGGCAGUUAGGACCUAGAUUGAGUUGUCCACGUAUGCUCACCUUCUUGGUCACUCAGCUGACGGUCAAGAGUCUGUUACCUGUGAAUACAUAUAUGUAAUGUAAUCUGCUAGGAUCCAUAUUAUAAGUCAAUUAUGUAUAUUUGAUUACUGAUGCCACUAUGAGUUGGCAACGGGUGACAUUAUUUUGACAUAAUAAAAUUAUGAGUUUUGGGUCACUAUAAAAUAUUACUGAAAUAUUUUUAGUUCAGAAUUUUAAUAUGUGGUUUUAGAAAUGAUGGUUGAGAAUAAUGAUUGGGUUUGCAUAAAAAGGCUUGCUUGGGCUGAAUGGGCUAUGCCCAUUAAGCCCAUGCGCCGGUCAUGGCUCGGUAUUUGGGCUGUGACAGUGGGAGUGCACAUGACAGUAUUAGCUAUGUGCGGUGUGGGAAUGCACAUGAGCUGGUGAGCUAAUAGUUGUAUACAUGUUUACACAUACCAUAGAGAGGUUAGGGAAAAUAUUAUGUGAUUACAUUGAAUGUUGAAUGUUGAAAUUGUUAAAUGCUUCCAAAUUGAUUUUCAUUGCAGCAAGAAUGGAUUUUUGUUGCAACAAGAAUUCUUCUAACUUAAUUGCCUUGUUUCUUGCUGCAGCAAAAUUUCAUUCUCACUGCAGCGAGAAACUCUCGGGUGCUUGGAAGCUUGACCCAGCCUUGGUUUUCACUAUAGUGAGAAACUCUUGACCUUACUUGGAUAUUUGCUGUAGUUUUCACUCUUUAACUCCAUUGUUCAUUAUGGACCUUUCAACACUAAGGGAUUAAGUAAUCAAGGGUUGAAAUGAGGGGUUUUAACAAGAAAUUAAGCUAAAUUAUAUCGUUUUUAACAUAAGUGCAUCAUGUUUUCUCAAACUUUCCUUAUCGUUUGCUUGUUCCCUUUUUAUGUUCACUCACUAGGUUUAUACUCACUCUUUUCAACUGCAUGUUUUUAGAUUCGGAGGUAGUUGGGAUCUAGAUUGAGGUGUCCACGUAUAUUCGUCUUUUUAGUAGAUACCAUGGCAUUCAGUAGCUGUACCUUCACCCAAGGUCACUCUGCUGGUAGUUAACAGUCUUUUGCUUGUGUAUACGCACAUGUGAUGUAAAUCUUUAAGAUUCAUGUUAUGAACAACACAUGUAUAUUUUGAUUGAUGAUGCCACUAUGAGUUGGCAAUGGGUGACAUUAUUUUGGGUUAAUAUAAAUGUAAAUAUUUGGGUGUCAUAGUAUAUUAUGGAAAUACUUAUAGUUAAGAAUUACGAAAUGUGACUGUGGGAAUGAGUGAUGAAAUAGGACUACAUAAAGAGGCUUGCUUGGGCUUAGUGGGCUGUGCCCAAUGGGUCCAUGUGCUGGUCAUGGCUCGAAACUGGGCUGUGACAACACCGAUCAUGGCCCAGAACUGGGCUGUGACAAGCACAUUUUAUUUCUUUUCUUUUCUUUUCUUUUCUUUUUUCAACCUGCAAACUUAUUUUUGACAAUUAUAAACUAGGGGUCAUUUUUCUAACAACCAUCACUUCUUCUUUUUUUCUUUUCACCUUCCUCAAUUUAUUCUUAGGCUCAAAUCAUUCCUUAGAAAGAUUAAAAUACUUAGAGGAUGAAAGGUUCAAAUCGCUGAAUUUAAAUAAACAGGCCAAGGCUAACAUAAUUGUGUAAUUACAAAGAAAAGGUAAAUUAGGCUAAAAAAGGGUGACAAAGGAUAUACAUAACAAGGUAGGCUCAAAAAGGCUCAAACGAUCCAAAGAUGGCCUAAAUCACUUCCUAUUCUAAGUGUUAUCUAAAAUUUCGCCUUGAGAGAGAAUCAAACAAAUUCUAGAUUUCUUGACUUCACUAUACUUUUUCAUCAACAUAACAUUUCCCUAGAUCACACAAAAACUCUAAGUAAAAGAGUAUAGUCCUUAAAUUAUUGGAAGUUACAUUCUAAAAUAAAGCUAACACAAUAAUAUCACAAAAAAUUAAAUCAUAACUAUAUACUUCCCAAAAGCUAAGAAUCAGAAGAUAAUUAAAAUAUCAUCCUCGGAUUGGGACAAUUAUGAAUGAGGAGCAACUAUCUCAAAAAUUUUUUUUUGAAACACAAUAAAACAUGCACAACAUAAAUAUGCAAAACAUAUCUUAAAAUAAAGCUAACUAAAAAUAAAUAAAUAAACUAAAAAAAUUCUAAACCACUCCCUUAAACUGGGAACAAACAUUGUCCUCAAUGUGAUAAAAGAAAAUAAAAGUCAAAAGACAAAGAUACUCCCCUAACUCCGAAGCUACAGUCUACAUGUGUUCCGUAUCGUCACCACCCAUCAUCUACUCUCAACAACAAAGCAUUCAUUAAUUAUAUAUGCAGUAAACAAAAAGUCUGUGAAUCCAUUAUAUGGGUAACAAGAAAUUAGCACUAAUCUUCAAAAUUUUCGACACUCUAAGCAUUAAUCAUGAGGAAGUAUGAAAAACCCAUUAACAAACAUGUAAAAUGGACCCAUUGAAGGUGCAAAAAUUAUAAAAUUUACCAUUAACACCAACCUCGUCCUUUCUUUACACAAAAUAAUAGAAAACCAAGUGUUAGGAGGAGUACUUACCUUAGAAGUGCAAUGAAUGCAAGAUUUCAAAGGGAAAAUACAAAAAAUCCAAGUAGAAAUAAUAUGCAAAAAAGUUAGAGUGAAAAAGAGAGAGGAAGACAAGAGAUUGGCAAGAGAAGGAAGAAUGGGAGUGGGGUUGGCGGCUGGAGAAGAAGAAGAAUGAAAGAAGAUAAAGAAAAGAAAAAAAAAUUGAGUUCUCAACGUUUUCCACCCGAAACAUUACGCUUUGGGUUUGAACACCGCGACUCUCAAGGUUGAGCAUCGUGGCACUCAACCUUUCUGUUUUUUUUUUCUUUGUUCAGCAUCGUGGGUCUCACUUAGAAGGCGCGGUGCUGAAACGUUCUGUUUUAGUCGUGUGGUAGCCUCAUUUUAGGGCCGCGGCUCCCACUUUGAGGGUCACAUUUUUUUGAAUUUUUUUCUUUUUUUCUUUUUUUUUUGAAUUUUUUUAACCAAUUACCUGCAAAAAGGAAACAUAAAAAAAUUAGUUUAAAAGAAAUAAAUUAUAACUAAAAAAAUUAAAUAAAAUAAAGGCUAAAACAAGUAAAGUUUAAGAACUUGGGUUGCCUCCCAAGAAACGCUCGUUUAUAGUCACUAGCUUGACUAUAAUACCCCCUUUUUCAAUUCGUUACCUCGAAAUAUGGUAUGAGGCUUAGCCCAUUAACCAUGAAUGUGCUCGUAUCCUCACUAUCAAUCUUAAUUAUUCUACAAGGAUAAGCCUUUAUUACUUUGAAAGGACCCCACCAUCUUUCUUUACGUUACCAUGGAAAAAGCUUAAAGUAUGAUCGAGAAAGCAUCAUUACUUGUUGUCCAAUCUCGAAAGGACAAUUAGAUGGUGGUGGAGGAUGCUCUGUUGGUGACUGCUUGGGGCUUACAGGAAAAGGUGGUGGUUCAAACUCAAAGAUUAGUACUUGCUCAAUUGUAGGUGGAGAAAUAGGUUCACCUUUUCUUUCAUCAAUUUACUCCACUCUAUAGCAACAAUUUGUAGAGCUAGGAUGUUUAUGUGCAUUGAAAAUAUUAAACUCAACUACCUCUUCUCUAACUUUAAAAGUUAUCUCGCCUUCCCUCACAUCAAUGAUUAUGCUUGCAGUAGCCAAGAAUGGUCGUCCCAAGAUUAAAGGAAUUUCUAGAUCUUUUUCCAUCUGAAGCACAAUGAAGUCCACUGAAAUGUAAAGAUGCCUAACUUUAACCAAUACAUCCUCGAUAAUCCCAACAGGGUACCUGAUUGUUCUAUCUACUAAUUGCAAAGAAACUAUAGUAGGUUGUAUCUCAUUAAGUCCAAGUUUCUCAGCAAUUGACAAUGGCAUAAUUGAAGCACUUGCACUCAAAUCACAUAAAGCUUUAGUAAAUUGAAAUCUACCAAUAGUACAAGGGAUAGAAAAACUCCUUGGAUCCUUAAGUUUUGGUGGAAGCUUGUUUUGAAUUAGUGCGCUACACUCCUUAGUAAGUGCCACUGUUUCAAAAUCUUUCAGUUUCCUCUUCUUGGUUAAGAUGUCUUUCAAGAAUUUAACAUAACUUGGCAUGUUUUCCAAAACUUCAGUAAAAGGGAUAUUGAUGUGGAGCUUCUUGAAGACAAUGAGAAACUUCUCAAACUAUUUAUCAAGCUUUUGCUUUUGCAACCUUUGUGGGAAUGGUGGUGGAGGAUAAUUUGCUUAAGAAUUCCGUUGGUUUUUAGCUUGCCCAUUAUCUGUCUUGUCCACUUCAACUUCUUUCUCAAUAAUUGCCUUGUCAUCAUCUACAUGCUCCUUUAAAGAUUCAACUGAUUUUUCACUCACCCCUUUAACUUCUUUUCCACUCCUAAGUGUAACUACAAUACAAUGUCCCUUACCUUUGGGACUGACUUGUGUAUCACUUGGUAGGGUACCUUGAGGUCUAUUGUUGAUGGAGUUUGCAAGUUGUCCCACUUGUGUCUCAAGAUUUCUCAAGAAAGCUCCAUAGCUUUGAAUUAAAGAAUCAGUCUUAGACAUAUAUUGCAAGAGAAGUUCUUCCAAUUAGGACUUCUUUUCAGGAAUUUAUGGUCUAGCUUGUUGCUGAAAACCAAAAGGCAUUAUGGGUUUUCGAUUGGAAGGCCCUGCAUUGUUGUUCCAUGAAAAGUUAGGAUGGUUUCUCCAACUCGGAUUAUAGGUAUUGGUGUAUGGGUUAUUCUACUAUCUAUUAAAGUUUCCCACAAAUUGGACUGAUUCAAAGUUGUAUGGGCAUUGAUCAUACGAAUGGCCAUCUCCACACAUCUCACAAACUACUAAUGAAUUUUGAACUGCAUGAACUCUCAGUGUGUCAAACUGCUUGGACAAUGCAGCUACUUGAGCAAUUAAGUUGCCAAGUGCAUCAAUUUAAUAGGAUCCAAUAGCUUUUCUCGAACUCGACCUUUCUAAAGGCUAUUCAUAAUUAUUUGAAGCGAUCUCUUCCAACAAAUUAUAAGCAUCUGCAGCAUUCUUACUCAUUAAUGCCUCACCAGCAACAACUUCAAUUGUGGUUUUUAUUGACCAAACCAACCCAUUGUAAAAUGUCUGAACUUGAAUCCCAUGAUGUGGACAUAUUUUUUGUAGUUCUUUAAACCUCUCCCAAGCUCUAUACAAGGACUCACCAUCAAAUUGUGUGAAUGAGGUGAUAUCGUUCCUCAUCUUUGCAGUCUUGGCAAGUGGAAAAAAUUUUGCUAGAAACUUUUGUGCCAAGUCUUCCCAUAUAGUGAUAGACCCAUUGGGUAAUGAAUUAAGCCAGCUUUUUGCUUUAUCCCUCAGAGAAAACAAAAACAACCUUAAUCUAAUAGCAUCAUUAGUUACUCCAUUGUAUUUAAAGGUAUCGCAGAUCUCCAAGAAAUUUACUAAAUGAGAAUUAGGAUCAUCACUAGGUAACCCACUAAACUGGACUAAAGACUGAAUCAUCUGAAUGUAAGCUGGUUUAAUUUCAAAAUUAUUUGCAUUGAUGGGAGGUCUCCUAGUGCUUUGGUGCAAACCUUGCAAAAGAGGAACAACAUAAUCGCCGCAGUGCUCUAUUUGCUUCAGGAACCAAAUUAAUGGCAUUGUUGCCAUUAUUAUUGUUAUCCUCAGCCAUUGUUUAACAUAAAGCUGCAACUUGUAAGUUCUCCCUUAGACGUCUUUUGAAAGGAACAAGAUUCAAGCUAUUUCUUCUUUGCAUAAAAUGACCAAAGAUAUCUGCAAACAAACAAAAUCUAAUAUUAAAACAAGAAAAUUAAAAUUUGAAGUAAGACUAAAUUGCUUGGUAUUAGUAUUAGUAAAUAUUCUAAAAACAAUUCCCUGGCAAUGGCACCAAAAACUUGUCAGUUAAAAUUCUAUUGCGCAUGUAUAUGUAUCGAAUAGAUAGUAUAUAAGCAAGCAGAAUAUUGAUCUCAUAGAGAAUUGAUUUAAAAUUUUACUAAGUACUAAAAUUAGAACAAUUUAAUCUUAUCCAAAUACUCAAAAUUAAUUGAUUAACUAAAACUAAUUAACUAAAAUUUUAAUCAAGAAAAAAUCAAAACAAUAAUAACUUAAGAAAAUAUCAAAUCAAACAAGCCUAGGAUUACAAUAUCCCUCACACUUCAUCUAAAUCUUACCUUUCUUCCUUAACUUAUUUCAAUGGGUUGAAUUGCUAACCUAGUGUAUUAAAUUAUUUAUAAAGGUCUCUCGACUCAUCUUAUAAAAAUAUCUAUUUUAACUAAACCACUAUAUCUCUAUGUGAAUUGAAAUUAAAAUAGACUCAUUAAGUUCAUGCACUAAUCUGGUUACAUAUGGCCUAUAAGUAUAUCUAUAUCCUAUACGCAAAUCAAUUAAUGUGAUCAUAUGCUAUUUCAAUUUUAGUAUACUCUAAACUCCCUUUCCCAAGUUUUCUUAGGUUCUUAAACCAAUUUAAUUGGUGGCAUGGCAAUUAAAAGUAUUAAGAACAAAUUGGAAUAAACAAUUCAAUUCCAAUUGAAGAUAAGUAAAAAGAGAUUAAAAAUCUAGAUUACAUGUGAGUUCAAUUGUAAUCCUAGAAAAAGAAAAUUAGCUACUCAUAAUCACAAAAACAAAUAACAUUAUAAUAAAUUCAGCCAUUGAGAGUAACAAGAAAAAUAAAAACCAAGGAAGAAAAUAAAACAAUAUUCGCCGCCUUGAUCUCCAAGUUUCAGCCUCAACUCCUAGCUUCUUGAAUCUCCCAAAAGUUGUCUCCCCUAAUAUUCUUCAAACUAUCCUAUUUAUGCUAAUAACUUAACCUAUUCUUCCUUAAGUUGACCUAGGGUUUAAUUGGGCUUAAAAGUGUAAUGAGAGGCCUAAAAAUAAAUUGUUAGUCUUUACAAAUUUCCAUUUCCAUUGUAGUACGUCAAGCCAUUUUCCAACGUGAUUUUCUCUAUCUUCAAAGCAGAACUGCAUAAAGUAAUCUUCACGAAAGUUGUAGCUCUGUCUCUUAGCUUUCCAAUGGUCUAAUAAUUACAUCAUUUGGAGUACUGUAGCACGAAUUAUGGCCAAAACACUGAAGUAUAUGCAAGCAGACUCUAGGUCUUUCAACACCUUACUUUCCAAAAUUAAGCCCAAUUCUUUUAGUUCCUAUGAAAAAUAUAAAAACUAAUAAAUAAUAACCAAAUUAAAAAGAAUAACAUAAAAUUAAAAUAACUCAAUAAAAUAUAAUUAUAAAAACAAUUAGAAAUAAAUAAAUUAUAAUUAAAAAUUGAGGACUUAGCUAAUAUUUAAUAACAAAAUUGGACUAAAAUGAUUCUAUAAAAUAGAAUUAUCAACCGUUUAAUUCAAAAACCAUUUAGUGGAAAGAUUUAAUCUUACCUCUUGAUUAGUUUUCUAGCCUCUGAACACCUUUUUGAAGCCUCAAAUCACUAGGGGAGACAAUGGUUUUGAGAGUGUUGAGAGAGCUUGGUUUUUCCUUUUUGCCUCAAAUGGGCAGAUAGCCCAAGGCUUUAUAUUUUUUUGCAAAUAUGCAUCAAUGUAUCAUGACAUUUGGAAAUGUAUCGAUACAUUUUCAUGGGUUAACUUUAAAUAUAUCGAUACAUGAGGCAAUGUGUAGAUACGUUUUCCUUAAUGUGACACCUAAUACCCUCGUAUAGAAGUCAAUAUGACCUUAUAAAUGAGACAAAGGGUCAAUGGAUGUUGAUUUAAGUGACAAAGGAUGGAGACGAGUGAAAAGAGUAUUUUAAGAUAAAAUAUUUCACACGCGAAGAAAUAAUAAUAAAAUAAUAAUAUUUUUGUCAAGGAAGAAUUUACGAGAUAAAAGGUGCUUCGGAUGUGAAUCGGGGCAAAGUAAGAUUUUUGGAGCCCUAGAAGGCUAGUGAAAAAUUUUGGAAUAAAAUAAUAUUUUAUUAAUAAAAUAAUAUUAAAAUAUUAAUAUUUUAUUCGAUGUCGAAACUUUUCAUGAAGGAGAAAUAUAUGGUCAAUCUAAGUGGGGGAGAAAAAGGAUAAGGAAAUUUUAAAGAAAAAUGACGUUAAUGGGGCUCGCAUGUCUUUAUUAAAUAAGCUAGCGCAGGUAAGUAAAUAUUUAAAUAUUACGGUGUUACCGCAUUGAAUCAUAAAUUUGAUAUUUUAUUGGUACAAGUGCUAAGGAAGAAAAAUGGAAAGAAAUUGAAAUUAAAAGAUUGUGGAAUGAUACAAUUAAAAAGGGUGAAACCUUAGAAGGUAAAACGGUAAUUUUUCAUAAAGUUUGGUCAAAGCUUCCAAAUGAAGCUUUGACUCUCCAUCCUUAUCCAUGGCUGGCCAUUGUGUCCAAGGCAUCAUCUUCCUCCUUCAUCUCCUCCCAACACCAUUUUUGUUCCUUCCCCAUAAAAUUCAAGAUUUUCAUUUUCUUUUCUUUGUUUUCUUUCUUUCUUUUUCUUUUCUUACUCCUUCCUUUUCCUAACUUCUUGGGUAUCAAACUUGCAACUUCUAACCCCAAUUUUCAAAACAUCUAAACCCUAGGAGAGAGAAAGAAAAUCUCUCUUCCUUUCUUUUGUUUUCUAUUUCUACUCCACUUUCAACAACACUUGGAUUUUUGGCUUCAAAUCUUCAUUUUUAAGGCUAAAAGGUAUAUAUUUUUAACCCUUGAAUUUUUGAAUUUAUGGGUUUGUAAUUUUUUGACUUUGUUUUCUAAGUUUCUUCAAAUUUUCUUUCCUUGAAAUUUGCUAGGUUUGGUUGAUCUUUAUACCUUCAAGCACCAAGGUCAAGAAACUUAAAACUUGAACAAUUAGUUUAAAGGGUUUGCGAAUUAGGCUAGAAUUCUAGGUUAAAAGUUAGGUUAGAGUGUAGAUUGUAUAGUGUAUAUUUAUUAGAAUUAUUAAAUUCAAAUUAUGACUUGAUAGAGGUUGUUAUGGCUUAUUGGUAAAUAUAGGUUUUAACGGUAUUUUGGGACUACCUAGAUUGAGACUUUGUGGGCACUAGUUUUGUAAGGUGGCAUUAAGGUGAGUGAACUUGCUUAAAAUGUUUUGGAAUAAAUGAUUAUAUGCUUAAUUCAACCACUUGAAAUAUUUUGUUGGUUUGUCUUCAAAAUUUGCAUGGGAACAAGCCCUUGAUAAAACAUUUUAUGUUGUGUAAUAUGAAAGUGAUGAAUUCAUGUGUUUCUACAUUAUGUUAACGUGUAUGUUAUGCGUUGAAUGGCACUAUUGGGUGACAAUUGUAAUCAUGCAUGUGCGGUGCGGGAGUGCACAUGACGGUGAUAGUGGCGUGCUGUGUGAAUGCACACAAUGAUGAUAUAUGCCAUGUGCGUGAUAGUGGCAUGCUGUGUGAGUGCACAUACUAAUGAUAUAUGCAAUGUGCAUGAUAGUGGUGUGUUGUGUGAGUGCACACACUGAUGAUAUUUGCCAUGUGCGUCAUAGUGGUGUGUUGUGUGAGUGCAAACACUGAUGAUAUAUGCCAUCUGUGAGGGGGAGUGCACAUGAUGAUAUUGCCUUGUGCGAUGUGGAAGUGCACAGGAUGCUUCUAGCUAUGUGCAGUGUGGAAAUGCACAUGAGCUACUAAGAUGGAAGUUGUAUACAUGUAUACACAUACCAUAUAGAUGUUAAAGAAAUAAAAUGUGAUUGUAUUGCAUAUUGAAUGUUGAAAUUUGACAAAUGUUUUCCAAUCAAUUUUUCAUUGCAGCAAAAAUGGAUUUUCAUUGUGACAAGAAUUCUUUAACUUGAUCCUUGGUUUUCGCUGCAGCAAAAUUCAUUCUCGCUACAGCAAGAAACUCUCGAGUGGAUGGCCUUAACCCUUGCUUUGGGAUUUUUGCUGCAACAAAAAUGCAUUCUCGCUGCAGCGAGAAACUUUAAGGUUGUUGGUUCAAAAUUUUGCCCCGAAGUUCGCUGCAGCGAGAUUCACUCUGCUAUGCUUGCCUUGCUUGAACUUCCUAAAUGUUUUAAAAUGAGUUGAAAAAUAGCAGGGCAUCGAGUUUUGUUCAUAAUAUAUAAAAUUGCAUUAUUUUUAAACAAGUGCAUCAUGUUUUUGAAAAGCUCUCCGUAUCGUUAGCUUGUUCCUUUCCUAUGUUCACUCACUAGGUUUAUACUCACUUUUUUUAACUUCAUGUUUUCAUAUUCGAAAAUAGUUGGAUCUUAGGUAGAGGCGUUUCCUCCUGUUCAUCUUACGGUAGGUUUGCCAAAACACUCCAUAAUAUUAUCUACGCUAGAGUCACUCCAUUGAUAGUCAAGGUAUUUUGUAUAAGUAUAUGGUUAAUUAAAUGUAAUUCAUGAGAUUUGUUGUAAACAUUGUAUGUUUGGUUUGCAUGAUAAUGUCGCCACAAGUUAGCAUAUGGUAAUAUUAUUUUGUGAAUGGUAUUGUUCAGUUGCCAUGAUUUAUUUUCGAAAGGAAAUUAUUUUUGAAAAACAAUGAAUUAAAAACCUUAAAGGUAAAAGAGGGAGAGGUGGUCUAAUAAACAAGUUUCAUAGAAAGGCUUGCUUGGGCCUAGUGGGCCUUGCCUAUUGGGUCCUUGAGCGAAUCAUGGCCCGGGAAUUGGGCUGUGACAUUUAAGGUGCUCUCAGUUUCAAAUCUAUCGAUCAUUUGGACAACGUAUCAAUACUUUUUCAUAAUACCCCUUUUAUGUGUUUACUGUCUGGAAUGUAUUGAUACAUGGGCACCAUGUAUCGAUACUUUUCGUCCAGAUUGCAUUUUUUUCAACACUCAAAGCUUUUAGCUCCAUUUUCUAACUUACAUUCUCAUCUCAUUUCUUCAUAAUCUCUUAACAUCAAUCAUAUAAACUCAUCAUAUGCUUCAAUUAUUCAUCUAUGCUCUAUGUCACAUAACAUAUAAAUCAAACAUAGCUAUUUGCUUUUCAUAGCAUACUCAUUUAAGUUCCAACAUAUGCACUAUUUCAAUGCUCAUACAUUGGCAAACAUAGCUCAUACUUAUUUGCUUUUAGGUGGCAAACGUAUGCACAACAUCAAAAUGCUCAUACAUUCUCAUAAUCAUCACUUUAUGGACAUAGGCAGUCCUUACAUCCAUAAACAUAAACAUCAAAAUAUGAUUAUCUCGUUCAAACAACUUAACAUAAAUUAGACACCAUUACCAUCAAGGUCGAGGGUGUUACAUUCAUUUUGUAUGGUUAUCUAUUGAUAGAUUCCAUGGAUCUAUCGAUGAGUUGUGUUGUAGUCACAAACCAUGAACAAGACUCUACACUAUUCUUGACACUCUGCUAACACACAUAAGAGGACCUAGGACACUCUAAAACCUUGGUGCUUUAAUACCAACUUUGUCAUGAUCCAGACUCGAGGGUCCGUGACUAACGCACAAGCUUAACAAGCUAAACCCACGAGGCCCAAGCAAACCUCAAAAUUCCAAAUCGUACACAUACAUCUAAAGGUUUCCAAUGCCACAAUUUCAUAUAAUACUUCAAUUCCAAUACUUAAAUGUUACCCUUAGAACAUAGUUCAUCCUCAAUAUCCAUAAAGCCAUACAUUGGCCAUCAAAGCAUGUUCAUGCUUGACAACCUUUAAUACAAAUUCAAAUGGCACAUCGUGCCUACAUACAUAACUAAACCAAAUACAGAGCAGAAGCUCAUGACAGACUUACAGGAGUGGACGUGUCAGAUGGGAACCUACCGGAUGCCAAAAUUGAUUUGUCAAUGGAUGACCCUUUCCAUGCACUCCUAUGGCCUAUUUAUCUACACAUGGUACAACAAAUGGAUGAGUCAUUUAAUACUCAAUGAAAGGUGGAGAUAAAUCAACAUAUAUAAUUAACAAUAUAUAUAUAGUGCACUAUCAGUGCAACAAAACAAUUUAACAAGUAUCUUCAAGAUUAGGGGCAUAUCAAUCAUCCCUAAGAUGUCUCCAUAAAUAACACACACAACACUAGGCUUAUCCUUAAAGACAUUCAAGGUUAUUCUCCAUGGCUUACUUUAGUCACUAGAGUAUCAUAUCAGGUUUGAAUCAAACUUACCUAAGCCUAUCCGAGGCUAUGUCACAUCACCCAUAAUCCAUUUGAUAAUCAUAGAGUGGUCCUCCCUCAAACAUCAUCAAAUCAUGCACGGUGGCCAACCGAACGACCCAAAUUUCAGGCUAUGACCGGCGCAUGGGCCCAAUAGACGUAGUCCAUUAAGCCCAAGCAAGCCUAUUAAUCUGUCAUGUUCAUCAUUCCAUCAUAAACUGCUAAGUCAUAUUUCAUAACUUAGGAUCAAAAUAAUAUUGAACAUUUCCAUCUCGUACUGGCAUACCAAACAAGUAUGUAUACAUUGUCUACAACAUGUAUCUUAAUAAUUUACAUUAAACUUGUCUAUACAAAACAAAAGAAUACACAACUUCCAGCGGAGAGACUCGAACGAAUGUACAGCUACUGAAUGCCAAGACACCUACCAAAAGAUGGACACAAGUCUACAAGGACAUCUCGUCUUAGUUACUAACUGCCUUGUGAUCUGAAAACAUGAAGUUGAAAACGGUGAGUAUAAACCCAGUGAGUGAACAAGGAAGGGAACAAGCAACCAUAAGGGAGAAUUUAAAAUUAUGAUGCACUAGUUUUAAAACAAUGCAAUUUAAUUUCAUUCAUAUUGAAAACUCCUCAUUAAACCCUUAAAUAUUAAUCACUUGGUAAUGAAGAACCCAUACAUAACAAAUAAUUUGAAAAAUGAAGGCUUCAGUGAUACAUAAGCAAGUCAAAUGCGACAACGAAUCUUCGCUGCAGCGGAAAGGCGCUACAGCUAGAAUGAAUUUUUACUGCAGCGACGUUGGGAUUAAGUUAUUAGCCAAACGAGGGUUCUUUAACUGGCCGAGGGUUUCUCACCAAACUUACUCAUUUUAAACUUAAUUCACUUAUUCCUUAAUAUUGGAAGUCCAAGCUCAACUAUGGUACCAAAGAAAUGGAAAAUGGAGCAGCAACCCAACCAAAAAGGAAACAAAAUAGAGAGUUUUUCACUGUAGCGAAAUUUUGAUCCCAAAACAGAAUGUUUCUAGCUGCAACGAGAAGCUACAGUACCUUUCUCGCUGCAGCGAGAAUGUAUUUUUGCUACAGCGAAAACCAAAUUGGUGAGGCUCUCGAAAACCCGAGAGUUUCUCGCUGCAGCGAAAUUCAAUCUUGCUGCAGCGAAAAACAGGGGACAAGCAAAAAUCCCUCUUUCCCUCAAACAAAAGCCACCCUGUUCACAUGACCAACACAACAUGAAUCUCAUAUAAUUUCCCCAAAGUUUAACAUGUCAAAUUUCACAUGCAAUUCAACCAUAUACCAUAAUAUGAACUUUCUAUAACUCACACAUUUACAUAUACAUACAUCAUCAUCAUGUACACCAUCCCAUCAUUCCCAGCUCAUGCGCACUCCCUACUCGAACAUGGCUAGGUCAUCACCGGGUUAUGCGCACUCCCUACUCGCACAUAACUGAGUUAAUAUCAUUAUACAACAAUGUAUUCACAUAUAUAUAUCAACACAAUGUGGUAGUACAUGAAUCAAUAAUAGUCACAUGUCACAACAUGGAGACAAUCUAUCAAAAGCUUGUUCCCAAGGCACUUGUUUUCAUAAAAAAAAAAAACUUGAUAAUUCAUUCAAAUGAGUGGCAAGUACAUUAUAUUUCCCAAAACAAGUUUUGAAGGCAAUCCACUCACCGGUAUAUUGUUGAGCCUUGAACCGACUCUAAUUUCUCUAAUUGCCCAAAUGGAAUGAUGGAACUUUGUUGGAACCUACCAUUACAUUAACAUCACUAUUUUAUUAAUUCACAUAAUAUAAACCCUAAAGCUAUCUUUUAGCUAGCUUUCAAUUGCCACUUUAAAUGGCUAUCUAUGUUCAUUAUCUUAAUUACUAUAAAAUGAAUGAACAUCCUUAACAAUAAACAGCUCAUAAUCCCAAUUACUAGCCAUUUUCUACAACUAAAAAUUGAAUUUAGUUCAUCACUCACCCUUGGGUUUCUUUGUAGUUGAAUUCUCUUCCAAUAGCUUCUAAAUAAAUGGGGUAAUUCUCUUUUUCUCUCUCUAAAAUGCCUAACUAGUGAGAGAAAGUAUGGAAAUAAGAUUUUUUUAGGGUUUUAAAGUGAGAGGAUGAAAUAGCACAAGGGUUUAUGGAAAGGUGCACCAAAAGCAUGAAAAUUGGAGCUAGAGAGAGAAAGUUAUGGAAGCUUGAAGAAAACUCCCCUGGACGAAUUGAAGAAACGUGAGAGGGAAGAAGGAAGAAGAGGACAAGCUGCUAGAAAUUUCAAGAAGCUGCUGGAAAUUAAAAAUAUUUAUAGCCAAGCUUAUCCACUCCACUUAAAUUACCAAAAUGCCCCUUCACAAAUUAACUUAUUCUCCUCUAAUCUUUUACGCAAUCUUUUUGCUCUUUUAACACUGGGACAAGGUCCAUAAUGGUCUAGACAUGUUCGGGUUCAUAAAAACUUAAACUUUUGACUCAAGAUAAAAAAUGACCGUUUUGCCCCUAUUAUGAAAAUUGUUGAAACUUCUAGUUUUCUUUGUUUUUUCAUCAUUACACAUCGUUUAUGUAGUCUUAUACCUAUUUAGACCUUAAAAUAUCAUAAAACUUUCUUCUAAGAGCUUAUUAGAGAAAAUGACGAAACUACCCCUAGCUCAUAUUAUUACAUCUAUGCUUAGUUACAAGCCUAUAGAGGUUGAGGUCUCACAAAUCAUGUUCAGGGUUAACUCGCUAAUGGAAAAUCAAAUCACACGAGUGCUGAAGCAACGGGUGAAAAGUCAGAGUCAUCGUCUAGAGUAAUCUCCCAACGAAUGACAACAACUACAAAAAUCUCAAACAAGUGGCAUUAUAAACAAAGUCAUCAUCCGAAGUAAUCUCAACGGAUGGCAUCAAAGAAUUGCAGGCAGGACUAAUACCACCAUCCCUGCAUGCACAAAGCAAAGUCACAGCGCGUUCAACUCCACUUCGUCCUCAAAUCAAAUCAACAUUCGGAAUUCAUCGAUCGAAUAGAGUACACAUCCAUAAUUAUGGCCAUCAUGCCUUGGGUACCACAUGUACCACAAUUUACAUCAGAGAGCACUCUUAAUGAGCUUAAGAUAUUUCUAGCUCAAUAUCUCAUAUAGGUGCCUUUAAUUCUCUAAGGCAUUAAAUACUCAUAAUCCACCGAGGGGUCAAUUGUCUAGAGUAAUCUACUCUUAGAUGUUUAUCAUAUCCUCAAGACUUCCUAAUCUAGGCUCACACAACAUAGGCCACUAUGUGGCUUACACUAAGGCACACAACACAACACAUAUAUUUCGUUCUCUAGCCUAGGCACAUUCAUUUAGGCAAAUAUAUAUAUAAUUUCUAUUUUAGUACCAUGGAGGUGCCUUUAACAAAGCAUCAUGCAUCACAUGCACUUUAACUAAACUCACUCAUAGUGACAGUCAAAGGUACAUUCCAACACCAAGCUCCAAUCCUUAGCCUCCAACCAGCUUUUACCUCACUAAUGAGUUAGGUAGCUUUAACUUUCCUUUAAACACAUCAAAACAUUCAAAUAAUAUUUAUUCCUAACUUUUGAAACUAUUCACCUAGUCAAAAAUAAUCCAAUUCAAUAUAUAAGCUCAAAUCCUUCAACAAUGAACUAAAUCCUUACCUUAGUAGCUGGGUUGCCCAAGUCUGAGCUUUAAAUUCCUAGCAAACUUAAGGGAGAAAAUCUCACCCAAGCUAGACCAAAUUGAUUCUAAGUUAUUAACUAAUUAAAUUGAAAAUCAAUUGGUAAAAAGGCAUAAUCCUAUGUCCAGAAACAUUUCCCAAGCUCUAAUCUACUUCAAAUAGCUCUAAAAUUUCAUUUGGAAAGUUAGGGUUCUUAACGGUUUGAAAGAAAAGCGUUUUCCUAUUUUAUUUUAAGGUAAAUGAUGCUUUCAACCCUUUUUAUUUUUACAUUUACUGGGUCAUCUGUUGAUAGAUGGAAGGCAUCUCUCGAUAGAUCCCUCUAAAAUUUAGGCAUUGACUUUCAUCUAUCAUCUAUUGAUAGAUUCCUCGAAUCUAUCGAUAGUAUAUACCCUAACCCCAUUUUUAUUUUUCCCUAUUUGGCCAUCUAUCGAUAAAUGUUUCUCACUUUGAUUUCCAUUCAUUUCAUAUGGCUAUCUAUCGAUAGUUUCCACAAAUCUAUCAAUAGAUUCCAUCACAUAUACUUCACUUAGUUUGCAAGUGGUCAUCUAUCAAUAGAUAUCGUGGAUUUAUUGGUAGAUAUUUGUCUAACUUGGUUUCCCCGUGCUUCCUAUAGUGCAUCUAUCCGUAAAUGUAGAAUAUCUAUUAAUAGAUUAUGCCCAGAUUUCAUAUUUUCACUUCCUUAAAUCCCCAAACUCAUUCCUAAGGCCCCCAAUUCACUUUCCUUCCAUUAAAAUGCCUCAAAUCAUUCAUUUUACGUGAAAUCCUUCAUAUAUAUACUCAAUUUUAUGAUCAAAUCCUGAUCAAAGUAUCAAACUUCAAAAUUUACCAAAUUUCUUCCUAAAUAUUUGUCAAUAGCCAUACCUCUAUCUACUUAACACAUUUAACACAUCAUUAAGGUCCUCAAAUCUAUUUACAAAUUCAAAUUCAUUAUCCAUAAUUUAUAUUGAAAAAUUAGGGGUGUUACAAUUAGUGCAUGGCUAGGUAAAAGCCUACAUGGAUGAAUACAUUCCUACCCAAUUAUAUGUGAAUGUGAAAUGUUAGAGAACCCACUAUGGCGUAUAUGCCAAUGUGGAUGAAUUGAGGUGCCUCUACAAGGAGUUGAAUUUGGAUGGUAGAAUGCCCACAAAUAUAGAUUAUGAGAGUGGAUGAAUAAGUCUCCACCACUUAAGGAUUUUAUGUGGAUGUAUAGAUGCCCACGAAUGAAAUUAUACUAUGAAUGGAAAUGAUACAAUGUGAAUAUCAUGAUUCUAGUUACAGUAUUUUAUGUGAAUGAUAAUGCAUUACAUUAAGGUUGCGUUUGGUAUAAGGGAUGUAAAGUCACAUUCCCUGCAAUGUGUCCAAUUAAAUUACAGUGCAGUGUUUGUUUUGUAACAAACCAUUGCAAUGUAAGAUUGCAAUGCAAUCACAUUGCACCUAAUGGAUGUAAUGUGAUUGCAGUCCAAAACCAAUGCAAUCACAUUACAUUGCACUCUGUAAUGUCUUUAAGGAAAUUUUUACCCAUCAUCUUUUAAAAAAAUUACUCACAAUUUGAAGCAAAACAUCGUUUUUGGGGUUGAGGGUCUGCUGCUUUUUCUCCAUUAUGCUAAAGGUGCUCCUCCUUCUUCUAGCUCUGCUUUUUCAUCAUUUGAAAUUGUGGGUCGAAAUCUCCAUUCUUCUUUUUCUUUCUCCUUUUUUUAUCUUCUUCUUGUAUUCUUUAAUCUAACUUUUGGUUGCACCCUAUCACAAUUUGUUUAGUUGGUUGUGUGGUUAAUUGCUUAGUGACGCUUGCAUUAUUGGUCUCGGGUUUGAGUCCUGCUUCUUGCAGUGCAAUCUUUUUUUUUUUUUGCCUUUGAUUGCUACCAUUAAAUCGCUCUCUAGUAUCAAUUGAACUUACAUUAAAUUUUUCCAACAUAUUCCCUACAUAUAAAAAAUGGAUCCUUCUAUAUGCUGUUUUUAAAUUGAAUAUUUGUAAUGUGGACAUGAAAAGUUAACUUUGUGCUUACUAUAUGCUGUUUUUAUAUAAUGUUUAUAUUUCAUUAUUUUAAUUACUUUUUUAUAUUGUUAGUUCACACAAUGGAGGGUUUUCUCAAGUGUAAACUGCAUCGAUCGUGUCUGCUAUUGUAUUAGCCAUUGAGCUAUUCAACAUGAUACUUUUAGCUAAUACUUUGGUUUAAGAAUGUUAUCAUAUUUUAAUUUAUAAUUUUAGCUUGAAAUUUUGUUUUAACUUGAUAGCAAGUUAUUUUGAAUUUAUGAUAUUUUUAGAAGAAAUUAAUUGGAGAUUAAGAAUUAUGGGUAUUUUGUUGCCAAUUUGCUAUUGAUUACAAGAGAGGAAGCUAUCACAUUAAUGUAUACAUAUAAAACGUAUUAAGAAAUAAAAUAAAAUAUUAUCUUCUAAAGAAAAAAUUUAAAAUAAAAUAUACAAUAUAAGAAAUUAUAUUAAAAAUAAAAAUAAAAUAUAUUUAAAAAUGACAUUAUAUAAAAUUUAACAAUAAAAAAUACAUGUUCAACUUGUAUUUUAAUAUAUAAGGGUAGUUUUGGAAAUUAACAUUACAUACCCUGUAAAGUACUUGUAAAACAAACACUGCAAUGUUAUCUUCGCUGCAUUUUAAUAAUUACAUUACUUAUAUACCAAACACUGCAAUGUUAUCUUCCCUGCAAUCACAUUGCUUGCAAUCACAUUACCUGUAAUCACAUUAUAUUGUAAAGUACCAAACGCUACCUAAGUAUGAUUGCUAUAUGAGUAUAAAGGGCAAAUGUGGGGUGUUGUACCAUAUGUGAAAAGGCCAGAUGUGGGGUGUUGUACCACAUGAGUAUUUGGGACCACGUGGGGUUUCAUACCACACAUGAUUAGGUCCAGAAGUGAGGAGUGGUACCACACACCUAUGUAGCCGUGAGAUUGAGGUAGAUGUACCAAUUUUUAAUAAAAAUUAAUGACAUGAUGAUUUCUACAUUUCAUCAAGAAUUUGUUGUGGUAAUUUCAACGUUUGUAUUGAGUUAAUGAUUUGCACUUAUAUAAAAUGAUGACAUGUUUGAUUGCCAAAUUAUAUAUUCAUGUAUUGAAUGAUUGAUAUAGAACUAUUGAGUUGAAGACUUGAAUAAUUCUUCUAGAUUUCUAAAUAAAAGGUAAUUGCCUGAUCUACAAGUUGUAUGAAGAUUGAUACUACUACCCACAGUAAAGGCACAAGUAUCCUUAAUGUGAACUCUUUUGUUUUCUCCUUGCAAAUAUUUGUACUUUGGAGCUAUAAAUUGUUAUCAACUCUUUCAUGUAUCAUCGCUUUCAAAUGCAUUUAUGUAAAAUGUUCGAAACAAGGUUAUUGAACAUUUCAGAGGAAAUUUUAUGGAUGUUAUGAAUAGCAUGUUCUUCUUGAAAAGUAUGGUUUGCUGCAAAAACUCUUUCCCUUGGCUUGUCCCUUUCCCAUAUCCAAUCACAGUCUUUGUGACUCACUCGCUAUUUUCCCUUAUUUGGUUUAUAGAUCAAUAGCUCGUUUAGCUAGGCACCUUAUGGAGUAGUAGCUCAGCCCAUAUUUGGUAGGUGUGAUAAUGCCUUAUUUCCAACAACAAGUUUUUAAAUGUUUAUAUUUACAAUGAUACUUGAUUAUGUAGAAAAGUAUGAAUAUACUCAUAUUUGCUUUGUGAAUUGUGUAUAUUAUGUUGAGCCUCGAAAUAGGUGCAUAUGAAUGAUGUUCUUAUAGUGAAAAAUACCAUUAAUGAUAAAGGCAUAAAAUGUGUGCCGCAACACAGAAUUAUAUGUUAUGUGAAUAUUUAUAAUGAAUUAAAGCAAUUCCACACUUUAUGUUGAGAAGUUCUAUAAUUGUGUGAUGGUGCUUAUAUGGUUGAUGAAUAAAUGGAAUUCCACACAUUAUGUCAAAGAGUUCCAUAAUGAUGUGACAAUGUUUAUUUAUUUGUGAAUUUUAUUGCAGUAUAUGGAUGUUGUAUGAUUACAGUGGAUGACAAGCCCACGCAUGUUGAUUAAGGCUUGCUUGGAUCUAAUGUGCCAUACACACAUAGGUUCAUUCGUCGAUCAUGGCCCUUUAGAAAAUGGAUUGUGAUAACAUAUGGCAUUAACAACUAUGGUAAAAGUUUUACCACAUUAAAACUGACACAUUAAUGAUUGAUCUGGUCAUUAAUAUGGCAAAUGGUAUUUAAGAUGGGUAAUAGCCAACUGGGUAGUAAGUUCACCUUUGACUUUGGGAUUGGCGACGAGGAAGGCUCAAGUGGUUAGCAAUGAGGGCUUAGGCUAAAAUAAUAUUUUCAUUUUUUUCUUAGGAUUAAUUAUGUUUAUAAAUCUAUUUUUCAAUAUUUUAAAUCUUACCAUGUCUGUUUUUUUUCCCCUAUGAAUGACCUUAUUAUUUUUAUUUUAAGAAUGUUUUAGUUUGGACAACUAUGAACAUGAAAUUGAGUGAUGGUAUUAAGGGCUUUGUUAGUCCCACCACACACUAAUUGGCAAACUGCAGGCGUAGAGGCGAUUGAGAGACAAAUGGUGGUGCUAAUUUUGUCAUCUCCCUUUUUGUUUGAAUAAGGGAAUUCCGUCUCAGCUUUUCGAGUAGGAGUACAAGUGCAUCAAUAAAUGAGUAUGGUAAUGGUAUAUAUACAAACUGUUUUAUAUCGCAUACUUGCAACAAUAUUGUCGCAAUCAGGAGUUUUACUAAUAAAAUAUUUUUAUUUUGGUUAGAAGAUUGCCCCGCGUCAUAUACAUUAGACUCACUAAUAUCAUAUAAUUUUUCAAAAGAAAAAAUCUAAUACCGUAUAAAUUAACUUAUUUGCUUAUUGAUUGAUUUUACAUAUUGAAUGUAAUACUAAAGUCAUAUUUAUUAAGAAUUAUUUACUCAUAAUGAAAAUUUGAUUUGUGAGUGUAAUUUCGUAAAAUGAUAAUUUUGAUUUUUGGUUUUGCAUGUUUUUAACGAAUAUACAAAGUUUAUUAAUUUACUUUUCUGAGUUUAUAUAUAUUGCCUUUUUUAUGAAUUUUAAUUAAAAUUAAUAAAUUUUAAUGGAUACAUUUUAAUUUGUAUAAAUCAAUUUGUGGAGUUAAAAAAACUCCACUACCGAUGUAUAAACUGAAAAUUCAAUUAAUGAAAGAAAUACAAUUACUUGGAAUUAUUGUUCUAUAUAUCGCAGCAGUAUACCUUCUAAACUUUACAAAUGGGAUUAAGGAGUUGAUGUGUGUCAAUUUAUUAGUUAAUUAGUACUUGUUGUCAUAUGUGAAUAUUAAUCUAUAGAAUAAUAUAUGAAUUUUUUUUAAUUAUUUUAUAUAACAAUUAUGUAGAAAUACAAAUGUUUCUGAAUGUAAAGGUUAAAGUAUAAAUCAUUGGAUUUUGUAAUAUUAAUCUGUAAAUUAUUCAAUUUGUAAUGUUAAUCUAUAUAUAAAUUAUUCUAUUCAAUACUAUUAAAUUAAGAACAUAUUUUUUUUAUGAAAGCUAUUUAAUACAAUUUUUUUUAAUGAAAAAAAGGGAAAAAAAGCUUCAUUAAAAAGGAAGAAAGAAAGAGCACAAUAGUUCUCCAGGAACAACAAAACAUGAAAAGAAAAGCUAGAAAAGCAGCAAAAGAGAGAAGAAAAUGAGAAUCGCACAAAGCAAAGAAUUAGAUAAAUCUCAUUAAUAUUUAUAAUAAAAUAUUUUCAAUAAAAAUCAUUAAUACAAUUAGAAUUCUUAUUUACAAAUUAAUUGAUCUUAUUAAUAAUUUAUAGUAAAAUAUGUUUAAAUUGGUAAUAUAGAAAUAUAAUAAACAAAUAUAUGUGUUUGCUAAUUAAAAAUUUUAAUAACAUCAAUAUGUGACUGACAAUAAUUUGCCAAUCUACAUACAAUUGUCAAUAUUAUUUAUACGCUAAAUUAUGUAAUUAGUCUCUAUAUUAUAGAUUUAGUCUCUAUACAAUAAUUUAUGUGAAUUGGCAAGAGUGGCCCAAUAAGCUUAAAGGCUUAAAGCGACUAUCAUAUAUUUUUUAAAUGACUAAUAUAAAUCAUCAAUCAAAUUUUUUAAUUCAAAUAAAUCAACUAUUACAUAAAAUAAAGAUAAUAUAAUAAUAUGAUAUAAACUCCAAAUUAAAAUAAAAAAAUCCAUAAAUAUUAGAAUAAUAGUACUUAAUUGUUGAAUACUUAUUACAAACCGUAAAUAAGGCUCACGAUUUUAUAAAAGUAAUAACAUAACAGACUUUUUAUUUAUUCUUUGAAGGAAAAUUGAAAUUAAAAAGAAGAAGGAAGAAAAAGCAAAUGAGAAAAGAAAAAUUCCAAAGUAUAUAUUAUACAUUGAAAAAAAUAAUUGAUUUUAUAUAAAAGAAAAAAAUAGUUGUUGAAAUUUAUUGAACAUGUUAAUUGGAAACAGGAGAAAUAAGUAAAAAGAAAACUGUUGGAGAUGAUUAAAUACAUAUGACUGUUAGUUGAUUGGAAAUAAGAGAAGUAAUUGAGAAUUAAUAGCAUUCUAGAAAUUAAGAAAUGAUAGAAAAUUAAAAUUUAUUAAGCACAUAAUUAGAAAAAUGAGAAAAUAGAUAUUUUUAUUAAUUAUUAAUUAUUUUUAUAUAUUUUUAAAUGUUUAUAUAUUUUUAAUAUAAUUAAUUAUUUUAUAAAAUUAUAAAACUUUUUCAAAUUUGGGGCCUCUCUAAAUUGGGGGCCUAAAGCCCUUGCUUGGGUGGCUUUACCCAAGGGCCAGUCUUGUGAAUUGGAUCCCUAUACUUUGUUAAUUUGUUAAUUUUAAUCUUUAACUUAAACACUGUUAAAUUUAACUAUUAAUAUGCUGACGUAACAUUUUGACCAAAUUGACAUGACACCGAUAGAGAUAACAUGAUGUUGACUAUGUGCUGACAUGACAAUUGUUGGCAUGUAUGCUAAUGUGGCAAAAAUGCUGACACGGCAAAAGGUUUACAUGGUAAAAAAAAUGCUAAUGUCUCCCCAUGAGAUUAACAAAGAAAUUAAAAAAAAAGCACCAUAACCCUAAAUUAAAAAUUAACAAAAAAAAAAGAUUAAAAAUUUCAAAAAAAUUUAAAAGAGAAAAAAAAAACCUACAAUCGAAGAAGGAGAAUCAAAAGAGAGAGAAUCAACUAGUUUUGAAUUUGGAAUUAAAGGUAGAGAAAACAAUGGGUUUUCAUUCUAAAGAUUCAACUAGUUUUGACUCAGAAAUUUUUCAUUGAAAAUUUAACUGGUUAAUAAAAACCUUUGCUCCAAUCUCAUCUAUAUUUGUUUCUUUUGGCAAGAUAUUGCAUUUUAAAGGUUAAUGGACUCUCUUUUAGCAGGCAAAGAUUGACACGAUUCUGGCAACUUGUGUCUUGCAAAAACACUGCGACCAUAGUCAUCCACUAAAACGAAAAAUCCUAAUAAGUUGCCUGAGUUCAAGAUCUCCUUCUCAAUCAUUAUCCCAUCACAACCCUCACAAAAACAAAAGCUAUCUACACAUACUCAGAAUUGAAACUGUACACAACAAUAACAACCGCCACACACUUCCACUCAAGGGACUUCCGACUCUUGUCCAUUCCAGAAAACUCUAAGCGUCAAUUUCAAACCAUCAUACCAGACCCAGGUAGACAAUCAUCAAAAUAGAAGACAAACCGGAAAACCCCUUCUUCGAGCACACUAUCAACCCAGGUUCAAUCAUAGGGAACCAUUCACAAACUAGAAACUUAGAACCUAUCCCAAUUCACUGACGUUACCUCCCACAACAGAAUUCCAACAGAACUUCCUCCCUAUUUACCCAUACAUGAAGCCCCAAGAACACAAAUCACAUACACAAACGCAAAUUUGGAGAUAAUCAACCAAAAAAAUUCCUUCCAGACUUGCUAUGAAUGUCAAGAAAACAUUUACAACCACAAUGAAAGAGUUUGAGAUCUAUGUUUGAAUUGCUUAAGGAAAGGGGAAAUUUGUUUGAGAUUUCUCCAAAAAAAAAAGCUAUGUCAGCAAUAUGUUACGUUAUUCCUAUUAAUGUCAUGUCAACUUGAUCAAAAUGUCACAUCAGUAUAUUUAAGUAUCAAAUUUAAUAAUGUUAGAAUUAGAGGAUUAAAAUUCAUAAAUUCACAAAGUAUAAGGAUCCAAUUCACACAAAUUAUUAUAUAGAGACUAAAUUUAUACUUUUUGUAUAAUACAAGGAUUAAUUGCAUAAUUUAACCUUAUUAAUAUAAUUAUUAAGAAUUAUUUAAAAUGACAAAUAGUAAUUCAUAAAUAUAUUUGAAUAAAAAUGUUUGUUUUCAUCAUAAAAUUUUCUGAUUUAUGUCAUUAAAAAUAGCAAAAAAACUAAAAUAUAAAUUUCAUCAUAAUGUUUAUCACUUCAUCUGCAUCUCCUUUCAUGUACAGCUAAGACUCAAAUCCCUUCUAUUCCAGUAAUCCAGGAAAGUUCACCUUGUUUAAUUGUUCAAUUGAAGAUCAAUCCUACUAUUAUGAUACUUACAUGAGCAUCCCUUGCUUAAGUGGGUCUGGCUUCUAUGUUAAAU
rnacentral:lncRNA from 1 species